rnacentral:lncRNA from 1 species
UUGUGUUAGAUUUCCAAUACUUCUUGGAAUGAUCCCCAUAAAUUGAUUAUAGGACAACGACAAACUUUUAAGGUUGCUGCAUUUGCCCAUGCCAAAUGGAAUGUUACCAGAUAAUUCAUUCCAACUCAGGUAAAGCUCUUCAAGCUUGGGAAGAUGUUGACACAUAUCAUUAGGCAAACUACCUGAUAGGCUAUUGCUGGUGAGACUAAUAGAUUUCAAAGAAGAAAUCUUGAAGAUGGAAGAUGGAACCUGGCCAGAUAAUUGAUUCAAUUCCAAGUUCAAGAUCUCUAGGUUAGACAUGUUAACAAGUGUUUCAGGGAUUGUGCCUGUAAAGUUAUUAUUUUUCAUUUUCAGCGUUCGAACUCUCUGUAAGUUCCCAAGCCAUGAUGGAAUUUCUCCAUUAAGACGGUUGUAGCUUAAUCGAAGGAUCCUCAAACGAUGCAAUUGGCCCAAUUCUUUAGGGAGAUAGCCAUAGAAAUGGUUGCUACUCAAGUCGAGUGAGAGUAGAAGUGAAAGAUUUCCAAGGUGUGGAGGGAUAGUACCCCUAAGAUUCAUGCUUGUAAGAUUCAAAGCUAUAACUCUUUUAUGGAGGAUGCCACAAGUAACACCAAUCCAAUUGCAAACAGAGGUUGAGGCCGUCCAAUUGUUUGCCAAGACAUUUUGAGGACCGGCAAUGUGAUCCUUAAACUCGAGAAGUGCAAACUGAUCGGAGUUGAGAUUCUUGACUGUCAUAGCCAAGCAAAGUACGGAACAUGGUAUGAAUAAAGCUAAGAGAAGAUGAAAGCCAGCGUUGUAGUUCAUGAUUGCAAGACGGAAUAAGGCAAGAAAAUAAAAAAAAGUAGGAAAAGGGAAGUUGAGCUGAUAAAAUAGUUUGGAUGAUGAAGAAAAGCCCAGAGAGCAUGCUUUAAUAUGUUUCAACCCUCGUACACUUGAUAAACUUGAUAAAUUUAAGACUACCCUAAAAAUUAAAAAGGAAAGCAAAGUUUUGAAGAAAUUUCAAAAUAAAUGUCAAGUCUUCUUCUUUAGAAAAUACGUACAAAGAAUCGAAUUUUCAAAAUUUCUCCUAAAUUUUCUUCACGUUACUCCACAUAAUCCAUUAAAAAUACUUAAAAAUAUAUUUUAAUAAUUACUAUAUAUUCUUUUAUUUAAUAAAUUGUUUAAAAAUGCUAUUAGUCCCUGUAAUUUAAAAGUUAAAAAAAAAAUCCAAUCCUCCUAUUUUUCUAAUUUGAAAAUUCUAGUCCAAUAAUUCUUAAUUCCAUUAAAAAAUUUCAGCUUAAUAGGUUUUUUAUUAUCAAUCAUAUGCAACAGUAUAUGAAUGCAGUCUACUCAGCAUAUAUCCAAGUUUACAGAUUUUAAUAGAAAAUACUUACAAUCCUAAUGGUAGGACUAAGUUUUUUAAACUAGAAAAGUGAGAAGACUUAAUUUUUAACUUUUUAAGCACAAGGAUUAAAUUUUAAAUGUUGUCAAAGUACAAGCACUAACAAAAUAUUUUGAUCUAAUAAAUGUAAAAAACUUUUUAAACAAAAUAAGGUUGAAAUAAUCUAUUUGUCCUUGUACUUUGAUAAAAUUUGAGAUUUAGUCCUUAUAUUUAAAAACUUAAAAAUUAAGUCUUAUUGUUUUUAUUUAAAAAUCUUAGUCCUAUCCUUAAUUUUAUUUUAUCAAAAUUGGUCAACUUUACAUAUUAAUUAGGUUUCCCUUAUAUGUCGCGGUAUCAAUCAAAACUUAAUUAAUAUCCAUCAAUAUCCAUCAAUACGUCAUACAUAAAAAAAGCAAGCAUAAAAUACAGUUAAAAGUCCUCCUUUUAUUAUUAAAUGUUUUAUUUUAGUUAUUUUAAUCAAAUAUAUCCAAAUUACAAUAGAGUUAACAUUUAUUGUGUAAAAAAUAUUUUAAAUUUUUUUUUCAAUUUUAGUUUAAUUCUAGAAGAAAUAUUUCAUUUAUAAAAUCAUAAAACUUUAAAAAUAUUAACUCUGUUAAAUAAAAAUUAUUUUUUUAAAUAGUAAAUGUUAACUUUAUUAACACAAAUGGGCCUCAGUAAUUGACAAGCUCUUCCACAAACUGUGGAAGAUUUGGGGAUAAAAGCUUCAAUAAUUAUGGAGUUAUAGUGUAAAUUUGCCACUAUAUUAUAAGUGUAUUGAAAUUUAUCACUAUAUUUUAUUUGAUGUUUAUCAUUACACUUUGAAAAUAUAAGUAAAUUUACCAUUUAACUCAGAUUUACCUUUGCAAGUAAACUUAAAAUUUUAUUUAAUUUUGUCACUAAAUUUGAUUUGUUCAAUAUAGAUUUUGGUGACUUAAAACUCACUAAAUUUGAUUUUUUCAAUAUACAUUUUGGUGACUUAAAACAAAAUUAAUAAAUAAUUAUUCUUUUGGAUAUCUUUUUAAUGUUUAAUAAUAAGUUAAUUUAUAAAAUAUACUGUCAUUGGACACAAGCCUCUAAGGCGGUGAACCACUAAUCAAAUUAAUUUGGAGAUAUCUUUUUUUCUAAAUAAAGUGAAUUUACGAGUUUUGUUUUCUUUUAAAAACAUUUUUAAUAUUUUUGUGGAUAUCAAAAAAUUUUUCAAUAAGAAAUUUUAAUUCACUCGAAAAGUUAGUGUUUUAUUUCAAGGGGUCAUAAUUAAUCAUUAGAUUUCCCAAUUUUAAAUUUUAAAUUUUUCGACAAUUGCGUAAUUAAUAAGUACCAAUUUUGAGUGUUGUAGGGCUAGUACAAUCUUCCUUACACAUAACCGACUCUUAAACCUACUCUUUUCUCUAGAAUUCAAUGCAAACAUCGAAUUUAUCUUUUGAAAAGAAUUUUAAAAUAAUAUAAAAGGUGUUUUUUUAUGACUGAUCACACUUAACAAAAAUUUAAAAAUUAUUAAAAAAAUUUCAUUUUGAAAUUUAAAGUGAUCUAAAAACAUAUUUUUAAGUGCUUUGGACCAUCUGUUGCUGAUUUCCUUAUUAUAUUAAAUGUUUGCAAUCACUCCUAAUAUAUUGUGCUUGAGUUGUGACAGAGCAAAUCGCCAACGUGCCAUAUUGAUCUAUUGAUGCUGAAACUGAAGUUUUUGUUAUAUUGAUAGAGCUUGUCCUUCAACGCAUACAACGUGUUUGUUAUUUUUCUCCCUUCAAAUUGUAUGAUCUUAUUUAUUUAAUGAAUUAAUGAAUUUCCCUUUUAAAAAGAUAUAUUUUUAAAAUUAAAUACUUUAUAAAAUAUUUAAAACUACUUAAAAAAUUGUAAGCCUUAAAACAAUCAACAAAAUAUAUUUUUCUCUAAAAAAAUCAAUAAAAAUAUGUUUAAAAUUUUAUAUGAAAUUAAAUUUUUUUUAACAAUAAUAUAUUUUAAAAUUAUAGUAACGCUAUAAAAUAUAUAUAUACAUAUAUAUAUAUAUUUACUAAUUAUAUACACCUUUCCAUACAUCCUUUUUCUACAUAGAAUUUCAAAAGUAAAUGUGAAUUAAUGUAGGCGUAAGAAGACUUACAGGUAAGUCACCCAACGAAAGUGUCCUAAACCGACUUAUGGAAGAAUCAAACAAUAAUUUUGUAUCGUAUAAUAUAUUUAAUUACAUUUAUUAGUUUAUCAAUCAAAACUUAAGUAGAAUCCAUCAAUAUUUCACACAUCAAAACCCAAACAUAAAAUUCACUUUUAAAUUAUUCGGGGAAUAUUUGUAUUAUAGGAAAUGGAUUAAAUUAGACUUUUAUUAUUAAAUGUAUUAUCUUAAUCUUUGUAUUAGGUAUGAAUGAUAUCUCUUAGAUUGAAGCUAGAGCUAUUCUUGAAUGAUUGAAAUUAAGAUUAAGAUGUGUUGAGAUGGAAAGUGGCAACACAAUGCUGAUUGAUGCUAUUUGUAAUGGGUUGGCUACAAUAAGUAGUGCUGCUGAAGUAAGACAAAUUUAUGAUUGGUGUUCCAAAAUUUUGGGAAGUCAAAUUUUGACAUUUUCAGCGGAAUGCCAAUAAAGUUGUUGAUUGCAUAGCUAUGGCAGAUGGAGGCAUAAUUGAGCAGCUGGUUAUCUUGAAAGAUCCUCUGCAUUAUGUGAGAUACUAGCUUGAAGAAGAUAUUAGACGGUCACUGGUGACUGAUGAUAAUUUUCAUUUGGACUGAUGAGCGCUUAAUUUUCUAAGCUUAUGGUCAACCAAAAAAAAUAAAUAAAUGCGUCUAAAUUGUAAUAGAGUUAACAUUUAGUGUUUAAAAAAAUCUUAAAAUUUUUUUUUCAAUUGCAGUUCAAUUCCAAAAAUAUCGAUGAUGAACCCGAACAUAAAAAUUACCAAAAAAAAAAACACAUCUAUUAUCAAACCAACAAUCCAUGUCUAAACUUAAAUUAACAAAAUUCGCCACCCAACCCAAUACACUAUUUUAUAUAUAUAUUAGAUUUAUUCUAGAUGCGCAUGUUUUAUUAUAUUUAAAAAUUAAAAUAUAUGGUUGACUGAGUUUUAGCUGAGUUGAUAUUGGUAUUAUUGUUAGUGUAAGAAAAUUUGAGUUUAAUCGUGUUCAAAUGUGUUUUAUCCUCCAAUUUAAAGGUUAGGAAAAUAUUAUUGAUAAUUAAAUUAUACCAACUUGAUGAUAUUAAAAAAAGGAUGUAUAAAAAAUAUAAGGGAGAAAAAAAAAAGGAGAAACAUAUUCAUAUUGAUGGGCUCUUUCAAUAUUAGACUUUUUUUCUCUCACAAGUAAAAGUAGUUAUGGAGAGGAUCAUGUAAAAUAAUAGCCUGAAUAAUUUUAAACGUCUCAUCAUUGCAAAAAUGAAAUAGUAGAAAAGAAAGAGUAGACAUUCUAUGAAAUUUAUAAUUCCAACCGUGAAUAAAAUAUAAAUUUUAUGAAUGUGGACAAGCAAUUUUAUUUAACUUUUUUUAAAGUCAUUUUGUUUGUUUCCUAAUCACCAUGAAAUUACUUGUCACAAUUCAUCUUUUUAAAUGAGAAACAUUUUCCACAAUUUGCCAUCACUUUAACAUACACUAACUUUUCUAUGAUUAGUCCUUUGUUUGCUUUGGGUGCAAUCUUCCAACUAGCCUCAUCCUUGGUUUUACUUUCCAACAUUUAGUGUAUUACGAGUUUUGUUUUCUUUAAAAAAUAUUUUUGUGGAUAUUAGGAGAUAAUGAAAUUAUUUUACUAUGAAAUUUUAAUAAAACUGGAAAAUAAGUCAUUUAUUUUAAGAGAUCACAAUUAAACAUUAGAUUUCCAAUUUUUUAAUUUUAAUUUUUUUUGACAAUUGCAUAAUAUUUUGAGCGUUGUAGGAAUGCCAUAACCUUCCCUACGCAUAAUCGACUCUUAAGUAUGAUGGAUCCUAGACCUUCUCCUCUAUUCUUGUACCACAAAUUGCUUCGAGUGUGGGUUCGGAAAAUCACAAAUUAAGCACAAAACCAAAAAUGAUUUUGUAACACCCCAAACCCAGCCUAGUCAUUAUGGAUUAAUGUAGACCUGAGAAGACUUAAUUACAUUUAUUAGUUUAUCAAUCAAAACUUAAUUAGAAUCCAUCAAUAUUUCACACAUAAAAAACCCAAACAUAAAAUUCACUUUUAAAUUAUUUGAAGAUAUAUUUGUAUUAUAGGAAAUGGAUUAAAUUAGUCUUUUUAUUAGUAAAUGUAUUAUUUUAAUCUUUUUAUUAGGUAUGAAUGAUAUCUCCUAGAUUGAAGGCAGAGCUAUUCUUAAAAGACUAAAGUUAGGAUUCAGAUGUGUUGAGAUGGAAAGUGACAACGCAAUGUUGAUUGAAACUAUUUGUAACGGGUUGACUACAAUAAGUAGUGCUACCGAAGUAAGACAGAUUCACGAUUGGUGUUCCAAAAAUUGGAAAGUCAAAUUUCGACAUAUUCAGCGGAAUGCCAAUAAAGUUGUUGAUUGCAUAGCUAAGGCAAAUGGAGGCAUAAUUGAGCAGCUGGUUAUCUUGGAAGAUCCUCCGCAUUAUGUGAGAUGCUAGCUUGAAGAAGAUAUUAGACAGUCACUGGUGGCUGAUGAUAAUUUUCAUUUGGACUGAUGAGCGCUUAAUUUUUUAAGCUUAUAUUCAACAAAAAAAAAAUUAAAUACGUCUCAAUUGUAAUAGAGUUAACAUUUAGUGUUUAAAAAAUAUCUUAAAAAUUAUUUUUUCCAAUUGCAAUUCAAUUCCACAAAUAUCAACGAUGAACCUGGACAUAAAAAUUACAAAAAAAAAAAAACACAUCUAUUAUCAAACCAGCAAUCCAUGUCUAAACUUAAAUUAACAAAAUUUGCCACGCAACCCGAUACACUAUUUUAUAUAUAUACUAGAUUUAUUCUAGAUGCACAUGUUUUAUUAUAUUUAAAAAUUAAAAUAUAUGGUUGACUAAGUUUUAGUUGAGUUAGUAUUGGUAUUAUUGUCAGUGUAGGAAAAUGUGAGUCUAAUUGUGCUCAAAUUUGUUUUAUACUCCAAUUCAAGGGUUAGGAAAAGGUUAUUGAUAAUUAAAUUAUACCAACUUUUAUGAUAUUAAAAAAAGGAUUUAUAAAUAAUAUAAGGAAAAGAAAAAAAGAGAGAAACAUAUUCAUAUUGAUGGGCUCUUUCAAUAUUAGACUUUUUUUCUAUCACAAGUAAAAAUAUCAAAGGUGAUAAUAAUUAAAUUAUAAAAUUUAAAUUGAGAAAAUAGGGGAUUGAAUUUAUAACUUUUAAAGUAUAAAGAAUGAAUUUAUAACUAACAACAUAUUUUAACCACACAAUAAAAGUAGUUAUGGAGAGGAUCAUGUAAAAUAAUGACCUGAAUAAUUUUAAACGUCUCAUCCUUGCAAAAAUGAAAUAAUAGAAAAGAAAUAAGUGUUGGGUGUAGUGGCAAUGUACAUUAUACUUCUAAGGGGAGAUCAGGGUUUUAUACAAGGGAAGAAUUUUAAACCUGCUUUUUUCUCUAGAACUCAACGCAAACCUCAAAUUUAUCUUUUUAUAAGAAUUUUAAUAUAUCUAUAUAAAAGGUGAUUUUUUUGCCGAUCACACUUAACAAAAUUUUAAAUUUUUUUUUUUGAAAUUUAAAGUGAUCUAAAAACAUAUUUUUAAGUGCUUUAGACCAUCCUGUGUUGAUUUCUUUAGUAAUUUGAUUUGUUCAAUAUAGAUUUUGGUGACUUAACACAAAAUUAAUAAAAAAUAUUUUUUCAGAUAUCUUUUUAAUGUUUAAUAAUAAGUUAAUUUAUAAAAUAUACUUUCAUAGGACACAGGCCUCCAAGGCGGUGAACCACUAAUGAAAUUAAUUUUGAGAUACUUAAAUUUGUUUUCAUCAAUUAAGAAAUUUGAAAAAUUGUUGAGACCUCAUGAUUAUCUUUUAUAAUUUCAGGCUUAUCACCAAAAAACUAAAAAACAAAAUCGUCGACAUUAAAUUUGUUGGCAUGCAAUCAAUUUUAAGAUGGUUUUUGGAGUUAUAUAUCACUUUAGCAUGGACUUACUUUUCUACAGUUAGUCUUCUCCAACAAGUUAAAUAUUUCAAUUUUAACAACAUUGACAGGUCUUUGGGGUAGGGUCGAGCAAAACUCAAUAGAAAUAGAUGAUAUAGAUUGAGUUAGCUCGGCCAAGUCGAGUCGACUUGUUCAAAUUAGUUAAAUUAGUAAAUUUUAGGGUGCAGUUAGAAUUUUUUUUUGUUUUGAGAUGCUAAGAUUAAAAAAUUUCAGUUGCUAAAACAAAAAAAUUGUAUUUAAAAAAAGGCAUAAAGAAAGGCUGAAUGACAAAUUGCCCAAAGCCCAUGCCCCUAGCUAUACGCCCCUGGUAAAAUCAAUUUUAAAAUUAGUUAUAAUAGUUGAAGCGAUUGAUUAUUGAGGAAUGAAAUACAUAGUUCAACAAAAUAAAUAAGUUGACAAAUUUUGACAAAAAAAAUCAAAAAUAAAAUAAUAGAAAAGAAAGAGUAGCCAUUUUAUGAAUUUAUAAUUCCAACCGUGAAUAAAAUAUAAAUUUUAUGAAUGUGGACAAGCCAUUUUAUUUAUAAUUUUCUGUGUUUUUCUUCUUUUCCUGACUUUUUUUUAAAGUCAUUUUCUUUGUUUCCUAAUCACCAUGAAAUUACUUGUCACAAUUCAUCUUUUUAAAUGAGAAACAUUUUCCACAAUUUGCCAUCACUUUAACAUACACUAACUUUUCUAUGAUUAGUCCUUGGUUUGCUUUGGGUGGAAUCUUCCAACAAUUAGUGUAUCACGAGUUUCGUUUUCUUUAAAAAAUAUUUUUGUGGAUAUUAGGAGAUAAUGAAAAUUAUUUUACUAUGAAAUUUUAAUAAAACUUUAAAAUAAGUAAUUUAUUUUAAGAGAUCACAAUUAAACAUUAGAUUUCCAAUUUUUUAAUUUUACAAUUUUUUGACAAUUACAUAAUUAAUAAGGUACCAAUGUUGAGCGUUGUAGGAAUGCUAUAACCUUCCCUAAACAUAAUCGACUCUUGAGCAUGAUGGAUCCUAGACCUUCUCCUCUAUUCUCGUACCACAAAUUGCUUUGAGUGUGGGUACGAACAAUCACAAAUUAAACACAAAACCAGAAAUGAUUUAUUACUUUUAAUAGCAAAGUAAUUCUCUCUCAAUAGAAACCAAUAGAAUUGUAAUUCCCAUAAAAUAAAAUUUAUUUUCUGAAAUAUAUUCUCACUACUUUCUAGCAGAGUAACAAUAUUUAAAACUUAUGUCUUGUGUUAAUAGCUUUACUAGCACUAUCUAUUUAUAGGGAGAGAGAUGAGAGUCCUGGUUGAAUUAGUAAAACACGAAUAAUAUUUAUUUCAUAGAAGACAAUUUCAUAGAAAACUUAUGUCUUGUGUUAAUAAUGUUGAAUUUGUAUGUACAAGUUUCUAAUACACUUGUUGGGACAUUCUUUGACUUUUAUCUAUUCUCUCAAAAAGUUAAAGUUCAAAGUUGCAUUAAACUCAAAUAAGAUAACCAUUAGCAAACCAGCUCACAAGCCUGCUCAAGCUAAUCCUACAAGUCAUUCCACUUCAUCAUCAAGCACCAAUGUUCUUGCUUAUCCUUAUGGAAUUAAACAAAAGAAAAAAGCUCUUUAAGAGUUAUUUCAAUAGACUUCUUUAAUGGUAAAUGACAAUCCACUCUAUUGAUGCUUCUUCGCCCAACUCAUGAUUUAAAAGAAGUUUAUACUCAUGGAUCAAGUGUAGCUCACCAGUUAUCAUUAAGGAGAAAAAAGAGUCAAUCAAGUGAAAAUUAUAUUCCAACAUCCCCCCUGAACCAAAUUUUAGAGUGAUGAAUGUCAUGACAACUGACACUACAUUCUUAGAAGAAUAAGUAGAUCUCUAGCAAAAACGAUGGAGAGUCUUACUACAAGCAUAAAAGGAAUGGAUGAUCAAAUUGAACAUCUUAGAGGAAGUAACCAAACCUUUUCCUACGAAACUCAACAUCCUCUUCACAAAGUUGUUGGAAUCAAAAUUGUUGAAGGACUUUAAAGUGUUUCUUUAGAUCAAGUUAAGGAGCUCAUUAAAGAAACCAUUAAAGAUCAAGUCAAAAGUGUUGCUCUACCUUCAUAUACAUACUUGAAGCCAUACAUUUGAAGGGCUUAUCAUUUGAAUAUGCCUGAACAUUAUCCACCUCCAAAAUUGCAAUAGUUUGAUGGUAAAGGAAAUCUAUGUAAACAUGUCGCUCACUUCGUGGAAACUUGUGAUUGCGUCGAUGUAACACCCCACUCGCGACCUAAUCGCUGGAUUCGAGAAGAGAGAUACCGAAAUCAUGUUGGAAAAAUCUAGUUUGAAAAUGGUUUUAUUUAUAGAGGAAAAUAAAAAUUUUGAAAACUGACUCGGUUUGUGAUAUUUAUGGCAAUAAAUGUUAAACUGAAAUCAUAAAUGUGCUUUUGAAUAAGCAAAUCCUUGAUGUUUUCUAGCUUUAAACCAAAUUAUCUUCUUCACUAUUCUCAUACCACAAAAUGCUUUGAAGUGUGGACUUGAACCAAUUGAAUCAAAACACAAAACUUGAAAAAGCUUUUUAUUCUUUUCGGGGUGAAACCUAAAAUUUUCUCUUAUUUAAUAGAAACCAGUAGAAAUGUUUAUUUUGGAAAAAUAUAUUUAAUAGUUAAGAAUAAAUUCUCCUUAUUUUUCAAUAGAGUAACAAUCUCUCAAAGUUGUAUAUAAAUCCCUACUGAUGCCAGAUAUUUUUAAGAAGAGAAGAUAGAACCCUUGUGGAAUUGUAGAAGCUUAUUUCAACUAGAAAAAUAACUUCCUACUUAGAGUAGGAGCAGGUUGGAUGGCAUCCCCUGUCGCCCCUUCGUUUUCCAUGAAGGGAUUUUGGAUCUCUCUCACAUUAGAUCCAACUAUGAGUGCUUUUCGAGCAUUUAGACUCAGUACUUUGUAAUUUGACCCAACUCAAUUCUAUUUUUUUAUUUCCCAAAAUAAACUUCAAUAUUUUAUAUUAAAUAAUUUUCUCAUCCAAAUUUUACCCUCAAUAGAAUUUUUGAGAAAAUAUAUUUAAUAUUUCACAAUUCAACUUGUUCAUUAUGAUCGAAUGAUUUAUUUUCAUUUUCUAGAUUUUAUAUAGCUGAAAAACAUAAACUCAUUCUCCUGAUCAUUUUUAAGUAUAUUCAUCUACAUUUGAAAAUGAAUCAUUUCUCAUUUUCGUUUCCAAAUGAUUUCAUUUCUCCAUUUCGAAGAAAUGUAUAAUCAUUCCUGAAUGUUUGUCAUUUCUUUAUUUCUAUUCAUUUCGAUUCAAACAUGCAAUUCAUUUAUGGUUUCAACGAGCUAGUGAAGGGACUAAUUGGACAUAUACAAUUAGGGCUCAAAUGAUUUAUAUUUGAAGUUUCAACUUUUCAUCUAUUAAUUAUAAACUCAUUUAGUCAUGAAGUCAUUCCACUAUAGUAUCAUGGCUGAGCUUGUGGUUCCCCAAACUUGGACGAGACAGUCUGACCCAAAAUUUGAAACUUACAUUAGCCACCAAAAUGAUUCUCUGUUAAAAUACUACAAAACAGACCAACCAACCAUGCAGGCCACACAUUUUCAACAUAAAUCAUAAUACAAUUAAUCCUAAUUGCAUGCCUUUCUAAACAUACCAUAAAAAAUGAAGAAAAAAAAUUCAUAUUUAGGUCACCUGUGAACCCACCCACUUAGAAACCUAGUAGCACGCAUCAACUUGGCGAGCACCAGCUGAAGACCUCCUCGCGACCCCCAGCUCAUUGCUAGCCCUACGAACCACUAGUUUGCUACUACCCUGUGAUCCCUAAAUAUUGGCAAACCUAGACACACAACUCCCCUUUUAUUUUAAUAGACUACUCAAGUCGUUGGCUCACUUGCGAACUCCUCUAUUUAGUGAACCUACCUAAUAAGGCAAACUCACUAUCCUGACGUACGCAUUAACUAUGGAGAACCUUCUAUUGCUUGGCGUACUCCCUCCUAAUGGCAAACACUAGGUUAUAUAGGGCUAGUCUAUACUAGCGGACUCCCUAUACUUUGGCGAACACUCUAUUAGGGAACUUAUGGUUUUUGGUGAACACACUUUUGUUUGGCGAAACCUACCUUUGGUGAACUCACCCCUAUUGUUGAACACUGUGUUAUGGUAAGGUCCUAUUCCCUUAUGACCCCUGUCUCACACUAUGCUAGGUUGGCUCGUAAGUAUUCUUUCAAUGCGUUAUUACUUCUAUAACAUGCAUUCUAUGUUAUCACUUUAUCUCAACCAAAAAAUUGGUUCAAGGGCGUACCUCAAAAUUCGGCGAACUCCUUGUUUUACAUAAGUAUGUUAGUUCAUCAAUUUACCUAGCAAAAUCAUGUAUUAUAAUCCAAACAAUCAAGCAUUCAAUCAAGCACUUAUAAAGUCUAAAAAUCCAAAAUUUAAAUAGUUCGUAAUAUCUGUUUACAACUUGUCAAAGUUUAUUUAAAAAUUCUAGGUCUACAUCUGAUUCCUUAGGAUAGUCCCACAUUGCCUUCAACUAUAGGGUUUGUAAAAACAAAUCACGUACUCGAAUGGAUUUGCCUUAUGUUGCAUCACUAGAUUGCCAUGCUUCACAACUAGUCACGUGAACUACUUAUCUGCAAGAUAUAUGCAAGGAGUGUGAGCUUAUUGAAGCUCAGAGAAUGCUUAAGCACACAACACAUAAAACACAUCAGUCAUGCUAAAAUUUAGACAUGUUGUAACAAUUCACAUAAAAUAUAAUAAUCAUGCUCGUCAUAGUAAAAUAAUGGCAAUUUGUGAAUAUGAAACAUAAUCAUAUUAUAUAUGCAUUGGAUAAGUAGAUCUUUAGAAUACUCCAAAUGACAUAGAGAGUCAUGCGCUAUCUUUGAUAAGUGUAGUAUGAAUGCUCACACUCUCCAAACACUCCAUACUAUCCUCAAAAUUGGAGCUAAGCUCGACAUUCCCUUAUCUCUCCAAUGCUAUCUUCAGGCCAUAAUGCCCCAUCAUAUAGUAAAAAUGGUGAGUACUCACAAUCCUAUGACAUGCCAAUGAUAUCUAACGGUUUCAAGUGUUCACAAUGCCAACAUAUGAUUUUUAUUUCAUUCACUUUACACAAUUUAAAAGGCCCACAAUAUAGUAGAUCUCACAUAUAAUAGUUCUUAAUAACACAACUCACAUUUUUGUAGGGCUCGCAUGAUACAUAAGUUCGUAAUAACAUAGAUUCGCAUAACACUUAUGGCUCACAUAUAUUUAGGGCUCGAAUGCAACAUUUGGGUUUCCAUAUAUUUAAACUAGCAUAAUACAGGGGCUCGCGUAACAUGUUUUGGCUUGCAUGUAAUAUAGGGCUUGAUCACAUAUAUAGGUUUGCAUGAUCUUAGGGUUCGCAUCACAUAUAUAAGUACGCAUGAUACAUGGGUUCACUCAACAUGUAUAUAUAAACUUGCACAUCAAAGUAUAGGCUCGCAUGCAUUAAGGUAAUAGAUUUUGCAAACAAUUUAGAGCUAGCACACAUCUUAGGCUUGCAUACAUACAUGUUAGCAAGGUCUGCAGGUCACAAAUCGGGGCUCGAAUAACUAUAGAGGCUUGCAUAGAAAUAUAACAGUGUUCGCAUAUCAUUUUAAUCAGCUUCACACAUUAAAUCAGAUAGUUUGUAUGCCUUACUUGGCUUUCAUUAGCAUGCGAACUCUUGUUUUUGACGUAGUGUGUAAGGACACUCACUAGUUGUUUGUUGAUACUGUCAAACCUAUACCACAUUUUGCUUGACUUUUUCCUUGCUUGUAGAUGCACCUUUAUAUUGAGAGGCUUUGCAUAAAACAAGAAAAUAUACAGAUUGCUACUUUCACAAACAUAUUAACCUUCUUAACUAACAUAGCAGCUCACCACUUCUAAAUUUACCGAACUCACCUCAUGUGACCUUAAACUUUUAGUUACUUUAUUUUAGUUCAAUUAAAUCCCCAAUUAUUACUUCCUAAUCUCAUAAGUAAGGUUUAAUUAUAGAUCUAGGCCAUUAAUUUUAGUCAAUUCUUAAAAUCAACAUUUUUCAAAAAAUCAUGCUCAUUUUCUAUCUCAAGAAGAAAAAUCACUUGAUUCAUGCAAUUCCUUUAAGGAUUUGUUAAAUCAAGUUUAUAAACCUCUUAAUUAUGCCAAAAUGAGUUAAAAAUUAUUUUAAAAUCAUGACUUAGCUCACUAUUAUGAGAUUCACCAUUUUUUUAUAUAAACCAAGCUUUAAAGCCAUAGAUCCAAUGAUUUCUCUUGAAACUUCAGGUGCAGUGCACUAACUAUGAAUAAUGUGGACUGAAUAUGUUUUUGGUACUCCAUGGAACUCCUCCUUCAACCACAAAAUCCCAACCCAAUUUAUAUGCAAUAUGUCACACAAUCUCAUACAUAAUCCUAUCUUAAUACUUUUCACAUUCAUUUGACAUGCUCAGCAUGUCCUCAAUAAUCACAUACUUUCAUACUUUUAGAAAAUGGAAACAGUGUUCCAAAGUUUCAAUUACCAUUGUGUUGGUAUCAAUCAAUAUCAUUCAAUUACACAUACUUUAUAGAUUUCCAUUGUGUUUAAAUAGCACCCUUUUCAAUACACAAUAUAAAAAAUAUCUCAUGCAUUUAAUCAUACAUAAGCUUUAUAUCUCAACACAUUAUAUCAUUCAGUCAAACAUUCUCAUAUCUUAUAAUUCAAAUAUGCAAUUACAAACUCAAUCAAACAUUCAUACUAUCAAACUAGCAAUUUUGCCAACAUGUUAAUCUUUUAAGGCUCAAAACAUAAUUGGUUCAGCCACUCACAAAAUCAAUAAUUUGGCUAUUAAGCCAAUCCAAUCAACAAGCUAAUUUAUCACAUAUAACAUGAUAUUUAACAUUUUCAAAAAAAAUUAUAAGUUUAGGACCCACGCAUUAUUUUUUGCUUCCUCGCAACAUACUAGCGAAUCUUCCAAUCUUCCUUAAUAAUUCCUUAAACGAACCUAAACCAAAAUGAAGCAUAAAUUCAAUCAAUUUACCAUUAAGCCAACCCCCAAACACCCACUUGUGAGUUCAAACUGAUCAUUGAAAUUAAAACUACUUUAUGAAUCCAAACUAGUUAGAUUCCUUAAACUGUAUCGAUGCAAAUCGUACGUACAAUCGUUCUUCACCUUUAUGGAUGAUUGGGGGUGUUUGGGUCAGCACCUAAUUCAAUAAUAUACUGGAAAAUCAGUAGUUAAUCAAUGAUUAACUUUCUUUAUUUAACCAAUUCAUAACCUUUACCCAACAACUAUGCCAAAAUAACAAACUAGUUUACAAUUAAUCGUACUUAUACUUCUCAAAUUAUAAGAUUCGAAUGGCUAAUUGAUCAAGAAUGUCUUUUGUAACAUCCCAAAAAUUAGGUUAGAAGAAAUGAGAUUUUGAAACCAAGAGUGGUCAUCCCUCGAUUAUGAGUUUAUAUCUUGGAAAAUUUGACAAGUAAAUUGAUCUGGCUUAAUGGUUAAUUGCUAUGGUUAUAUGUGUUAGGUUCUGGGUUCAAAUCUUGUUUUUGGAAAAUUUGUUACUUUUCUUAAACCCUUACCUUGAAUGUUUGGCUUUUAAGUUAAAUUUAGUCAAUUGAGGUCAAGAAUGAGCCUGUUGGUUUAAUGGUUAAGUUUCUGCAUAAUCCUUGGUCUUGUGUUCGAAUCUCAGCGAAAGCAACAGGGAAUGUUUUGUUUUUGAAUUUUUUAUAAGGUAGUUAGUUUCGAUUGGUUAUUUAAAGCCUUCUAGAAACCUCCGUUGCUUUUACUUUUAUUUUGUUCUUUCUUUUUCUACAAUGUUUUCUAUCAUUUUGUUUUCGAUCUUCAGUUUCCUCAUUUUGGUUUUUUAUUUUCAAGCAACCUUCUUUUUGUUAUGUUACGUUACACUAAUUGUGUAUAAGGUUUAACUUCUCCUUCUAGUUAAUUUGCUGGUUGGUAAGUUCAAUUUAAAGUUUUGGUGUCGAAAGUUCUUUAACAUAACUUCAAUUUUGGAAUGUUAGUUUCUAGUGGUUUGACUGCGAAUUAAUCGUUUGUUAGGGAAUUGCUUGUCGUUUAGGGACCUGAAUUUAUCCUUGUUACUCCUACAUCGAGUUCGUAUCAAGUGGGUAUCAAAAAUAUCUUCUUCUUCAAAUUUUAGUCGUCGAAGAAUAGGACUAUCAAUGCCACAUGGUCAUGCGCAAACUAUCUAGGUACAAUCUGUAUUCUAUUAAGUUUGUUGGUAUGCCUCUGCAUUACUCUAUUGAUAAAGAAUAUGUGACAUUUGAUUAUGUUAGAUUGGUUGUUACUGAUUCUAAUUUAUAACCCUCUGUUUUACUUUAUAGAUGUGGAAUACACAAUAUCUGAAAAUGUUAGACUAAUUGUUACUGAUUCUGAUUUAUUGUCGUGCAUGUGACUUCAUGGCAAAUAUGAUAUGAUCUGUUGAGGUUUGAUAGGUCUAUUUUCCAAAACAUGGACUCUCAUGUCUCCUAAUUCUGUUAUUGAAAGAUAUCAUAACUUACAUGCUCAUCACUCUGAUUCUGCAUAUGUAUGUCAUGACACGUUGCAUGGGAUUUGGGUUGAUGUGAAAGGUAAAAGUUACUGGCAGUUAAUGAUCCGCAUUAUCUGAGGUUUAUCCUCAAUUCUGUUUCGGCAGCUUAGUUGUACUAUAUUAACUUGACCACAUGUAACCGAUAUGGCAGUCUUAACUACAAAAUUCUAGUGGCACCAUCCACAGUUAUCUGUUGGUGUGAUUUGGCUAGACGAGUUCUGAGGGAACUCUAUUUUGGAUUGUAGUGGAGUUUUGGUAGGAUGUUUUCUGAUAAUUCUGCAUUCUGAUCUAUUUGAGAAAUACAACAUCUUCAUAACACAUUUUCUACUUUGCUCUAUUCUGUUCUAUUCUGUUCUGCUCUCUUCGGUUCUAUUCUAUUUGAUUUGUUAUGUUCUGCUUCAUUCUGUUGUGCUUGGUUCUAUUGUACUAUCGUUAUGGAAAUUUUCAUGAUAUUCUCGAUCUAUUCCAUACUAGCUAUAAAACUAUUAUUAAGUUCUUUGAGUUACUUUGAUUUAUAUAAUAAAAUCUAUUUAUUUGUAUCUAAGUUUGGUUAUACGCGACGCUUGGUAGUUCUCCCUUUGUCUUAUCUUAAUCUAUUUAGGUGGAUGUUUUACAUUGAUAUAACUAUGAUUUGAUCUUUUAGGUUGUAAUUUGUUUUUGGACUUGCAUUGCUUUUCUUUUGAUAAUCUCAUCAAUAUUUGUCAUUUUCUUACACAAAAAUAAAAAAACCACCUAAGUCGACUAAAAUGAAUUUCUGGUUUUCAAUGUUAAAAUUUUGAAAAGAAAUUAGUUUUCUACAUGUUGGUGUAGCUCGUCCAAAUUUGACUUAAACUUCUAGGUUGGGUUUGGGGUGUUGUAUCUUUCCAUAAUUAACAUGUGAUUAAUCUUUUAUUAGGAGGAUUCAAGAACUCAACUUAAUGAUGGAAAAAUAUAGGUAAGAACCAAGAAACAAAACAACCCCCUUUCUUGCACACAGGCGUACGCACCACCACCCAUGGUGGCCAAAAUUGGGGAAGAAUUUUAAAAUGGUUUGAAAUCUCAUUAAAAUCUAGAAAAAUACAAUUGAAUUCAUUUAAAAUCCCCCAAAUUCCAGAUCUAAAAAUUUUUCUUUUUAAUUGACAAAAUUAAUUAAGAAUUUGAAGAGAAAAGAGAUCUUCCCAAGCUAGUUAAAAGAAACGACAAUGACACUUUCUUGGCAAUGUUCAAGAUUGAUCUUGGGUUCAAGAUUUUAGAAUUGGGGAUGAUUUAGAUGAGAAAAAAUGGUAGGAAUAGAGUAAAGGAGAUGGUGUACAAUCUUGAUGCAAAAAGAAGAAGAAAGAGUUGGUAAAUGGGAGGUGUAGGCGACGACAACAAUAGGAGAAAGAAAGAAAAUUAAAGAGAAAAGUGGAGAGGAAGAUGGUGAACGGAUAGAGUAGGGAAAAUUUGAAUUAAAGGCUGAAAAAUACAAUAAAAAUUUCUAUUUAUACUUAGGGUUCAAGGGUAUGGAUCGCACAUACAUUUAAAAAAAUAAAGGAUUUUACGAAAUUUAAAAUUUCGUAAAGGAAAGGAUUCGAAAUUGGGACCUCAUUUAAUUUUCAUGUGUUCUCAUAUUUCUUUUAACCAUUAUGAUAUUUUCUCAUUCUUAAAAUCAUUUUACAAGAUUUAGUUUAAAAAUAAGGCAUGCCACAUUCUAGGGUUUAAGGCAAAAUUAGCAAAAUAAUAAAAAUAGUGAGAGAGAAGGGAUUUGAACUUGGGUUUCAUGGAAUGUUUGACUAACACUUAUCCAACAAACCAACACCUUAUUGAUUUCCUAAAAAUGCAUAGAUAAUCUCAAAAAUUAAGGCAUGACCACUCUUUCUCGAUUCACAAACCCGAUUAUGCUAAACCCUAAUUUUUGGAAUGUUACAAGGUAAGUUUGUAGUGUAACAAUAUAUAUGUGUGUGUUUUAGGGAUACGAUUGGCAUGCCAAUAGGGUUAGUAUGCAUGCUUGUACUGGAUCACACUUUGGUUCUUCUCUUUACACUUUGGUGCCUCUCUUUGCACUUCAGUGCCACUGUAUUUGCACUACAGUGCCUCUAUUAGCAUUUCGAUGUUUGGGGGAAACCCAAGUAUCGAAGUCAUUUUGCUGUAGUUCAACAUGCUGUGAAAUUUUAUGUUUAAAUGUUAAAUUACUCUUGAAUUUGAUUUAUAUACAAUGAUAUAUUUGUGUAUCUAUGUACAUAAGCAUUGAUUGCUUUGGUUUGAGCCAUUGUUUAUAUUGAAUCAUAUGAGAUGAAUGUUUUGAUUACUAUAGUUUGAGAAUAAAUAUUAAUUCCUUGGUGUAAUUAUAUGAUUCAUAUGUCUUUAAACAUGUUAUCUAAUUAUGUUUAUGGUGUGUUUAGAGAAUUAAAUUAUUAUAUGAGUAUUUUCCAGGUAUUCAAUGUUGUUUCAUUUGGUUUAAUGGGUAAAUAAAGCUUUAAAGGGUAUGUGAUUACACGAAAUGCACUACGAUAUUUGAGCAAUGAUAUGGAUCAUGAUGAAAUGUUUAAUUGAAAAGGAAAUAUGGUUUAGUAUAUAUAUAUGAGUGGUGAAUUAUGAAAGUGAAAUAUAGAUAUGUUAUAUACCAUGUUUUAUUCAAAUUAUAUAUGAUAUGUUACACCAACUAACCUUGUGAGGUGGUGGGUAUAGGAAAGGAAAGUUGGCUUAAAACAUAAUGAAAUUAUGCCUGCCUUUUUAACAUAAAAUAUUCAGUAAAUUAAGUUUCCUUUAUAUGAACUUACUCAACAUUAGUUGCUUGCAUAGUUAUUUUUCUUUAUUUUAUAGUUCAUCAGAAGCUCGACCGGUUGGAAUCAUGUCAAAGCACGAUCACACUAUCCAUUCAACAUUUUGAUAGCUUUUUUUAUUUUGGUAAAUGGUUAUAAAUGACAUGUAAUAGGGUUUAAAUGUCAUUCUAGUGAUUUGACUUGUUUUGAGUUGUGUCAAACUUCUUGUGAUUGAUGUUGUUAGUUGUUGGCAUGUAAAUAAUGGUGUAAAUAUGUGACAGCCCAAAAUUGACCCUAGUCGGGAAGUGGUUUCGGGACCGCUAAACCGAGUCACCGAAAGGUUUGAAUGUGAUGUUUAUUAUCUAGAAUAUGUAAUAAUGAAUGUGUGAAAAUUUCAAGCUUCGAUUUAGUCGAUUGCAUGCGAGUUUAGUCAAUAGGACUUAUAUGAGAAAAACUUUAAAAUGUGAUAGGUCAAUGCAUGAGGACCUAUUAGUGCAUGUGGAAGAAAAAGGGGACUUGCAUGUCAAAUUCCCCCUCCCUAAUAUGUAGUGGCCGGCCAUGCUAUGGGUGGAAACAUGUCACCAACAUGUUGUGUUAGUGAUGUAUGGUAAGGAAAAUAAAAUAUUAAGCAUGAUAAUUAAAAUAAAUUAAAGAAAGGAAUUAAACAAUGAAAAGGAAGGGUGAUGAAAAAAAUGGUCUCAUCCAUACCCCCCCCCCUUGUUGCCGUGAGUUGAGGAAAGAAAACAAAAAAAAAUGUGUGUUCAUUCUUGAACACCUUUGGCCGAAUAGAGGAAAGAAAGGAAGGGGAAGAGCUUGAGAAAAUCGGCUAUGGUGGUUUGCUAGACUAAGGUAUGUUUGAUGUUGUUCUUGAGAUGCAUGCAUGUUUUAGUAGUUGACUUGAGUUCUAAAAACCCAUGGUUCAAUUUUGUGGAUUGAUGAAGAUUUUGUGUUUUGCCAUUGAUGAGUGCUUGAGCUUUUUGAUAGUUGUUGAUGAAAAGUGAAAGAUAUGUUAAAGAUUAAUAUGUUUUGUGUUGAAGUUUUUGGUGAUUUUGAGUAGUUAGGGCUAUAUUACAAAAACAAAUUUUUGAAGGACUCAAAGGUGAAAUAAAUGAGAUGUAUGGACUUAUAUGGGCACUAGGAAGAUUCGGCCCUUAAGGAGUGUGACCAAACUUUGUGUAUUUUGUGUUUUGUGGAAUAAAGACUAAAUUGUGAAAGUGCGAAAUAUUAGGGGUAAAAAUGUAAUUUACCCAUUUAUGCGUUAUUAGACUAAAUUGAAUGAAAAUAUGUUAAAUUAAGGCUUGGCAAGCUAGCUAUUAAGGUGAAAUGCUAAUGUUAGUAUUUGAUUCGGUAAUAAUCUGUUUGGGGACAGCAGCAGUAAGGUGAUUUUGGAAAAUCGCCAUAAUUUGUAGGAGUUGAAUUAGAAGCUGAGUGAAUUAUGCCAUUAAAGCUUGAAGAGUCUAUUUUCUUACAAAAGAAACUAUGAAAACAAAAGAGUUACCGAUCUUGAGAUAUUUGAAGUAUUGUGGGGCUGAGUCAAAAUGACUACUAGAUUCCCUGUUCUGUUUUUAGAAAAUCAUUAUAAAUUGUACAAAAAUUAUUAUAAGAUAAAAUUUAUAUGCUUAGACUCCUUAAUGAGUCUAGUUUCAAAUGAGAUCAAAUACAACACAUUUUGAAUUCUGUAAAAUGAGAAAUUUGAUUCGUAGUGAAGAGUGGUCAGAAUAGUCAAACAGUGAAACAGGGGAAACUUUAAGAAAAAUCUGGUAUUGAUUGGCCAAGCCAAAAAUUCUGAAAAUUUUAUGGAUGGAAGAUAUAUGAGUCUAUAUUCAGGGAAAAUUAACAGCUAGUGAUUUGGAGUUUUGUAGCUCCAGUUAUAAACAAUUUAGCGACUACUGCUCAGGAAAACAGCUCGUAGUGAAUAUGUGAUUUUGUUGUAAACAUUAAUGAAAAUUUGCCAAUGAGUUAUUUAUUGACUAUUACAAAGCUUACUAUAAUCUAUGUGUGUGAAAGUCAAAUCAAUAUAUAUAUUAUUCUGAAAGUAAUACUUGAAUAGUCGAUUAAUGACUAUUUUAAGUUAUUGAUUUGGCUCAAGGAGUUAAAGGAGGUGAAUCGAGCAAAGGCAAAGAAAAGGUUAUCGAGUAGCCGAGUUGGAACCGUCUUACCCAACACGAGGUAAGUCAUUAAGCAUGUAGUUGGUAUUAUUUCAAUGGUCAUAAUGUUUAUGUAUUGAUGCUGAAUGGAAUGAAUAAAUAUACAUAUAUAUAUAUAUAUGUGCAUGUACGUAUGUGAUGAUGAGAUUGUUGAAUGAAAGAAAAGAGGUAAGAUGUACUGAGUUGUUGAUCUCGGCACUAAACGUGCGGGAUAACCAUUUAUGACCAUGAGAUUGGCGCUAAGUGCGCGGGAUUAAAUUGUACAGCACUAAGUGUGCGAUUUGACUAUGUUGCACUAAGUGUGCGAAAUGAAUAUGAUGCACUAAGUGUGCGAAUUGACCAUGCGGCACUAAGUGUGCGAGUUUGACUAUGUAGCACUAAGUGUGCGAUUUGAUUAUGUAGCACUAAGUGUGCGAGUUGAUUAUAUAGCACUGAGUGUGCGGACUCGAUAUACAUUCGUGAAUCAUUAUGGACACUAUGUGUGCGACACUAUUGAGUCGAUCGCGGACAGCGGAUCGGGUAAGUGUCUUGAGUACAUGGCUAAUAGGUGCUAUGCUUAUACUUGGUGUUGAGCUCGGUAAGUUUGAACCUAUGUGACAAAUAUACUUGAAGUCACGUACAUAAAAUUUAUCGUAGGAUUGGUGAAAGGCCGUUUAGUCGUUUGAUUGUAACGAAAAUAAAUUGAUUUAUGAAAAUGCUUCAAUGUCCUAUUGAUGAGUAUAUGGAAUGUGAAUGCAUGAAUUGAUAUGAAAUUGAAUUGAUAGGUUGGAGGAACUAUGGUAUGGUUCGGAAUGGAUGGAGUAAUUAGCCUCGUUCCAUUUUGUUUUCUCUUGUGAUAAUGUUAUUGAUGGAUGGUAGUGCAUAGCUUAUGACUUACUGAGUUAUAAACUCACUCGGUGUUUCCUUGUCACCCAUUAUAGGUUGCUUGGACUCAUCUAUUUUUUUGCGUGGUCGGGCCGUCAUCGAAGUCAUCACACCGGAUAGCAAGUUUUGGUACUUUCUUCUUAGUUGGCUUAGAAGAACAUUUUGGCAUGUAUAAGCUAUUACGUUGUGUUUGAACUUUGGCAUGUAAACUUUAAGCCAUGUGAAAAUGGCACGAAUGUUCGAUUGAGUUGGAUCAAGGGUAGGCAUGAAAUGGACCUAGUUACUUUCGUAACAGAUGCUGGCAGCAGCAGUGUCAUGAGAUUGAAAAAUCAUUAAAAAUAGUAGGAGUGGAAUUAAUUGAUGAAUAAAUUAUGUAAUCGAAGCUCGAUGAGUCUGUUUUCAUGAGGAAGUAACGAAAAGAUCAUAUGGGCAGUAUAUUAAGAGAUAAUCAGAUUUUUGUGGGACAGGGCCAGAACGGUUUCUGGAUUCCCUUCUCCGACUUUGGAAAUUCAUUACAAAUUAACCAGAGAUAAUUAGGGGUCGUACCAUAUAUGUACAGAUUCCUCUCUGAGUCUAGUUUUCAUAGAAAUAAACGGCAUCAGUAUUGGAGCCCCGUGCAGGGAGAUAUCCAAGUCGGAAUGGGAAAAGGUCAGUGUAGUCGACCCCUGCAACUGGGGAGACUUUGACUAAUAAACUGUACUAAUUGGCCCGACCAAAAAUUCUAGAAAAAAAUACAUAGAUGGGCACAUGAGUCUAGUUUCUGGGAAAAAUUACGAAACUGAUUUUCGAGUUAGGAAACUCAAGAUAUGAUUUUUAAAACGACUAGUACACGGAUUGGGCAGUGUCUGGAAAAUAAAUUUUGUAAGGGGUUAAAGCCAGUUAACACCUCGUGUUCGACUCCGGUGUCGGUUUCGGGUUCGGGGUGUUACAAAAUAUGUGUGGUUGGACCCUUAUGCAUGCUUUAUUGAUUAAAGAUAUCAUAUGGUAAAAUGGCAUGUUUUUGGAAUGGUUAUUUGGCAUGAUUAAAAUAGGUUUAAGUUUUGAUCUUGAGACGUUGAAUUGAAUUAAGUUUAAGAUGUAUAUUGUGAUACCUUCAUUGGCAUAUUUGUUAGAUAUUAAAGGAUGGUUGAUUUGGUAUGUUUUUGAAAUGGUUGUUGGUAUGUUUGAUCUAAGUUGAUUAAAUGAACUUGUAAUGUUCAACGGUAUAAUACUUGUUGGUACAUUAGUUAGUCUUAUAGGUUGAUGGAAUUGGUAUGUUUUAAAUGUGUUUAAAAUAUGUUUUGGUUAUUUCAAUGUUUGUGGAAAUGGUGUGUCUUGGUGUACAAGAUUUGUAAUUGAAAUGGCUCUAUUUAGAAGCAACUUCUGCUGCACACUACCUGGGACACGAGUUGUCACAUGGUUGUGCAUCAUUAAUGUUUUAGGUGCAGGUUUCACACAAUCUAAGACUCGGCUCACGACACGGUCUGGGCUAUGUCACACAGCUUGGCCGCAUGGCCAUGUGACCCUUGUUUUCAAGUUUUCAAAAUUUUCUAUUUUAUUUCAAAUUGAUCAUAGAAUAUUCUCAAACUAUUUUUAAGGCCCCGUAGGUUCGGAUUAUGGCCCGUAAGUGUAUGUUUGCUAUAAUUAAGUUGUGUUAUUGAAUGUUAUUAAUUAAAUCACAUGAAUAUUUUAUUGUAAGUUAAAUGUUUUAAUUUGUACCAUAAUGCUUUGUAACCCUAAUCUGGCGAUGAAGACUAGUUUGGGGUGUUAUAAUUUUGGACUGUAAAUUUGUUUUGGGGGCUUUGUUCUUUGGUUAUUGCGAUGUUGGUUAGAUUUUGGUGUUUUAACAUUAAACUGCAAAAUUGUAUGAUUUAACAAACUAAAAAUUAGUUUUUCAAAAUUAAAACUCUUGAAAUUUCAGUUGCAAAGAUUAAGUAAUCACUUCAGUGUUUUUCCAUAAAUAAUUAAAUUUUUUUUAACAAAUGUUUUCCUUAGUUUGGGAAAUGAUUUGCCAACAUAUGUACUUUUAAAACACAUGAUUUCAAAUUCAAAUUCUCAAUUUUAAAUAAGGGUUUUCAAACUUUAGUUUUUUUUAACAGUUGUGAGAGGUUUUUGCCAAAUUUUAUGUUUUCAGAACAUAUUAGUAAGUUGAUUUUUAAUUUGUUUUUUAAACGAGUCGAUGUAAUUCCUCAAAAAUCCAUUCAUAGCGUCUUAGUCUAGAUCUAAACAUUAAUAUUCUCUUCCAAGAAAAAUCAAGAUUAUCAAAUUGUUACAACUUGGUAGGUAGACAAUCAUAUUAAAUAAGCAUAAAACUUAAUAAAUAAUUAGCGAAGAUUGAAACAAUCAAAGAAAAAAUAAAUUAAUUAACUAAGAAAUAGGAUCCAUUAUUGUUUCAAGAAAACAGAGUUUAGUUCAUAUUGAGUUGAGAAAUCCAAAAGGGAGAUUCAAAACAAACUUGUGAAAAGGGGAACAAUGUCAAUAGAUCGUAUUCAAGUUGUUCAACUCGAGAAGGAAAGAUUCAGAUCUAACCUAAAAAGAAGAAACCAAACAGAUUUAGAAAAACAAGAAAAACAAAGAAAAUAACUAAAAUGAGAAAUUUAAGAGUAAUUAAUAAAUAUUAAAACUAAUAAAGAAAUAAAGAAAUUAUAGAAUAAAUAGUGGAAGAUGGAAUGAAUAAACGAUGGAUAUGACAUAUAGAUGGAUAAGUGUCUGAUAAUUCUUGAAAAGAGUUAUUUUUCAUGCCUUUAGACCUAACUUGUAAUGCCCCAAAAAUCCCUUAUAUAUUUAUUUUCGUAAGUUUGUAACAGAAAUAUCUGUUAGCUUUAGUGGUUAUAUGCUUUGGGAGUGUUUAGGAGGUCCCAAGUUGAAACCUUAGCUUGGGCAAUUUUUUUUUGUUUUAAAUGAAUAAAACUCUAUCUUUGAUUAGUAGGCUUAUAAAUAGAUGUUGGUAAAAAAUGUCAGAAUGGUUUUACUGGUUUAGUGGUUAAGUGGGGUGUAAAUAUGCAGGAGCUCUUAUGUUCGAAUCUUUGUGCGAUCAAGAGCAUUUAUUUUAUUACUUGUGUCGUGUAGGUAUUUUGGUCCAGCCAAAAUACUGAAGAGGUUGACUAAGGGUUGGUUUCGGUUGUUGAGAGGUUUAUGGUGGGUUAGUAGAGAGGAUUUUAAGGAGAAAUUUUAGAGAUAUGAAGAGAGAGUUAGUGCCGAAUUGAAUUUCUUUUGCUUUCUCAAAUUUCAGCUGGGGUUUGAUUUUUCUUUUCAAUUUGUUUCUAUUGACUGUUUUCCAUUCUAGAGGGUCAAAUAUUGCUGAGGGUUCCUACUAGUUUCUUUUUUUUCUUUUUCUCUCUUCUCUCUUUCGACUUUGUUCUUCCCAACUGCAAAAGUGCUCUUCCCUAAACUGUUACUACCGUCUACUUUCUCUUUUCCUCCCUUGCUUUUUUUAUUGUCGAAUUUUGGGUUCUUUAUGCAUUUAAUUCUAAUGUCAAUUUAUCACUUCUCUACCAAAAGAUUAUUAUUUUCUCUCAUUGAUUUUCGUUUGGUUCAUCCUUGCUACCAGAAGUGUGGUUGCCCUUCUUUCUUGGUUUCGUUUGUCAUCAUCUGCUACAUGUUCUUUAACACUCUUUUGGUAAGUGUUCGUUUCUUCACCGCUCAGUUACUUGAAGUUAGUUUUUAAAUGGUUGUGUAUUGUUUUGAAUAAGAAUCUGAUAAAUCGUGUGUUCCAACCCUAUUUAGAUCAGUUCAUGGUGGUGUUUAUUGAUGAUAUACUGGUGUAUUCGAGAACUAAGGAUGAGCACGAUGAACACCUCAGAGUGGUUCUACAGAUUCUACGAGAAAAAGAACUGUACGCCAAGUUUAGUAAAUGUGAGUUCUAGUUAAGUGAAGUAACGUUUCUGGGACAUGUGGUUUCUACUGAGGGGAUUAGAGUUGAUCAUCGAAAGAUUGAGGCUGUCUUGGAUUGGAAGCAGCCUAAGACUGUAUAUGAGAUCUACAGUUUUCUCAGAUUGGCAGGGUAUCGACAAUUUGUGUAAAGGGUUUUCUCUAAUUGCCGUACCCUUGACUAAGCUGCUACGUAAAGGCUUACCGUUUAACUGGACUGAUUCAUAAUAAGAGAGCUUUGAGAAGCUCAAGACUGUACUGACUGAGGCCCCUGUUCUAAUAUAGCCAGAGUCUGGAAAAGAGUUUACUAUUUACACUGAUGCAUCACAUGUCUGUUUAGGAUGUGUGUUGAUGUAAGAAGGUAAGGUGGUAGUGUACACGUCUCAUCAGCUUAAGAAUCAUGAGGUGAAUUAUCUUACGCAUGACUUGGAGUUGAAGUGAUUGAGUAUAAUAACAUUUAACAUAUUAGAGCCAAUUGGUUGUCCAUAAACAUAAAAAGGUGACCUUAAUGAGAUACGCCAUAGACUCAAAAGUGUAUCAUUUACACUGAUCACAAGAGCCUCAACUACCUCCUCACUCAUAAGGAGCUGAAUCUUAGGCAACAUAGAUGGAUUGAGAUGCUUAAGGACUACGACUGUACUAUUGAAUACCACCCUGGUGAGGCUAAUGUGGUGGCUGACGCACUAAGCCGUAAAACUAUGACUGAACUGAGGGUGAUGUUUUCUCGCCUUAUUUUAUUUGAUAAUGGUAGUCUGUUGGCCAAACUUCAGGUUAAACCGAUUUGGAUAGAGUAGAUUAAGUGUAUACAAGUAGAGAAUGAGUUGUUGGGUCUUCGUUUUUGACAGGUUGAGAGUGGGAAUACCAAGGAUUUUAGACUGAAUAGUGAAGGGGUGCUCUAUAUCUGUGGGAGAAUCUAUGUAAAGACCUUCGUGAGUUAUACUAGUGGCCAGGUCUUAAAUGAGAAUUUACUAAAUUUUUGGCUAAGUGUCUGACAUGCUAGCAGGUUAAGGCUGAACAGCAGUUACCUUCGGGAUUGUUGCAGCCAGUCAAGAUUUCAGUUUGGAAGUGGGAGCAUGUAACUAUGGAUUUCAUUAGUGGGUUACCCCUCACACCCACUAAAAAGGAUUCGAUGUAGGUCAUCGUGGAUUGAUUGACCAAAUCCGCCCACUUCAUACCAAUUUGUACUGAUUACUCUCUGUAGAAGCUGGCUAAAUUGUAUGUGUCUGAAAUAGUGAGAUUACAUGGGGUACCGAUUUUAAUAAUAUCUUAUAGGGAUCCUCAUUUCACAUCUCGGUUCUGGAAGAAGCUAUAUGAAGCUUUGGGUACAAGAUUGGAGUUUAGUACUGCGUUUUAUCCUCAGACUGACGGUCAGUCAGAGAGGGUGAUUCAGAUACUAGAGGAUAUGUUGAGAAGUUGUGUGAUUGACUUUCGAGGUAGUUAGGAGGAUUACUUACCGCUAGUAGAAUUUGCAUAUAACAACAACUAUCAGUCUAGCAUUCAAAUGACACCCUAUGAGGCAUUAUAUGGUCGUAGGUGUCGCACACCUUCAUGUUAGACUGAGUUAGGCGAGCAGCGUAUUUUGGGGCCUGAACCAGUUUCUGAUACAGAGGAUAAAGUUAGACUAAUUCAGGACCAACUGAAAGCGAUAUCUAAUAGGCAUAAGUCCUACACCGAUCUAAAGAGUCGAGGGAUUGAGUAUUCUGUGGGGGACUUCAUUUUUCUCAAGGUCUCACCAUGGAAGAAGGUAUUAAGGUUUGGUCGUAAGGGCAAGUUGAGCCCUAGUUUAUUGGGCCCUAUCGCAUACUAAAACGUGUGAGAUGAGUUGCCUACCAGUUGGAGUUACCUCUAGAGUUAGAUCGGAUUUAUGACGUGUUCCAUGUCUCUAUGUUGAGGUUACCGCUCUAAUCCUACGCAUAUUAUUCCUAUUAAGGAAAUCAAGGUUAGGCUAGAUCUAACCUUUGAGGAGGAGUCAAUUCAGAUAUUGGAGUGAGAUAUAAAGGUUCUAAGAAGAAAAUUCAUCCCACUAGUUAAGGUUAUUUGGCGUAACCAUAGCACUGAGGAGGCCAUAUGGGAGUCUAAGGAUGUAAUGCUUUAGCAGUAUCCUCACCUAUUCUGAUCAGGUAAAUUUUCAAGGCCAAAAUUUUCUUUUAGGGGGUAGAGUUGUAGCGCCCCAAAAAUCCCUUAUAUAUUUAUUUUCGUAUUUUUUAUACAAAUAUCUGUCAGCUUUAGAGGCUAUGUGCUCUGGUAGUGUUUGGGAGGUCCCAAGUUCAAGCCUUAGCUUGGGCAAUUUUUUAGUUUUAAAUGAAUAAAAUCAUAUCUUUGAUCAAUAGGCUUAUAAAUAGAUGUUGGUAAAAUAUGUCAGAAUGGGCAUGCUGGUCUAGUGGUUAAGUGGGGUGCAAAUAUGCUGCAGGUCUUGUGCUUGAAUCUCUAUGUAUAGAGCAUGUUGUUAAACUGUACUACAUGCAUAUAUGAUACCAUGAUAUGACAUGACAUGAUUGUGUGGUGCAUGGCAUGGGGAUAGGUUAUUAUUGAUCGAAGGAAGUGUACUGGAAGGCUUUGAGCCUAACUUACUGGCAGCUCAGCUGCAUAUUACUGUAUAGUGUCGCCAUUGGUACUACUUAGAGUGUAGGGAUGGGUGGGUUGAUUAUAUCCCCACAUGAAGUGUAGGGUUGGUCGGAGUUGGUGUGUAGAGGUUGGCUAGGUAGGACUUGUAUACUGCAUAAUCUGUUAAUGUACUGAUUGCUAAUAUUGUAAUGGGCCAAGGCCCAAAUGCAUGAUUACUUUUGUACUAAGAUGGGCUAAAGCCCAAACCAAUACUGUCACUGAUACUGGAAAGGGCUUAGGCCGGACUGAGUUUAUUCUGUUUUCUGUCUGAUUAUUUUGUGUACUGUCUAUUUGUUUGCACUAGGAAUAUCACACUGAGUUUUGAAAACUCACCCUUUCUGUUAAUCUGUGUAGGUAAUCCCCAGUCGUAGGUAGAUCGGUGUGGCGGAGGAUUCAGCGGUGGCCACACGACUCCUUUUUAUUGUUUCGUAUCUAAUGAUAUUUAUUUUUAAGUCUUUAUUUGGGGUUUUUAUCUGUAAUAAUUGCUGCUAUGGAUUUUUUAUUUAAAUUUGGAUUUAACACUACUUCAUGUUUACAUCUGCUAGAGGUAGAUAUAGCACGGAUUUUUGAAAAGAAAUGCAUGUGUUUUAGCAAAAUACCCCAAUGUCACAAACUGUUUUAAAAAGCUUCCGCAACGUAUAAUGAUUUGCAAACUAACAAUUGAAUAAAAAUCACUAUUUUGGGAUUAACAAAAGAUAACGACGACCUCUAAUCGAAAAAUGUUUUAAGCAAAGUUACCAUUUUUCAACAUGAGCUUCGGUUUUGAAAAAUACCACCAUGUGACAUCGCCAAAUUCGCCCGUAACAUCCAGGCUGGGUUUGGGGUGUUAGAUAACUAAUUGCUUGAACUUAAGUACAUUUUGUUGCAUUUUAAGACAUUUUAGUUAGCAUUUCUAAUAUUGCAUUAGGACUUAGAUUGUGUUGGACUUAUGUGUUUUUAAUAUGGUGGAGUUUUUUUGUGUGUUGGUAUGGCAAGAACAUAUUUUAGAACGAGGAAAUAAAUGAGUGAAGUUUUGUCAGGGAAAAAGUGCAGACAGUUUGCCAGCACGGAUGCCGUGACAAUGCCAGGAAGACCAAGUAAACAUUUUUUUGCGCAACAGUCUCAAUUGAAAUUAAAACUUGUACCAGAUAAAUCUUCAAAAAAGAGGAGAAGAUAAUCACAAGUUGUUACUUGACACUAGCCUAAUCUACCUAUAAAAGCCAAUAAAGGGGAUCUCACAAAUGGCAGAAAAAAGUGGGAGGGAUCCUUAGGUGUGAAUAAGGUUUUAGUUGCGCAAAGGAAAGGAAGUCGAAGGCAGUGCUUUUUAGCCAUCACAGGAUGUUGUGCUACCGAAGUGUAAACUAGGCAAGUGAAAGUUGUUUCCCAAAGUUCUUUCGUUAUUUCCAUCAGCGUUCCUUCAAAAUAUUGAAGUAGUUGAACACAAUGUCAGAUAAUAUUUUGCUUUUGAAUUUUAUUUCUCAGCCCAUGAGCUAAAUCUCGUAGGGUUGGGAUUACUUUUGAUGAAACCUUAAACUAUUUUUAUGGAUGCAGUAUAUAUCUAAUUUACUUUACUGUUUCAUUUGAUUGUUCUUAUUUCUUAAUUAAAAUGCAAAUGAUUUCUAAACAUAGAAGACUGUUCGCAUACUUAUAAACUCAUUCUAAUUCUGAAAGGGUUGGAUUGGUUGGAUUAAAAUUAAAUGAAAUGAGCAAGUAUUCGAUGGACACUUGUAGUAGACUCUAUACAUAGAGUGACGAUCAUACAGAAGGAACCCAUGCAAGGUAUCUAAAAAGUCUUUAGACAUAGGCAAGGUAACUUGAUGUUUUCCUCUCAUGAGAGGAGAGCCAUUUUAGUACUCUUCUGUGCUUUAUAGUAGAUACGAUUUUCCCAAGGCAUUAUUGACAAUAAGGGUCAAUAUUCGGUAAUCCUGACCUUCGAAAUCCACAUCGUAUAUCCUUUAUUCUUUUCCACAUCAUUAUUAGUUAUUUAUUUGUUCAUUUACAUAAUAUUCCCAUAGUAAUUCUCAUCAUUGUCAUUACAUUUCUACUCUUGGUUUGACACAACAUUACCACUUAUUUAUUAAUUCUAUGUAUUGCUUACAUCAUUACUCUACUAAUUGCCACUGUAUAUUCAUCAUUGACUCUCCCAUAGCAUUAAUCGUAUUUUAUUAUAAUAAUUUGACCAAUUGUGUGCCUCAAUCCGAUCUUUAUGGGAACGAUACACACUCAUCACUUUAUUACGUGAUUCAACUGUAUACUUGCACAAAUCGCAUAUCAUUUCACACACGAUAGUGUUCAAUUGAACCCUUUGAGAUAUAAACCUAGACAAACUCAAUUAAUGGCUUUAAUUAACCCACCAAGAAAUAAUGAUUGGCAAAUUGAACGAUGAAGAAUGAAUUCCCAUGACUCCUUAAAAAAUUGAGAAGAAAAAUACUUCUAAAAAUCACAAGAAACAAAUCUUGGACAAAGAAACUAACUUUCAGAGUUGGAAAUUUUAGUAAUAAACAAAAACAAUUGCAUCUCUAAUGAACAUGAAGGGCCUUUACAUAGGCUAGAUAAGUACAUCCAGAUAAAAUAUUCAAGUAUCUUGAAACUUUAAUUAAUAUAAGUAAUAAGUAAUUUUAAACUAAAAUAGUCAUAAUUUUCGUCAUAAUCCCGUCCAAAAAUUCUGCUCACAUAAUCAUCAUUAAAAUAGUCAUAAUUUAAGCUCUUGAACUCAAAAUUGAGUGAAUAAAAGUGUGUUUCGAAGUUAAGUGCUAGAUCUUAGAACUUUAUGAAGACAUAUCAAUCGAAAAUUGUCCGGAUCCCAUCCAAAGAGUCACAGCAAGUUAACUAAUUUUUCAAACUUGAAAAUUGGCAACUUCGGGGAAUGGAAUUUAAUACAGUUCACCCCAUCUAUUCAUGUAUCAACUCGCAUUGGUAAAAAGUAAAAAGAAAUAAUCUAUAGAGAAAAUAGUUGAAGAAUUUAUGAAAAUUUAUUCAAAUCUCUUUUUUUUCUAGUCUUUGCAAGCUUGAAUUUUCCCUUGGUGUGUGAGAGUUGUUCCUUACCCUCUAAGUGAUUUUUUUUCUUUUUCUUUCUCUUCGAUCUCGUCACCUAAGGGUGUUCAAACAAUUGAUUCAGUUAGUACCCGUGCAAAACUAUCAUUAACUGAAAUUUUGAAACCCUUAAUCAUUAAUCAAACCAUUUUCUUUUUUGAAACCUACUAACCAGCUUGAUUGAUUUGGGUUAAUUUGAGUGGUUAACCAAAAUUUAAACAUUGUUUGUUUUUGUUCAAACAAUUUUAAAACAAAGAACAAUCCAUGACAAUUUUUCCUUGUUUUUUAUUCAAAAAAAUUAAAAGAAUUAAAAAAAUAACAUAAUAACAACACUAAAUUAAAAACAUAAUAGCAUUCAUUACAUUACAAAGCAUAUAUAUAUAUUUACUUUUUCUUGACUUUUUAGUUUAAUUUUCGUUUUAUUUUCCUAAUAUUUUUAGUUUUCAUAUUUUUGUUAAGCUUAUUAUAAGAACACUUAUAAAUCCAUUAGUUCUUAUAUAUUGGGUUUGUAUAAUGUAUUCGACCUAUCUCUAAUAUAUUGGGCCUAUAAUAUAUUUUUAUUGAUUUCGGUUAAUCAAUUCAUUCGAUUAAUUAGUCGAUUUCAAACUAAAAUAAUUGGUAAACAAAAUCUUCAAAAACCUUUAACCAACUCCAACCAAAUUAGAUUCAUUGAUCAACUUCUUAAUCAAAUUAAUUAGGUUUGAUAAAUUAAUUCGUUAAAACUGAAAAAUGCACACCCCUAUCAUCACCGUUGUUUUUAGGGAUUUUAAUCAUGUUGCUCCACCUGAUGCAGAAGUUGAGGUGGAAUGAACUACUUGCUACCAAAAUUUUUGAAUUAUAGAGCAUGCUCUACCGCAGUGAAUCAAAUUCGGUGGAGUGGAAGACUUUUCUUUACUACUUUAUGCUCUAUGCUCCAAGUCUUCUAUUCUUCUUCUGAGACCUAAAAUGGGAAAAAAAAAGAAGAAACAAGUCUAAACUAACUUUGAAAAUUAGAAAUUCUCAACAAAAUUGAAAUAAAAUAUAAUUAAUCCAUAAAAACUAUAAAAAAUACAAUAAAAACGAACCUAAAUACUAAAAUUACCUCCUAAAAAGCUAUGGAAACUAUACUAAAAUAAUUCUAAAUAUGAUAGUUAUCAAAAAUGACAUGAGGAAGCCAAUCGAGUAGAUGCUUUCAACUAUUGCAAAUACCAUUAGUCGAUUAGCCAUCAUCUUGAGAACAUCAUAGAGUUGAAAGAAAAAAUCAUACAACUCCAUAAAGAAGAAAAAAUCAUUUUUGAAAAAGAAUUGGCAUUAUCAAACUUGACAUCAAUGCUUUGGUUUCUCAAUACAAUAUUAUGGACAAAUUCAUCAAAUUUGGCUCUUUCAAUCCUAUUACACUAGCUCUAAGUAGAAGUAAGAUGGUGAGUUUCGAAGGGAUUGAGGGCAAUCAUCUAUUUUUGGAAUAUCAGAAUGGUCAUGAUUGGACUCUAGCCACAUGUCAAAGAAGCCAAUGAAAAGCAUCUCUCCUAGGUAUAAGCUUAUAUUAUCACAUUGCUCCUAAGCAUGAGCAUAAAUCGUUCAUCCAGAAUGAUGAUGAUCCUAAGCAUAAGCUUAAACUAUUCAUCUAAUGCUCCUAAGAUGGAGCUUAAUCUAUUCAACCUAAACGAUCAUGCUUUAAGCACAAUCUUAAACUAUUCACAAAAAAUAAAUGAUGAUCCAAUGAAGCAUGAGCUUAAACUAUUCAUACAAAAUAAGCGAUGACCUUCUAAGCAUGAAUUUAAAUUGUUCAUACAUAAUAAAUGAUGAUAUUACUAAGAACAAGCUUAAACUGUAGUCUAAAAAAUAUUGAACUAUAUUAUAACUUGAUCUUUUAAAAAUGAAGGUACGUAGAUAGCUUGGUUUCAUUGCCAAGUUCAGUCUAAUUAAAUAUGUUUAUGGUGUGUUUAGAGAAUUAAAUGAUUAUAUGAUUAUUUUCCAGGUAUUCGAGGUUGUUUCAUUUGGUUUAAUGGGUAAAUAAAGCUUUAAGGGGUAUGUGAUUACAUGAAAUGAACUAUCAUAUUUGAGUAAUGAUAUGGAUGAUGAUGAAAUGUUUAAUUGAAAAGGAAAUAUGGUUUAGUAUAUAUGUAUGAGUGGUGAAUUAUGAAAGUGAAAUGUAGAUAUGUUUUAUACCAUGUUUUGAUUCGAAUUAUAUAUGAUAUUUAAACCAACUAACCUUGUGAGGUGGUGUGUAUAGGAAAGGAAAGUUGGCUUAAAACAUAAUGAAAUUAUGCUUGGUUUUUUAACUUAAAAUAUUCAAUAAGUUAAGUUUCCUUUAUAUGAACUUACUAAACAUUAGUUGCUUACAUAGUUAUUUUUCUUUAUUUUGUAGUUCAUCAGAAGCUCGACCGAUUGGAAUCAUGUUAGAGCAUGAUCACACUAUCCAUUCAACAUUUUAAUAGUUCUUCGUUAUUUUGGUAAAUAGUUGUAAAUGACAUGUAAUGGGGUUUAACGGUCAUUCCAGUAAUUUGACUUGUUUUGAGUUGUGUCAAGCUUAUUGUGAUUAAUGUUGUUAGUUGCUGGCAUGUAAAUAAUGGUGUAAAUAUGUGUGAUCGGACCCUUAUGCAUGCUUUAUUGAUUAAAGAUAUCAUAUGUUAAAAUGGCAUGUUUUUGGAAUGGUUAUUUGGCAUGAUUGGUAUUUAUGAUCUUGAGAUGUUGAAUUGAAUUAAGUUUGAUAUGUAUAUUGUGAUACCUUCAUUGACAUAUUGGUUAGAUAUUAAAGGAUGGUUGAUUUGGUAUGUUUUUGAAAUGGUUGUUGGUAUGUUUUCUCUAAGUUAAUUAAAUGAAUUUGUAAUGUUGAAUGGUAUAAUAUUUGUUGGUACAUUAGUUAGUCUUAUAGGUUGAUGGAAUUGGUAUGUUUUAAAUGUGUUUUGGUUAUUUCAAUGUUUGUGGAAAUGGUGUGUCUUGGUGUACAAGAUUUGAAAUUGAAACGGCUUGAUUUAGAAGCAACUUAUGCUACACACCGCCUGGGACAUGGAUUGUCACAUGGCUGUGUCAUUAUUAUUUUAGGUAUAGGUUUCACACAAUCUAAGACUCAGCUCACGACACAGCUGUGUAUCACAAGUCAGUAUGUAACACGGUUUUGUACAUGGCCUGCGACACGAUCGUGUGUCCAGACUUCGAAUGUCCACAUGGUCUAGGCUAUGUCACAUGGCUUGGCCACAUGGCCGUGUGACUUUUGUUUUCAAGUUUUCCAAAAUUUUCUAUUUUAUUUCAAAUUGAUCCUAGAAUAUUCUCAAACUAUUUUUAAGGCCCCGUAGGUUCGGAUUAAGGCCCGUAAGUGUAUGUUUGCUAUAAUUAAGUUGUGUUAUUGAAUGUUAUUAAUUCAAACACAUGAAUACUUUGUUGUAAGUUAAAUGUUUUAAUUUGUACUAUAAUGCUUCGUAACCCUAAUCUGGCGAUGGAAACAAGUUUGGCGUGUUACAAUUUUGUAUUGUAAAUUUGUUUUGGGGCUUUGUUCUUUGGUUCUUGUGAUGUUGGUUGGAUUUUGGUGUUUUAACAUUAAACUGCAAAAUUGUAGGAUUUAACAAACUAAAAUUAGGUUUUCAAAAUUAAAACUCUGGAAAUUUUUGUUGCAAAGUUUAAGUAAUCACUUAAGUGUUUUUCUAUAGAUAAUUAAAUGGUUUUUAACAAAUGUUUUCCUUACUUUUGGAAAUGAUCUGCCAACAUUAGUACUUCUAAAACACAUGAUUUCAAAUUCAAAUUCUCAGUUUUAAAUAAGGGUUUUCACACUUCGAUUUUUUUUAAACAUUUUUGAGAGGUUUUUGCCAAAUUUUAUGUUUUCAGAACGUGUAACCAAGUUGAUUUUUAAUUAGUUUUUCAAAGUAGUCGAUGUAAUUCCUCAAAAAUCCAGUCAUAGCGUCUAGGCCGGGUUUGGGAUAUUAUACUGACGUUACUAAAGUUAAUCUUCAUCUAUUUAGUCUUGAUCUAAACAUUAAUAUUCUCUUCAAAAAAAAUCAAGAUUAUCAAAUUGUUAAAACUUGGUAGGCAGACAAUCAUAUUAAAUAAGCAUAAAACUUAAUAAAUAAUUACCGAAGAUUGAAAUAAUCAAAGAAAAAAUAAAUUAAUUAACUAAGAAAUAGGAUCCAUUAUUGUUUCAAGAAAAUAGAGUUUAGUUCACAUUGAGUUGAGAAAACCAAAAGGGAGAUUCAAAACAAACUUGUGAUAAGGGGAAUAAUGUCAAUAGAUCAUAUUCAAGUUGUUCGGCUUGAGAAAGAAAGAUUCAGAUCUAACUUGAAAACAAGAAACCAAAAAGAUUUAGAAAAACAAGAAAAAACAAAGAAAAUAACUAAAAUGAUAAAUUUAAGAAUAAAUAAUCAAUAUUAAAAAUAAUAAAGAAAUAAAGAAAUUAUAGAAUAAAUAGUGGAAGAUGGAAUGAAUAAACGAUGGAUAUGACAUAUAGAUGGAUAAGUGUCUUAUAAUUCAUGAAAAGAGUUAUAUUUCAUGCCUUUAGACCUAACUAAUUGUUUGUACUUAAGUACAUUUUGUUGCAUUUUAAGACAUUUUAGUUAGCAUUUCUAAUAUUGCAUUAGGACUUAGAUUGUGUUGGAAUUAUGUGUUUUUAAUAUGGUGGAGUUCUUUUGUGUGUUGGUAUGGCAAGAACAUAUUUUAGAACGAGGAAAUAAAUGAGUGAAGUUUUUUCAAGGAAAAAGUGCAGACAGUUUGCCAGAACAGAUGCCGUGACAAUGCCAGGAAGACAAAGUUAACAUUUCUUUGCGCAACAGUCUCAGUUGAAAUUAAAACUUGUACCAGAUAAAUCUCCCUAAAAGAGGAGAAGAUAAUCACAAGUUGUUACUUGACACUAGCCUAAUCUAUCUAUAAAAGCCAAUAAAGGGGAUCUCGCAAAUGGCAGAAAAAAAUGGGAGGGAUCCUUAGGUGUGAAUAAGGUUUUAGCUGCGCAAAGGAAAGGAAGUCGAAGGAAGUGCUUUUUAGCCAUCACAGGAUGUUGUGCUACCGAAGUGUGGACUAGGCAAGUGAAAGUUGUUUCCCAAAGUUCUUUCGUUAUUUCCAUCAGCGUUCCUUCAAAAUAUUGAAGUAGUUGAACACAAUGUCGGAUAAUAUUUUGCUUUUGAAUUUUAUUUCUCAGCCCAUGAGCUAAAUCUCGUAGGGUUGGGAUUACUUUUGAUGAAACCUUAAACUAUUUUUGUGGAUGCAGUAUAUAUCUAAUUUACUUUACUGUUUCAUUUGGUUGUUCUUAUUUCUUAAUUAAAAUGCAAAUGAUUUCUAAACAUAGAAGACUGUUCGCAUACUUAUAAACUCAUUCUAAUUCUGAAAGGGUUGGAUUGGUUGGAUUAAAAUUAAAUGAAAUGAGCAAGUAUUCGAUGGACACUUGUAGUAGACUCUAUACAUAGAGUGACGAUCAUACAGAAGGAACCCAUGCAAGGUAUCUAAAAAGUCUUUAGACACAGGCAAGGUAACUUGAUGUUUUGCUCUCACGAGAGUCAGGCCAUUUUAGUACUCUUUUGUGCUUUAAAGUAGAUACGAUUUUGCCAAGGCAUUAUUGACAGUAAGGGUCGAUUUUGGGUAAUCAACUUUCCAAAUCCACAUCGUAUAUCCUUUAUACCUUACCAUAGUAUAUUUGCCACAUCAUUAUUAGUUAUUUAUUUGUUCAUUUACAUAAUAUUCCCAUAGUAAUUCUCAUAAUUAUCAUUAGAUUUCUACUCUCAGUUUGCCACAACAUUACCAAUUAUUUAUUACCUCCACGUAUUGCUUACACCAUUACUCUACUAAUUUCAACUAUAUAUUUAUCAUUGAGUUUGCCAUGGCAUUAAUCGUAUUUUAUUAUAAUAACUUGACCAAUUGUGUGCCUCAAUCUGAUCCCCAUGGGAACGAUACUCACUCAUCACUUUAUUACGUGAUUCAACUGUAUACUUGCACAAAUCGCAUAUCAUUUCACACACGACAGUGUUCAAUUGAAACCUUUAAGAUAUAAACUCGGACAAACUCAAUUAAUGGCUUUAAUCAACCCACCAAGAAAUAAUGAUUGGCAAAUUGAACGAUGAAGAAUGAAUUCCCAUGACUCCUUAAAAAAUUGAGAAGAAAAAUACUUCUAAAAAUCACAAGAAACAAAUCUUGCACAAAGAAACUAACUUUUAGAGUUGGAAAUUUUAGUAAUAAACAAAAACAAUUGCAUCUCUAAUGAACAUGAAGGGCCUUUACAUAGGCUAGAUAAGUACAUCCAGAUAAAAUAUUCAAGUAUCAAGUACAUCCAGAUAAAAUAUUCAAGUAUCUUGAAACUUUAAUUAGUAUAAGUAAGAAGUAAUUUUAAACUAAAAUAGUUAUAAUUUCCGUCAUAAUCCCAUCCAAAAAUUCUGCUCACAUAAUCAUCAUUAAAAUAGUCAUAAUUUGAGCUCUUGAACUCAAAAUUGAGUGAAUAAAAGUGUGUUUCGAAGUUAAGUGCUAGAUCUUAGAACUUUAUGAAGACAUAUCAAUCGAAAAAUGUCUGGAUCCCAUCCAAAAAGUCACCACAAGUUAACUAAUUUUUCAAACUUGAAAAUUGGCAGCUUUGGUGAAUGGAAUUUAAUAAAGUUCACCCCAUCUAUUCAUGUAUCAACUCGCAUUGGUAAAAAGUAAAAAGAAAUAAUCUAUAGAGAAAAUAGUUGAAGAAUUUAUGAAAAUUUAUUCAAAUCUCUUUUUUUUCUAGUCUUUGCAAGCUUGAAGUUUCCCUUGGUGUGUGAGAGUUGUUCCUUACCCUCUAAGUGAUUUUUUUUCUUCUUCUUUCUCUUCGAUCUCGUCACCUAAGGGUGUUCAAACAAUUGAUUCAGUUAAUACCCGUACAAAACUAUCAUUAACUGAAAUUUUGAAACCCUUAAUCAUUAAUCAAACCAAUUUUUUUGAAACCUACUAACUAGCUUCAUUGUUUUCGGUUAAUUUGAGCGGUUAACCAAAAUUUACACAUUGUUUGUUUUUUUUCAAACAAUUUUAAAACAAAGAACAAUCCACGACAAUUUUUCCUUGUUUUUUAUUCAAAAAAAUUAAAAGAAUUAAAAAAAACAUAAUAACAACACUAAAUUAAAAACAUAAUAGCAUUCAUUAUAUAUAUAUUUACUUUUUCUUGACUUUUUAGUUUAAUUUUAGUUUUUUUUUUCCAAAUAUUUUUAGUUUUCAUAUUUUUGUUAAGCUUAUUAUAAGAAAACUUAUAAAUCCAUUAGUUUUUAUAUAUUGGGUUUGUAUAAUGCAUUGGACCUAUCUCACAUAGUCAUCAUUAAAAUAGUCAUAAUUUGAUCUCUUGAACUCAAAAUCGAGUGAAUAAAAGUGAGUUUCUAAGUUAAGUGAUAGAUCUUAGAACUCUAUGAAGACAUAUCAAUUGAAAAAUGUCUGAACUCCAUCCAAAAAUUCACGCAAGUUAACUAAUUUUUCAAACUUGAAAAUUGGUAGCUUCGGUGAAUGGAAUUUAGUAAAGUUCACCCCAUAUAUUGAUGUAUCAACUUUCAUUGUAAAAAGUAAAAAGAAAUAAUCUAUAGUGGUUAGUGUUUUAAUGGGGGUUUUGUGUUUACUCUCGGUUAGGGGAAGGGCAAGAAGAGUUGGUACUCCUGCAGCAAUUUGAGCGUUAAGGGUGUCUGUUCGUCGGCGGUAAGGUUUCAAAUUCUUUGUUGGUUAUUGUAAGGCUCCGUUUGUGGAAUGGUUUUGGAUUGAGUUUCGUAAGUGUACUGAAUUUGGGCUUCUGGAUGCUAUUUCUUAGGUUCGAUGGUCUCGGGGGUGCUUGUGCAUCAAAACGAUAUCAGGUGUGUACCCGAAAUGCAGAAAAUCGAGCUUCGAUGAAAUCUAAAACACCUUACUAUCGACACCACAAGGGCAUGUGCCUGGCCGUGUGGUUGGCUGUGUGUAGGACACGGUCAUGUGUUUGACGAGGGUAGGGUCGUGAGGAAGACAUGGCCGUGUGACGAUGUGGGCCCGCAGGCUAGGCCAAGUUAGGCUUGUGGGUUUUGGGCCACAUGUGCAUGUGGGUUUUGGGCCAAGCCAUGUGAACCACAUGGACAGGGCUAAUCUGGGUGUGUUGACCACAUGGGCAUGUGGGCCCGAAAUUCUAAAAUUUUUCGUAGGGUCUCACAGGUCAUUUUGGUCGACUUUGUGCCUACCGUAGGGUCAGUAAGGGCUAACCAAACCCUAAAACUAUGUGAUCUGUUAGUUUGAUAUUUGUUCUAAAUAUGAUACUACUAUGCAUGUCUGAUUAGUCUGGUGUAUAUAUAUAUAUCUGAUAUAUAUGUAUGAGCAUGUGAGCAUGAUAACUCUGAUUAUAUAUAUCUGAUUGAGGUGGGAUUUCUAUAUGUGGAGGAAGUGUUCUAUAUGGCGGUCAUCGCCUAUGUUCUGGCAGCUUGGCUAUACAUUAUCUGACAUGUAUCGUAAUGGCACGAUAUGGUGUGUAGGGAUUGGUGGGUGUUUUUAACCCCACAUGAUGUGAUGGGAUGGUCAGAGUUGGUUUGUAGAGGAUGGAGUUAGGAUUCUGUAUUUCUAAUAUGCAUAUAUGUUCUAUUAUUUGAAUCUAUAAAGGACUUAGGUCUGAAUCUGAAUCUGAAAUUGUAUCUGAUCGUGUAUGAGUUUAUUGCACGUAUUGCAUGUAUUUUUCUGUUGGGUUACACACUGAGUUUACGAAAACUCACAUUUGUUUGUCGGUUUUGUUUAGGUAAUCCACAGACUUAGACGGGUCAGUGUUACGGAGGCUCAGUGGUGACCACUUGAUUGAGAACUAUUUUACUUAGUAAAUUAUGUUUUAUUUAUAAUUUCGAUUUCAUUUGAGAGUUUGUAAUUUUUGGGACUCUCCGGACUGCUGGUUUUUAUUUUGGUUUUGGAUGCGAUUUUAGACUCUUUUGUUGCGAUGCAUAAUGGAAAACACGGUUUUAUGAAAACAAAGGUUAUUCUGAAAAUACGAACUGGAUUUCUAAAAUAUAACGGUUCAAAAACUUCUGCUAAAAAUCAUGUUUUGGUAAAUAAAUGAAUUAAGUAACACUUUCAAAAAUGGUUAUAAAGAAAUAUGAACUAUGAAUCUUUAAUGAUUUGACAAAAAGACCUUAUUUUCAAAACCAUACAUUGUGACCACUCCAGAUUCAGCUAUAACGUCUAGACCGAUUUGGGGUGUUACAGUAAGGAUGAAAAUUUAAGGGGGAGUGAGCUAUGGCGCUUAGUAUGAGUUCAUUCACAAUAAAUUCAAUGCAAACGGUUGGUAGGACACAUUAAAUAAUAUCACAUAAAAUAAUCACAGUCAGAUAAUAGUUUAGAAUGUCGGUUUUACAAUUUAACCACCAAUAUUAUCACAGUAUUCACAGUUGUAAUUUCAGAAUAUCAAAUUUUCACACCAUUCACAAUAUUUAGAUAUAUAUAAAUAUAUCAUAACAGAAUUCCAGAUUUGUAUGCACAUGAUUUAGAAGAUGCCAUACAAUUUCGGGUUUUAACAGAAUAAAUCCUACCCCACGUUACAUACCAUAAUGGGAGUUCCCCUAAACUCCCUUCUCCAACACACUGGGUACCACUACUGGUUUACAAAUAAUAACUAUCAUUUGGCUGUGGACACACAGCAAUCCCCCACAAUUGGAUUCUAGAUUUGGUUGUGGGUUCACAGCAAAAAAAUCUACAAAUGAAGCAUGCUUUUGCCUGUAGAUUAUACAACAUAUACCCAUAGUUGGAAUCUGCCUUCGGCUGUGGACACACUGUAACACCUCAAACCUGACCUGGACGUUAUGGCCGAAUCUUGAGGAAUUACUUUAACUCGCUAGAAAACCCAAGAGUUUACUUUGAAAUCAUGUGGUUAAACUAGUGUUCACUUUGAUAAAUCGUUUUCCAGUUUUAGGGAAAAUUAUUAUUAAAACUACUACUUUAUUACAAUAAAAAAUUAAAGUGAUUGUAUCAUUUUGUAACGGAAUCUACUGAGCUAUAAGGUUUUGAAAAUCGUGGUUUAAUUUGCAACAAAUCAUUUUGCAAAUAGAAAUUUAAUACUACUUAAUUUGGAAAAGCAUGCUAAAACGAAAGCAAAGUCCAAACUAAUUUACGAUUUAAAUUCUUAAAAGUCCAAAUUAAACAUAAAGUCAAUUUAAACCAGUUUAUCGAAAGUGUAACACCCCAAACCCGGCCUAGACAUUAUGGCCAAAUCUGGAUGUGUUACAAAAAAAAAGUUUAUAAAACGACUUCCUUGUUAUUGGCAAAUCAUCGCAACCAUUAUUACAUAGUAUGUCUGAUUUGUUUGGAGAACUUUUUGAUAUACUUAUUUGAUUUAAGAUCGUUGCUUGCUUAUGCCUUUCUAUUAAACCGAAUGUUUUGCAGUGGAGUUUCUUUAAAAUGUCAUAUUUUGGCAAAUCAAAUUGUUUCUUGAAAAUCGUUAUUUCAGAAAAGUUGUCAUUUUCAGGAAAACUAUUUUAUCGGUUGUUACGCUUAGAAAACCAAAAUAAAAUCCAAAACCAAAAAUAGUCCCAAAAAGUCCAAAGAGUCCCGAAAUUACAAAACUCUCAAAACCAGAAAAGUUUGAACUAAUUUUAAAAGAAUGAAAAUUUAUAGAAAUAUGGUCAACAUUGAGCUUCCGUCACACCGACCCACAUAAAUGUAAGGGUUACUUGAACAGAACAAACAAAUAGAGAGUGAGUUUUGAAACUCAGUGCGUAACGCGAAUAUAAACAAAAAUUUAGAAUCAAUCUAAUGCAUAACAGAUACAAAUGUAAACCUUUUAUAGAAUAAGAAUUAUACAGAUACAAAUGUGCAAAAUCCUACCCUCGUCCUCUACACACCAAUUCUGACCAGCCCAUCACACCACGUGGGGUAUAAAACACCCACCUAGCCAUACACACGGUAUAGUGUUUAUACGACACUUUUCAGAAUAAUCGCAGUAGAGUUGCCAGUAUAUAGGUGAGAUAUUUCCUCACACAGAACACUUCCUCCUCAUAAUACAAAUCCCGCUCCAUAGCCAGAUACAGACAGAAUAUUAGGUAAAACAAAUUAACAGAUACCAGAGUUAACAUAUCAUGCAUGAGCGUAUAACAAAUAUUACACAUGCUUGUACAUAACAGAACAAACCAUACAUACCGUAUUCCAUAAUACUCAUAUAAAUGUUAUUUUUUAAAUUGUAACAAAUAUUAUUAUUAAGAUGUUUUUCUUUUUAUAUUUUUAUAAAAAUAUAUUAAAAAACAAUUAGAAUAAUUUUAAGAGAAAAAACACUCAUAAAUAGUAGAAUUUAAUCUAAAAAUAUCAAAGUUUUAAAGCCUCAACUUUAACAUUUCAACCAAAAUUCCAUUAGUAUAUAAAUAUUUCAUAAAUAUAGAUUUUAUAUAAAAAAUUUAUGUUAACUUUUUUUUAACCCGCAUCACAAGUAUACCAUAUUUAGAGAUAUUCAUAGCUAGGCAGCCCACUUUGGGUCAAGCUUGAGCUUAGGUUUUAUCUCAAGUUGGCCCAAUUUAACCUAUUUUACUAUUUAAAAAUAUAAAUAUAUGUUAUAUUGAUAUUUAUAUAUUUCUAUAAUUAAAUUUUAAAUAAAUUUAUUGUUAACUUCUAAACAUAAAACAAAGAGAACUUUCACCCAAGUUAUAAGUUUGUGGUUAGACAGCCGACUUUCGGGGCAGGAUUCAGCUUACGUUUUUAAUCUUGGGAUUUAACAAUAAUAAAAAAUUUAAAAAUAAUAUUCUAUUAAUAUUUAUAAAUUUUAUAAAUUUAAAUUUAAUUAUAUUUUUUAAACAGUAAAAUGAACCAUUUAUAUGGGCUAAUUAGAGUUAAGUUUGGUUUGAAUCAAGGCUUAACUUUGACCAAAUCCAACUAAAAACACCUCUAACAAUUAUCUAGUAUUGUUUUUAUGAAUUGAAUUUUAACUUCUAAUUUUCAAUUUUAUUACAAAAUUUCUUUGCGGACGAUAAGAAAAUAACAUAUUUGUAACUUCUUCACUCCGACGUAAAGGUUAAGUCUGAAUUUGGAUUACAUCGGCCAUAAAUAUGGCCUAGCAGGAUUAUCGGAGUUUUUAAAAAUAGACAUCUUUAAAACGUUUGUUUAAUUUAUAAAAAAGCUUAUUUAAUUUCCAAAUUAUUUAUUACUUGAAAUCUUAAUUACAUUUUAAAAGCAGGAAGUGGUAACUAUUUAUUUUUAAUAAAAAUCGGGGUUCAUGUAUAAUUCAUUAAUAACCGUAAUUCGAAAACAUUAAAACUUAAAUUAAAUGUCAUGCAAAACAAAACAAACUUAAAUCUAAAUCUCAUGCCACAGUGCAAAACAAUUUAUUGUAGUCUUAGAAAAUAAAAAAAAAUCAUAUAAUGAACCUAAAAUAAUUUUUUUUACUUUAAUAAUGUGUCAAGACCUUACAAAUGUCACGCCCACGUUCAAUCCUGGUGGGUUAUCUAUAAGGAUGAAAAUUUAAGGGGGGUGAGCUUUGACGCUUAGUGUGAGUUCAUUCACAAUAAAUUCAAUGCAAACGGUUGGUAAGACACAUUAAAUAAUAUUGCAUAAAAUAAUCACAGUCACAUAACAGUUCAGAAUGUCGAUAUUACAGUUUAACUACCAAUAUUAUCACAAUAUUCAUAGUUGUAAUUUCAGAAUAUCAAAUUUCCACAUCAUUCACAAUAUUAACAUAUAUAUAAAUAUAUCAUAAUAGAAUUCUAGAUUUGUAUGCACAUGAUUUAGAAGAUGCCAUACAAUUUUGGGUUUUAACAGAAUAAACCCUACCCCACGUUACAUAUCAUAAUGGGAGUUCGCCUAAAAUCCCUUCUCCAACACACUAGGUUGUGGAUAAACCAAUACUCAUCCGCAGAUAAUAACUAUCAUUUGGCUGUGGACACACAGCAAAUCCCCACAGUUGGAUUCUAGGUUUGGCUAUGGGUUCACAGCAAAAAGUCCUGCAAAUGAAGCCUAUUUUUGCAUGUAGAUUAUACAACCUAUACCUGCAGUUGGAAUCUGCCUUUGGCUAUGGAUGCACUAUAACGCCCCAAACCUGACCUGGACGUUAUGGCUGAAUCUUGAUGUAACGCCCUAAAAUUUCUAAUUCUAUUAUUGUAAAAAUAUGACACAAAAUAUUUGUCUGCUUUAGUGGUUAUGUGUUCUGGGAGUGUUUGGGAGGUCCCAAGUUCACGUCUUUGCUUGGGCAAAUUUUGGUAUUUUGAAUGAAUUAGGCUUUACUCUUGUUCAGUAGGAUUUUAUUUGAUUGUUGGGAAAAUUAUAUCAGAAUGGGCUUGCUGGUCUAGUGGUUAAAUUGUGUGUUAUUAUGGUGAAGGUCUUGUGUUCAAAUCCUUAUGUAGGCAAAGGUAUUAUUAUUAUUAUUUUUGCUCAGAUUUCGGGAUAUAGUUGUGUAAUAGGGGGAUUCUGAGUAGUGGAUGUGUAGUGGGAAUUAGGGGAGAAGAUUAAGGGGUUUCGGGAUUUUAUUUUAUUUUUUCCCAGAACGGAAUUUUGACUCUCUUUUCCAAAAAAAUUCUGUCGUCUAUUCUUCUCCCUCUCCUCUUGUCGAUAUUCUCUAAGUUUUUUCAUCUUUCUCUUCUUUUUCUUCUUCUUGAUUUUUCCCUAAUCCAUUUAUUUUUCCUUCAUUUUCGCACGCGAUUAGUGCUCGCUUAGUUUCGGUAAGCGUUUCUCUUUGUUUUUAUCAUGAAUCUCCUAGGGACUAAAGUGGUAAUUUUUUUCUCUGCGAUUUGGGCAUAAGGGAAGGCUCGGACUGGUGAAUUCAGUAUUCUCAUCUUAUCAAUAGUUAAAUGGGGGGUUAUCGUUGGUGGUAUGUUGGGUUUCUGUUCGUUCUUGGUUGUCAAUUCGCUUGUAAAUCCAUUAAAUUGAUGUUUAGUAUCUUGAUUAUAGGCUUUGGAGUGCUUGGGGACUGUUUUAGCAUCAAACAAAACCAGGUGUGUACCCGAAACGCAAAAAAAAAGGGAUUCGGUGAAAAGUUAAAAUUGCUUGCUAUUUGGACAGCAGCAGUAGACUAAUUUUGAAAAAUCACCAUAAAUUGUGGAAAUCGAAUUAGAGGAUGAAAAAAAUAUGAAAUUAAAUCUUAUUGAGUCUAGUUUCUCAUAGAAGAAACGGUGUAAGUAAUGGAAUUGUAAAUCGUGAGAUAUAAUAAACUUUGUGAGACAAGGUUAGAAUAAAUUCGGGUUCCCCUGUUCUGAUUUUGGAAAAUCAUCAAAAAUUGGAGAAAAGUAAUUAGGAAUUAAAAUUUACAUGUUUAAAUUAUUAAUGAGUCUUUUUUUUCAAUAGAAACAAAUGGGAACUUCAUCCAAAUUUUGUACUAAAAGAUAAUUAAUUUUUAGCAAAGAAGGGUCAAAGCUGUCAGACAGCAGAACAAGGGUAAGUUUGAAGAUUUUACUGUACUUAUUAGCUGAACCAAAAAUUCUAAAAAUUUUAUGGUAGAAAGGUAUUUGAGUCUAUUUUUAAAGACAUCAAGCGAAUUUUAAUUAGAAAUUCUGUAGCACAAGAUAUAAAUAAUUUAGUAACAGUGACUCAAGUAGAAAGCUUUGAAGGAACACAUAAGUAAAUUGUGAUAACAUAUAUGAAUAUUUAGCUAACACAGGUUACACUGAAAAUGGAUCACGUGGCCAAGGCCAAUUUGGGCCGAGUGGGCCACGUGGGCGUGUGAGCCCAUUUUUUUGAAAAAUUCUGUAAGGUUGCACGGGUCACCCAAGUCGACUAUGGACCUACUGUAGGGUCAGUAACCUUUACUUAGACGCCUAUAUGUGUGAUCUGUCUAGCUGAUUUCUAUAACGAGCAUGACUUAUAAUAUCUAAAUGUAUGUACUAUUAAUUGCAUAAUGGCAUGGCAUAUUUUGUAUGUUGCAUUGCAUCGGGGUGGGUUGAUGAUAUUUGGAGGAAGUGUCUAAAGGGAUAUUAAGCCAGUUAUCUGGCAGCUCAGCUGCAACCUUCUGAUUAUGUGUCGAUUUCAGUAUAGCAUGGUGUGUAAGGAUGGGUGGGUUAAUUUAAUCCCUACAUGGUGUGUAGGGUUGGACGGAGAUGGUGUAUAGAGGCUGGUGGGUAGGAUUCUAAUUUACUAUAUCUACAUUCUGAAUCUGAUAUGGGCCAAGGCCCUAAUGUAUUUCUGAGACUGUAUCUGAACGGGCUAAGGCCCAAACUGAUUGUGUGAUGGGCCUAGGACGCAGACUGUAUCUAACUGAAUUCUGUUGAUUAUUUGUAUGCAUGUUUUCUAUGGGGAUUACACACUGAGUUUGAGAAAACUCACCCUUUCUCUGUUUAAUCUAUACAGGUAAUCCCCAAACUUGAUGGGUAGGUGCAGCGGAGGAUUCGACGGUGGCCACACGUAAAUUUCAGACUGUUUUCUGUUAAUGCCUAGAAUUUAUUAAUUAUUUGGGGUUUUUGAUGUAUCUUCUGGACUAUGGACUAGUAGGCUUUAAAUUUUAGACUUUAUACUAUUUUUUAUGUUUUUUUUAAAACUGCAACUCCACAAAACACGGUUUUUUUCUAAAAAAUAAGGAUUUUCGUAAAUAGAAAUGAUUUUCCCUAAAUUAAUUGGUUACAAAAGUUUUCUCUAAGAGACAAGUUUUAAAGCAAAUCAACUAGUUUUUUUUCAUAAUUAAAUAAAAGUUAACUUACUAUAACGAUUUUUCUUAAACUCGACAAUCUUGUCUUCAAAUCCCUUUUCAUGUGACAUCACCAGAUUCGGCCAUAACGUCUAGGCCGGGUUUGGGGUGUUACACCUGAUGAGUUACUUUAAAUCGCUUGAAAACCUAGAAAUUUACUUUGAAAUCAUAUGGUUAAACUAGUGUUCACUUUGAUAAAUCGUGAAAGUAUGUGAUUAUUGAGGACAUGCUGAGCAUGUCAAAUGAAUGUGAAAAGUAUUGUGAUAUGACUAUGUAUGAGAUUGUGUAACAUAUUGCAUAUGCAUUGGGUUGGGAUUUUUUGGUUGACGGAGUAGUUCUGUGGAGUACCGUCGGCAUAUUAAGCCCGCAUUAUUCGUAGUUAGUGCACUGCACCUGGAGUACUGAGGGGAUUGGUAAUUUUAUCGCAUAUUAUAUGUUAUUGGUGAUUGUAUAGCACUAUUUGAUAUCCGACAGAUUUUUUGCAUUAUUGAUUAUUCGGUGGUUUUACCACAUUGAGCUAUGCUCAGAAUGUUUUAGAGUUUGGUAGACGGGUUCUAGGGAACACGUGGUGUGUAGCGGAUGGUAUGGGUAGGAACCUUUUUGCAUUGCAUCAUGUGCACGACAUAUUCGAAUGUUAUUGGUUUAUGCUACGUAUUGUAUUUUUUUGUAUUGAAUGGUAUCAAAAUUAAUGAUUGUCACUCGAAUGAAUUAUGAACUAUGCUCAUACACUGUUUGACAUCAAUUUAAUAAUGGCUAUGUAACGAUAUGAAAUUCCUAUAAUGGUUUUAUUUUCUUCUAUUAAAGCUAAUAUGUUUCACUGUAUUUGAUAUUUAUGUUUGUUUAAAUAAUUGUUCGACUCACACUGAGCUUUUCAUAAGCUCACCCCUAAUAGUGUUAAACUUUUCACGUAAACCUCGAAAUUAAGACCAGACUUGGCAUUCGAAGAAUCACCUUGGACCUUGAAUUAUUUUUCUAAUAAGUAUUAAUCAAUCUCUAAUGGUUUUGGUUUGUAAUUUUUAAUUAUAUCUAGUCUGUGGCUUGAUAACUUUUCUUUUGGGAUUUUUGCAUGCAUGGAUUACUCAAGCAUAAUAACCGGAUAAUGCAUGAUAUCAGGCUUAAGUAAAAUUUGAUAUUGUUCCCUAGAUUCUGCUACAUUGCAAAGGAUUUGUUUUUGAAAAACAAAUUGAUAAGGUAACUAAGUUUUUAAAAUGACUUGAAAAAUGGUUUUUCCCCUAGAUUAGUUUAACAUCAAAUUUUUUUUAAAGGAGAGCAACAAGCAAAUGGUUUUUCUAAAACAACACUAUCAACAAUAAAAUGAAUUCUAAGUAUACACAACCUAAUGAAUGAAUGCUUUUAAGCUAACUUAAAGUACAAUUAUGGUUUUCUCUAAAAUGAGUUUAUUUAAGGUUUUCAUAAGUAAUGUAAGUUAGCUUAGCCAUUUCGGUGGCUAAUGUAGCCUUCUCAUUCUAGCCAUAACGUCUAGGCCAGGUUUGGGAGGUUACAGUAUUGAUAGGAACUGUGGUAUAAAUUUUAUUUUGGACAUUCUUAAAGUGUUAUUUGGACUAAACUUUAGAAACUAUGGAUUUUAUACUGAGCCUAAAUUUACGAAGUUCAUGCGUGGUUUUUACGAAAAUGAAACUAAUAUGAAUUUUUAAAACCAUGAUUUUUUUUAAAGCUCCAAUUUGAAAUUGUACAAGAAAUGUCAAUUUGAAUUAUUUUUGAAUGUUUUUUUAUGCCAAUAAAAUAUUGUUUCAAAACAUAGCUAAGUAUUAUUUAAUUUCGUAAAGACGAAGCAAACUCCAAACAAUCUAAAACUUUAAGGACUAGUUUGUAAUUUUUGUUUUUCCUCAAUUGUCUCUGGUUUGAUUCAAUUCUUGAUCUAUACAAUUAUUCCAUUCAAUUCAUCAAUAUUAAACAUUUAUACAUUAUGUCAUGUCAUGAAUGAACCUAGAUAAAUUCAUUUUUUGAUACCCUUAAAGUUUUACAUUUAUUUCAAUUUAGUCUCUAAAAUCGAAAUAGUCAUAACUUUAAAUUCUGAACUUCAGUUUGAAAAUCGACCUCAAUUUCAUUUUAGACUGUCUGUUAAAAAUUAGUGCAUCUUACUGGAUUUUUUAAUUUACUUGUUUUCUUUAUCAAAUAAGUUGGUUCCUAUUAUAUAGGGAUAUGAUCAGAUUAUGUUUUGUUAGUUGAGGUUUUAGUGGGCUAUUAGUUGCAGGUUUUUUAACUUUAACGUUACAUGUAGUUAAGCUAUUUAUAUGUCAUUUUAUCUAAUGUAAUUUUGUGUGUUUUUUUUAGUAAUCAAAAACGUUCUUUAAUACUUUAAGCUUUUCUUGUUAUUAUUUCUUUCAUUACCUCGGUCAUUCUUUUUUGUUUUAUGGUGUCAGUGCCAGGUUAUUCAUUGGUUAAUUGUGUGAAAGGGUGUUUUGCUAGUUGCUGCAAUGGAGGUUUCAAAUGGAGGAAAUAAUCAGAUUGGUAUGGAGAAGCUUGUAGGCACUAACUACAAGUAUUGGAGGAUGUGUAUGGAGGCAUUUCUUCAAGGCUAGGACUUGUGGGGAUUGGUUGUUGACCUGAUGCAACAAUCCCUCCCAAUAUUCUCGAGAAUGCCAAGUCACGAAGGAGGUGGAAGGUCAAAUGCGGUAAAGCUUCAUUGAUCAUGUUCAUGAUGUUAACUCUCCAAAAGAAGUUUGGGAAACGCUUGAAAGGUUGUUUACCAAGAAGAAUACUGCAAGGUUGCAAUUGUUGGAGAACGAAUUGGCCGGGUUAAAACAAUGAGGUAUGUCAGUUUUAGAAUAUUUUUUACGAGUUAAAAAUAUUUGUGCUGAAAUUUCAGAGAUAGAUACGGAUGAGAAAGUUAGUGAAGCUCGUUUGCGUCGUUAUCUUAUCCGCAGUUUGAAGAAGGAGUAUGGGCCUUUUGUCACUUCUAUUCAAGGGUGGUCGACACAGCCUUCGGUGGAGGAGUUAGAGAAUUUUCUCUCUAAUUAAGAAGCUUUGGCAAAGAAGAUGGUGAAAAGUUUCGAAUCUGAUGCCAGUCUCUUCUCAAAAGGGAAGCCAAACAAGAAGAAUGAGUCUGGAAAUAAAGGCAGAUCUGAAGACUCUAGUUCGAAAAAAGAUGGCAACUCACAAAGCAAAAAGUCUUUCAAAUGCUUCAGAUGCAGAAAGACUGGACAUAUCAAGAGAAAUUGCCGUGUGUAGAUUUCCAAGGCCAAUAUCGUGUCCACGGAAGAAACCGAUGAUCGACUCAAAUGGGAGCAUUGCUUUACUGUUGAAGCUAUUGAACAAAAGUCAUCAAAAGCUUUUGUCAAUUAUGCUGAUAACAAGAAGGAGGAGUGGAUCAUUGAUUCUGGUUGUUCUCACCAUGUAACCGGAAAUGAUACUUUGUUCUUAGAGAUGCAUGAACACCAUGGAGAUCGAGUUAUUGUGACUGCAGAUAACUCCACUCAUCCGGUAGCAAAAGAGGGCAUUGUGGUGAUCGAUGUUGUCGACGAUACGAGAACCGAAAGUGUCAAAUUGACUGAUGUGUAUCAUGUUCUAGAUGAAGCUUAUGUGAAGAAAACAAGCCAAACCGAUAACGCUGCUAUUUGGCAUGCUCGAUUGGGUCAUGUGGGGUACCAAAUGCUGCAACAAAUUUAUUCGAAAAGGUUGUUAGAUGGGAUGCCGAUCUUGAAGAGUGUACGUGAAGAUGUGAUUUGUCAAAGCUGUCAAUAUGGUAAAUCUCAUCGUCUUCCUUUCAAAAGCUCAUCAAAUCGGAGAUCUUCUUUGCUCGAAUUGGUUCAUACAGACUUGACGGGACCAACGAGAACACUGAGUUGUAGCAGCCACUGUUAUGUUAUGGUUUUGGUGGAUGAUUACUCAAGGUUCUCUUGGGUGAAAUUUUUGAAAGAGAAGAGUGAAGCAUUAUCCAAGUUUGUGGAGUUCAAAGCUGCUGUUAAAAAAGAGUUUGGAAAGAAGAUUAAGUGUCUUCGAAGUGACAAUGGCGGAGAAUACAUGUCCAAUAAUUUUUUUCAGUAUUGUGUUGACAACGGCAUCUGUCGUCAAAUGACUUGUCCAGAUACUCCAUAGCAGAACAGAGUUGCAGAAAGAAAGCUUGGUUAUCUUGCUUCGAUUUGCCUUUCAUGGCUGCAUGACAAGAAUCUUCCUCGAGAGCUUUGGGCGGAAGCUGUUCUUUGUGCAUGUCAUGUGACAAAUAGGCUGCCUCCUUGGCCAGGUACACAGAAAUCUCCUUUUGAGAUUUUAUAUGGUGAAAAGCCAAAUGUGAAUUAUUUUCGAGUCUUCGAUUCUAUUUGUUAUGUACAUGUUCCGAAAUCGAAAAGAACUAAACUUGAUCCGAAAGCAAAAAAGUGUGUAUUUGUUGGCUAUGAUUCUUAUAGGAAGGGAUGGAGGUGUAUGGAUCCGGAUACAAAGAAGUUUACUACUUCGAGAGAUGUCGUGUUCGAUGAAGUAUCAUCUUUCUACUCCACUCAAAGAUUUGCUGCAGAAAAUAUUAUUCUUGAAGAUGAUGAUGAAAACUUGGAUGAGCUAUUUCCAAGAGUUAAUUUGCAACCAUUCAUUGAUGAUGAGUUGGAAAAUGAAUCUCCAACACCAACUCCAAGUCAAAAUGUUCAAUGACAUGAAGGUGGUUAGCAACAGAGUGAGGAGGUCUACUAGAGAAACGAGACAACCUGAGUAUCUCAGAGACUAUGAGGUGCAGCUUAAUCAUUGUAGUAUCACUUCUUGUUUCUUUGUUUGAGCGUUUGAUGAAGAACCAGUAAGUUAUGAGAAGCCAAAAGCCAUUCAAAAUGGGAGGCAGCCAUGAAAGAAGAAAUUGAAGCUUUAGACAAAAAUGAGACGUGGGAGUUGGUUCUUAAACCAGAAAAUUGUAAGCCGAUCACUUGUAAAUGGGUUUUUUGCGUGAAGAAAAAAUUAGAUGGCACCAUUGAUAGAUUUAAAGCUCGUCUGGUGGCUCGUGGUUUUUCUCAAAAUUAUGGAUUGGACUACGAGGAGACGUUUAGCCUAGUAGCAAAGAUGGUGACGGUGAGAUCGAUUAUUUUGCUUGCUGCGUUUAAAGGUUGGAGACUAUGGCAACUUGAUGUAAAGAAUGCUUUCUUUACGGAGAUUUAGAUCGUGAAGUAUUUAUGGAGCAACCUAUUGGCUUUGUCUCUAAGGAAUUUCAAAAUCGUGUUUGCCGUUUGAAGAAAGCGUUAUAUGGCCUUAAGCAAGCGCCACGAGCAUGGUAUGGUAAAGCUGCUCAAUAUCUCAUUUUUUGUGGCUUUAGAGUUUCUGAAUCAGAUUCUAGUUUAUUUAUAAAAUUGGAAUCAGGUGCACAUCUCUUGGUAUUAUUAUAUGUUGAUGAUAUGAUAAUAACUGGAGAUAAUGAAUCAGAAAUUUGUAAUUUGAGGAAUGACUUGUCUGUUCGUCUUGAGAUGAAAAUUUUGGGGGAGAUUGGAUGUUUUCUUGGUCUAGAAGUGGAAAAAUCAGAUCAAAGUUGUUAUAGCCCGAUUUUGGGUCUAGUCAGAACAGUGGUUUUGGGACCACAAAUUCAACAAAAAGAAAAUGGGUAAAAAAUAUUAUUAAUUUAGUAAGUAUAAGUUAAAUGUGAAGUUAGGAAAAUUUUUUAAAUACUGAAUAGUGCACUAGAAAUAAAUAUUAAAAUAAUUAGAAUCGAAAUGAGGUAUCAAGACCUCGGGGAUUUUAAACCGAGCCAUAAAUAUUUUUAUAAAUAUUUAUGGAGUGUUAAAAAGUUAGUAUUAAAGUUUCGUUAGGAAAUUUUAAAGUUCCGAUAAUUAAUUGAACAAAAAGGACUAAAUUGUAACAAAUGCAAAAUUUUGGGAAAUGAUUAAGUAGCUUAAAUGAUAAAAGGAAGAGGGCUUAAAAGGCAAAUAGACCCAAGGUUUAUUUGGGCUGGACGGCAAAGGCAUGAAAUCAGCAAGAAAGUAAGGAGAAUUAAGGGCAAAAUUGGAAUAUUGCAAAAUUUGCUUAAUAAAGUUAGGACCCAAGUGGAAUUAUCUAGAUUUCUCUUCAUUUUUCUGAAUUCUCAUCAGCAAAAACACCAUGGAAGGGCUUCUUCAAGCUGGUUCUUCAUAUUUUUACUACAAGUAAGUUCAAUUCUUGACUAUUUCUUGAAAUUUUUGUAUUUUUAUGACUUUUACAAUUAGGCUCACUUGUUAAAUUCAUUAGUUUUUGAUUUUAUGAAAGAAGUUGAAAGUUGAUAUGAAUAUGUGCUGGAAUUAUAUGAUGAUUUAGCAUGGAAUUAGAGCUUUAAAUUGUUCAUAUGCUGAUUUUAUUGAAAGAAUUGAAUAGAAAGUGAAUGUUUGGGACCUAAUAGUAAAAGAGUUUGAAGAUAGAAUUAUAUGUGGAAAUUCUGAAUUUCAAUAGUUGUGUAACAACUUAUAAUGUCUAGGUAAAGUAUUAAUUCAGAAAAUUGGAUUAAUUGAGGGGUUAAUUGAGAAAGGACCGAAUUGUAUAAACUGUAAAAUUUGGGGCAAAAUGGAAAUCAACAUUUUGCACUAAAGCAGUUUUGGACAGCAGCAGUAGUGUAACUUUGAAAAAUCACAAAAAAUUGUAGAGAUUGAAUUAGAGGAUGAAUAAAAUAUGAAAUUAAAUCUUAUUGAGUCUAGUUUCUUAUAAAAGAAACGGUGUGAGCAAUGAAAUUGUAAAUCAUGAGAUAUAAUAGAUUUUGUGAGACAAGGUCAGAAUGAAUUCGGGUUCCCCUGUUCUGACUUUGGAAAAUCAUUAAAAAUUUUACAAAAAUUAUUAUGAGUUAUAAUUUAUAUGGUUAGAAUCCUUAAUGAGUCUAUUUUUAUAAGAAACAAACAAAAACAGCAUCCGAAUUCUGUACAAUGAGAUAAUUAAUUUUUAGUGAAGAGUGGUCGGAACUGUCAGACAGCAAAACAGGGAAAAAUUUAAAGAAUAAACUGUACUAUUUGGCUAAACAAAAAAUUCUGAAAAUUUUAUGGAAAUAAUAUAUGUGAGUCUAGUUCCAGGUAAAAUUAACGGAUCUUAAUUUGGAGCUUUUUAGCUCCGGAUAAAAAUAAUUUAGUGACUCUAACUCAGACAGACAGCCUAAAUUUUUCAUACAAGAAAAUAGUGAAAGUAUGAAUAAUGUUGUUUAAAUGUGUUAUACACAUUAAGGAUGAGGAAUGGAGAGGAGGUGGAGGAAAAUUGGGAAAUAUAUGAAUGGUUUAUCAUGUUGUUAGUUCCAAAAAGAGUUAUGUUUCAAUACACUAGCUUGCAACUAUGGUUGAAUGAUAUGUUUAUAUCUUGUGUGAUGUGCAUAGGAAACAAGUGUGGAAAGAUAAUGAAAUAGUAAGUUCAUAUGGCUGAAAUUUAAUGGUUAAAUGUUAAUUCCAUGAAUUAUAUGAUGUAUGAUGAGAUAUUUUUAUUGUUGAAAUAAGAAUAAAAUAAAAGUGCGAAAGCUGAAUAAAUGAUCAAAUUGAGCGGAACGCCGGAUUUGAGUACUUCUGAUCAAGUGACAAAGUGAUAAGUGAUAGCUUUAGCUACACUUAUUUGAUCAAGAACAAGUGAUAAGCGGUGACAAAGUGAUAAGUGGUAGCAUUAGCUACACUUAUCUGAUCAAGUGAGAAAGUGAUAAGUGGUAGCAUUAGCUACACUUAUCUAAUCAAGUGAGAAAGUGAUAAGUGGUAGCCUUAGCUACACUUAUCUGAUCAAGUGACAAAGUGAUAAGUGGUAGCCUAGCUACACUUAUCUGAUCAGGGACAGGUGAUAAGUGAUCAUACGUAAGACCAUAGUUAUACUAUGGCAAAGUGAAAGUGAAGUACUCAAUUUUCCGUGACCGUUCCCUAAUUUGAUUAAGGAUGGUAAGUGACAAAUGAGCCCAAAAGAAUUAAAGUAAAUGGAUAAGUGGUAGUAUAUUUAUAUCAGGACGAUGUUGUUAUUCAAGCUAAAGUGAUAUUUUCAUUGCAAAAUUGAGAAUUUCAUAAAUGUGUUAUUGAAUGGUAUAAUCAAUAAACAUUGAGUUAAAUGGUAAAUACGUAAUAGUGUUGAACUUGAUGUCAUUGAAUUGUAUGUGAAUUAAAUGGAAAUUGCUAGUGAUAUGAUGUAAAUUGUGAGCAUGAGAAAUUGCGACUUGAAUGAAAUGGAAAUGAAGCAUUGAAUUGCAUGAGUAUGUAUCGGGUCUCAUAGGCCCUAAUUAUUAUGAUUAUAAUAUUUCGAGGAUAUAUUGUGAAAAGUUAUAGAAGCAUGUUAAUUAUUUUGAAAGUUUAAAUUUAUAUGAAAUUUUAUAACUCGGUUAAAUAUGCUUACAAGUGCAUAUGUUUUGGUGAUACCUCGUACCCUAUUUCGGCGUUGGAUACGGGUAAGGGGUGUUACAAGGUUACUUUGUUUCUCAAAAAGGCUAUGCAAGGAAUCUCUUGGAGCUUUUCGGUAUGGGGGAGUCGAAAGAAAAAGCUACUCCGAUGGAGCCGAAUUUGAAGUUGAAGAAAGAUGAUGGGAGGCCGUUGGAAGAUGCAAGGAAGUUUCGACAACUUGUUGGAAGCUUAAUCUAUUUGACCAUUACAAGGCCUGAAAUUUCAUACUCUGUUAGUGUUGUUUCUCAAUUUAUGCAAAAUCCAACAAUUAUUCAUAUGGAUGGAGCAAAGAGGAUUUUGCGUUAUGUUAAAGGAACUAUUGGUUAUGGUCUUCUAUACAAGAGAUGUGAUAGCUUUAUGUUGAGUGGAUUUACUGAUGCUGAUUGGGCUGGAGAUACAAACGAUCGUCACUCGACUUCGGGAUAUUGUUUCAGUAUCAAUUCAGCAAUGGUUUCUUGGUGUAGCAAAAAGCAAGGUGUUGUUGCUUUGUUGAGUAUCGAAGCCGAGUAUCUGGCAGCAACUAUGGCUGCACAAGAGUGCAUUUGGUUGAAGAGGUUGAUUGGAGACAUAUGCAAAGUUAAUUAUGCUGUAAAAAUCAAGUGUGAUAAUGAAAGUGCUAUUAAGCUUGCAUCGAACCCGGUUUUUCAUGCUCGAACGAAGCACAUCGAGGUUCGACAUCAUUUUGUUCGAGGAAAGGUUCUAAGUGAAGAGAUUGAGCUUGUAAACAUUCGCACCAACGAUCAAGUGGCUGAUAUUUUCACUAAGGCUUUGGUGAAGCCUAAGUUUCAUCAAUUUAGAGAUGCUCUUGGAGUUCUUGAUCGUAAGCAUGCACUAAGGGGGAGUGUUAAAAAUUAGUGCAUCUUACUAGAUUUUUUAAUUUACUUGUUUUCUUUAUCAAAUAAGUUGGUUCCUAUUUUAUAGGGAUAUGAUCAGAUUAUGUUUUGUUAGUUGAGAUUUUAGUGGGCUAUUAGUUGCAGGUUUUUUAGCUUUAACGUUACAUGUAGUUAAGCUAUUUAUAUGUCAUUUUAUCUAAUGUAAUUCUGUGUGUUUUUUUUUUAGUAAUCAAAAACAUUCUUCAAUACUUUGAGCUUUUCUUGUUAUUAUUUCUUUCAUUACCUCGGUCAUUCUUUUUUGUUUUACUCUCUACUAUCCAUUAUUAUCAAAAUUUCACAUCAAUUUCACAAUUUAUUUACUUUAGUUAUUAUGUACAAAAUUAACAACCAAACAUCACAAUUUAGUCAUUUUUCAUAAUUUAAGCUUAAAAUCUAUAAAUUUAACACCAAUUUCUUCAAGAAAUCAACCAUGAAAUCUAUAAAAAAAAUUUAACAGUUUUGCAAAUUGAUACAUAGGUUAUUUAAAUCAAACUCUCAUGACCUCAGAAACACAAAAAAAAUUAUACGAAAAUGAUUUAGAAAUGCAUACCAAUUGAGGACCGAAAGCUUGAAGCUCAAAAAUGGCUUUUCCCCUUGAGGUUUUAUGUUGAUUAGAUGAAGAAGAAGAAGAAAUAAAGAUGACAACUUGCACUAAGUCACCUUUAUAUACUUAGAUUAAAUCUUAAUUAAUCAAAUUUAAUUAAUUAAAUCUUAAUUAAUUAACCUUAAUCACAAUUAAUAAAAAUUGGUGGAUGUUAACAUCAUCCUACACUAUUUGAUAUAACCAAAUGAUCUAUUUACCAUUUUGAACCUUUAGCUAAUUAGAAAUCUAUAGCGAUAAGACUUUCAAAAUUUAGUCUCUGUAUCUUAAUUAAGCAAUUAAUAGACAAAGUUGAAGGUUUAAAUUUUAAUGUUCUAUUAUACCAACUCUGUAAAUAUUCAUAUUUAAUAUUUACAGACCUGAAUUACGAAAAUGAGAUUUUGAAAUUGUAUUUUCCAGUACCACUGAAAAUCGGACAAUUACGUAACCUAUUUGCACCAAUGGGCCAAACAUGGCAAAUACUUGACAUGUAUGUCUUAAUAUCCUCAUCUAUUCUCUUCAAUAUAAUAACAUCCAAUAAUUGUUCCAUCCACUGUAACUAUCACGAAGAUUAGAUUGACCAAUACAGCCUACAAUUUGAAGAAGCGCGAUAUUUUCAUUCUAGAGAAAGAUAUAAUUGAAACAAAAUUGAAAUAAAGAUUUCAAUACAGAAUCAACAGACAUUCCAGCUAAUACUUAUCAAUUAUUUGCAGCUUUAUUGCUCCAACUAAGAUGGUUUUUAGUCGAAUAUGGUAAAUGAAAUCAAUGAACACCAGCUACUUGAUGAACGAGUGAAUCAAAGUCCUGAUAUGUGCCGGCUUAUUGGUGAAAAAAUACAUGGGCUAGUUUUGCAGCAAUUCAUGAUCUUACAUUUUAUAACCUUUGCUUACAAUUAUUCACUGACUAAUCAUUCAAUGAAUGUAGGCCUCAAAUUUAGCCACUAAACUUUAUUCUUUAUUUUUAGAUACAUAUUAUUUGAUCACUUCAUACAGCCUAUUACUCAUAAUAACUUCCAAUUUCCCUUCUUUAGGUUAGUUGCAAAUGUACAGCUUUUUCUAGAAGAAGAAAAUUGUCAAGAGCCACCUGUUCAAGAGAGGCGCAAACAAAAUGUAAAAAUACCUGACCUACUUACGGUACAGCCAAGUAAUCAUGUCUUUCUAUGCUAGAUCAUUAAAUCAAUGACUACAAAUUUCAUGCCAUGGUCGUGUAUCAUUUAUGCCAUUGAUGCUGCUAUUUUCUAUUCUAAUGCAUAAUAGGGAUUUAGUGUUUUUACCGUUAAAAUUGUGUCCUUUAAUUUUGGCUCUUUUCAGUUGUUGAUCAUGUCCACCUAUGCUUUAUUUUACUACUAUUGCUUUCUGUAAUGAUAGAUGAUUGAAUCGGUAGAAUUUUAUUAAUCCUCAACAUGUUUUAUCUUGACAUAUGGAUCCUAAGCAUUCCUUGGAUUGUGCCCUUUUUGUUCAUUUAUUUUUUCUUGGAACCUUAUUACAUGUUGUACCACUCCAGCUUUUUGGAGACAAUGAAGACGACUAACUGCUGAAUUCUUUCUUCUGCAGAGGAACCAAUGGCACGAGACUCAAAAAAUCCUACUCUUUUUUAUACCUUCCUCACCUCUUUGUGACAUUAUAGCUGAAAAAUGAUGUAUGCUAAUACAUGAAAUGUUUCCUCUUGCCUUUCUUUUUGUAGUACUAAAACUACAAAUAGUGUUUGCAAAACUCUUUAGAGAAAAACAAAUGUCUGUAAAUCUCUUUACCCGUAAUCUUAUCUUUUCCUCAUUGUAAUAGUUGGAAAACUUUUUAUUUGAAAACGAUGUCAACUACUGGGAUAAGUUAUUGUAAGCAUCUUAAGUGUUUCAUAUUAAAAACAAACACUGUUAUUGUUUAUUUUGUAGUCUAAAUUAUGAUAAUUUCUGCACAAAAUUCACAUAAAUGGUUACCCUCCCGAAGCAGAGCGAGGGUGAUGCAUACUAGUUAUUAAGAAAACAGGACCUUGUAGGGCUUAACUGUUGAAUCAAGAAAGAAAUUUCUUUUAAUGCCUUCAAUUGUAACAUCCCGAUUUUGGGCCUAGUCGAAACAAUGGUUUCGGGACCACAAAUCCGAUGAGGAAAAUUUUAUUUUUACUAUAUUAUUAUGGCCUAUAAUUUCACGGAAAGAUUUCUUGAAAAUUUCGUUCAAAAAUUUUGACGUUAGGGCACUCAAUUUAGCCAAAAGGACUAAAUUGUAAAAAGUGCAAAAGUUGAGUUUUAUUGGUUAAAGGUACUUAAUUGCUAUGGAAUUAUAACUUAGGGGUCCUUAUAUGGUAAUUAGACCAUUAGUUAGUGAUGGACAAAAAUGAACAUAAGUGAAAUAGGAUUUUUUUUAUGUAAGGGUAUUUUAGUCAUUUAGUAAAUAAAUAGAAUUAAAAGGGAAAAAUAUGUAAAAAAAAUUGUGUUCAUCAUCUUUGCUAGGUGCCAAAAUUUGAAGGAAGCCAUAGCUAGGGUUUCUUCACUUUCUCAAGCUCAUAAUCGAGAAGAACGAAAUUUGGAGGUAGAUCGGGGAAAGAAAAAAAUUGAGGACUAAAGUGUUAGAUUUGAUCACAUUUUUGUACCGAGGUAAGUUUACAGUAAAUAAAUGCAAUAUUUCAAUAAUUAUUAUUAAUGCUGUAUUUUUUAGCAAUUAUGUAUUUAUUUCAUGAAUAUAUUUAAUGUUGACUCAAGUAUGAGAUGACAGAGAAUUAGUGACACAAGCCUCAUUGAAACACUAGGAAUGUAUUGGAUACAAAUGCCAUGACAUUUGGGUAAAGAGGUCCCAUGUAAGACCAUGUCUGGGACAUGGCAUUGGCACCGAGAUGAGAGGUCCCCCGUAAGACCAUGUCUGGGACAUGGCAUGGGCACCGAUAUGAGAACUCCCAUGUAAGACCAUAUUUGGGAUAUGGCAUUGGCAGUACAGGAAACAUCCCAUGUGAGACCAUGUCUGGGACAUGGCAUGGGCACCGAUAUGAGAACUCCCAUGUAAGACCAUAUCUAGGAUAUGGCAUUGGCAGUAUGGGAAACAUCCCAUGUGAGACCAUGUCUGGGACAUGGCUUUGGCAUGUUAUUAUCAGAUAUGAGACCCAAGUAUCCUUAUUAUUCCAAUGUGACUCAACGGGCUAGAAAACAGAUUAUGUUCUACGAAAGUUCAAGUAAAAGUAUAAUUAGCAACUUCAGGUGAGUUAUAAGAGUUAAGAACAUAUUAUGUUAUUAGUGAGAACCAAUAUUUUAGCAAGAGAAGAGUAAGUUGUAAUCUUAAGCUAUCUAAGUAGAUAAGUAAGUAAACAAGUAAAUGAGAGUCAGUAAAGAGAAAACUUAAGAACAUGAUACUUGUAUAUCAUUAUUUAUGUUAAAUGAUGUCAUUUAUUUAUUUGUAAACUUACUAAGCUUUAUGCUUACUUCUUUUAUUUCUUUUUCUUUCAUAUAGUAUUAUCAAGCAUAGUCGGGAUCUUGAAGACGUCGGAGAGUGUUCACACUAUCAACCACCACAACUCGGUAUUUUAAGACGAUAAAUAUUUUGGGCUAUGGCAUGUAUAGGGACUUGGUCAUUUCAAUUGUAUAUUCUUAAAAUAUGACCAAAAGAUGAUAUGUAAAUGCUUGAUGAUGAAUAGUUAUUAAAAUGGCUAAGUAUGAAGGUGUUUGUGGUUAUAAAUGUCUAGGUUAUAAAUUAUGCAUAGAAAUCAUGAAAGAGUAAAAAUUUGUAGUGAAUCAGUUUUGAGACAGCAGUAGUGACGUGAAUUUGAAAAAUCACCAAGGAUAGUAGAAAAUGAAUUAGAGAGUGGAUGAGAUAUAGAAUUAAAUCUUAUUGAGUCUAUUUUUAUAGAAAAAUAACAGUGUAGACAAAGAAAUGAUAUAUUCCGAGAUAUUUGCAUUUUAGUUAGACAAGGUCAAAGUUGUUUUCGGAAUCCCCUGUUCUGAAUUUGGAAAAUCAUUAAAAAUUGUAAAAAAAUAUUUAUGAGUUUUAAUUUAUAUGUAGAGAUUCCUUAUUGAGUCUAUUUUCUUUAGAAAGAAUUUAGAACACUAUAUGAAGUAUGUACAAUGAGAUAAUUUAAUUUUAGUGACAAGAGGUUAGGACAGUUGAUUAGUGAAACAGGGGAGACUUUAACUAAUAAACUGUACUAAUUGGCUAAACCAAAAAUUCUGAAAAGUUUACAGUAAAAAUUUAUAUGAGUCUAGUUUCAGGGAAAAUUUAUGGAUCUCAAUUUCAAGUUUCAUAGCUCGAGUUAUAAUUAAUUUAGUAACUAUUGUGCAAGUGAAUAGACUUACUAUGAACAGUGAAUUAACUUUUAAAACUAAAUUUUUAUGCCCCGAACUUUUAAGUUAGUCAAGUAACGCCUCAUGCUCGACUCCGGAAAUGGACUCGGUUAAGGGGUGUUACAUCAAUUUUUUUUAAAGCUGAUUUUUUUUUUUACGAAUUAAAGUUUUGAUUGUAUGUUAAUUGCUUGAGGGAAGGUCGGAUACUUUAUUAUCCCUAUUUUUAUUUGUUAUAUAUUUUAGCCAUAAUGAUUUUUUUGGCUCUACAACUUUACCAAAAAAAUCAUAUUAUCUUUCAUUUAAUUUUCAUCUCUUUUAACCCUUUAACUUGUAUUUUUUUAUCAAAUCACCCCAAAAUGGAUCGAAAACUUAACAUUUGUAAACUUUGAUGAUGUGGCAUACACAUUAAUUGUCACAUGGAUGACAAGUCAACAUUUUUUAAAAAAAACUUAAAAAUAUUAAAGAAAAUAUUUUUGAUAUUUUUAAUGAUUUUUUUAAUUAAAAAAGUUUUUAUAUAUUUUUAAUUUUUAAAAAUUAAUUAAACACAAACAUAGAAAUUCGCAUCUAUGUGUCACAGGCCACAAAUUAAAGCCUGCGACCAUUUCGCAUAGAACACCCCAUAGAGGUCAAUUUAUUAAACGUGGUUCAUUUGACCCGCAUGAACUGGCUCGAAUCGUGGAACCCGUAGAGAAACCCAUCUACUUUAAGCCUUGGUGGUCUAGUGAAAUACUCCAAUAAAACUAGAGUUACUAGGGUAAAUAAUGUAAAUCUUAAAUGGAUAAGAUUGUAUAGAGUUUAAAUUCCUUAUAACUCUCAAUUGUAGAUAAGCGGUAACAUUAAUCAUCGAUGUAACUCAAUCUGUAUCGUUGCUUCUAGGAAGCUCAACUAUAACUAGAGGUCUCCCUCUUCAUUUGUAAUCAUUCCAUUCAUAGUUGUGAAUAUAUUUGAGAGCAUUUACUCAAACACCUUGUGUGCAUUGCUUUUCUUUGGCUAUUCUGCUCUUUCGAGCUUCUGUCUUUGAGUGUCACAUCCCAAAAUUGGGCCUAGAAGAAAUAGGGGGAAAAUUGAGUUUUAAUUUUUUUUUAACAUAGGGUAAGGGAAGUAGAAUGCCUUAAAAUUAAUUUUUUGCUAUAAAUCUAAUAAGAAUGAGUUUGUUGGUUUAGUGCUAAGGUCAUAGCCUACCUAUAGGUUCCAAGUUUGAACCCCUUGGUGAGCAUUCAACCAAAAUAUUUUUAUUUUCUUGUUUUUACCGCACCAAAAGUGACGAAUUUUAAAAUAACCCAGCCCAAAAACUAUAUUUUUUUAAAAUUUAGUCCUUAAUUUAAAAUUUUUCCCAAACCUACAUAAAUUUUUAAAACCUAUUCCAAUUAGGAAAGAUAAGUAUUAUAAAUAAACAAUUUCAAAACAAACCCUAGAAUUUCAUCUAGCAAUUUUUCGAGAAAACAUCCAUAAACACUUUAUUUUCCAAAUCAAACUUUCAAGCGAAAGGAAUCGAAAUCUUCAAAAUCAUCCCUCAAGUAGAUCUUCAAUCUCUUCUCCAACACUAAGGUUUUAAGUCUUCAAAAUAGGUGUGGGAACUAAACCUAAAUCUUUGUGUAUAAUUGAAUCUAAUAGCAUGUAGAGAACCAGUAUUGGCGAACCCUAGGAAAACCCCCCUGUAUGUGCGAUCAUGUAGGUGCGAGCCUGUAGAUGCGAAACCCCUUACACAUGAAAACCCCAUGCAUGCGAACCCUUACGUGAAACCCCCCCUUUCAUGCGAACCCUGUAUGAAUACCAUGCAAACCCUAGGUUGUUAUGUGGAUACUCAUACUGUGAACACAUGUGCACAAACAUAUAGGAAUAUUCAUGUGAACCCUACUAUUAGAUGCGAACCCCCUUAUACGUGAAAACCCCCUUGCAUGCGAACCCUAGUUAGUAUACAUACGAGUCUCAUAUUUACAUGCGAACCACUACUAGUGCGAGUCAAUUAUAUGAUACCACAUGCGAACCCUACUAUUACAUGCAAACCUUUAUACAUGUUAUAUUCUAACUUUUUUUGUUAAAAUAGGUGAGACUUGUCUAGUAUUACAGACGACCCUACAUAUACCUAAUUUGCGAACUCAUAUGUUAAAAGUAUGCAAAACUAUCUAUGUUUGUUAUGUGAACUCACAUGUUAGCAGUAUGUGAACCUAUAUAUAUCAGUUAUGCCAACUCACAUGUUAGCAGUAUAUGAACCCAUAUGUCUGUUAUGCAAACUCACACGUUGGCAAUAUGUGAACCCUAUAUACACCUUUAUGCAAACUCACACAUUAACAGUAUGCGAACCCUAUAUACGCCUUUGUUGAUGUUAGUUCCCAUGCAUCUUGUGGUGCAGCAAUCGUGGCCAUGCAGGUCACAUGGAGAAAAGAAGCAGCACAUGAAGGCAGUAACUGGAGCUUGUGGAUGCUGUCCAAAUUCAACUUAUUUUGUUGGUUUGAUUUUAUAGUUUGUAACUUAGUUCUUUUGGAACUUUCUUGGUAAAACUUUCGAUGUAUUUUUUAUGUUGAUUGACUGAAAAUUCAGCAAAGCAACUUAUGCAAGCUAGUUUAGCAAUUUUCAAUGUAUUAAGUGGUGUUAGGUAAGUGUUUAGGUAGUAUUUUGACUUGUAAGCUUAACUCAUGUUUGAUAUAUGUAAUGGCAACUUGCCAAUGCCUUGUUAAUGAAAAAAUUCAGCUUGUUUUCAAUUUCUGUUCUUAAAAACAAAAAGGUUUCUACUUUGUUUCUUCUCCAAGUCACGAGGCUUGCUGACAAAGCAAAGCUAAAUCAGCUUGCUCACUGCCUUUGACUCCAACAGCCUUUAUACAAACUCACACGUUAGCAGUAUGCGAUCCUUAUAUACGCCUUCAUGCAAACUCAUACGAUUAGCAGCAUGUGAUCCCUAUAUUUAUGCGAACCCUUCUAAUAACAAAUAUGCGAACCUUAACUUGCGAACCCUAGGCAGGAACCCUACACUCGCAAAGCCUUCUUCUGAACCUGUACAUAUGCUAGAUAACCAAGCCUAUUAGUUUACGUUAAAUCACUGUACAUAUGAGAUUGUUUGUUUACUUGCACAAAUUAUAUGUGUAUUUACUAUUCGAUACAAGAGUACCUAUCGACCUUUUGAUGAGAAUUCAGAGAUUAAUGAUGAUAAUUCCAACAAUCGGUGGAAGAACAAGUUAAAUCGAGAAUUGGUGUAAUUUAAGGUAAUAAAGAUUAAAUUUUCAGUAAUAAAUAUAAAAUUGUUAUGGAAAGAAAUGAUGGGUAAAAAAAUGAGAGUUUUAAACAGAAGAGAGGAAAACUUCAAUUUAGGGUUGAAGAGGAACUAAAAAUCCAUGUGAAAUUAGGAAAAAAAUAUUAAAUACCUAGGAUUAAAAAAUUUGAGGGGGCUGAAUGGUAAAAUACCCUUUUUGCUUAAAAAUGAAAAGAAAUGGAAAUGGGGAUUGAGUUUGGCAUGACUUGAACCUUGGAAGCAAAGGAAAAAAUUGCAAAGGCCAUACCAUUUGGGUUGCUACCUACAUUUGGCAUAUUUUUACACUAUUUAAUAUAUAUCCUAGCUUAGUUUUGAUCAUAGGUUGUUGAAAAAAAAACAAGGGGUAAGAGUGUGGCUUCAACCUUAGUUCUCUAGUUAGUAUACUAAGCUCUUAACCAUUAAGAUUAAGGCUCAUCUCUUAGUCAAUUAAUUCAUCUAACUCUAUAUAUUUUGGUGUGUUACAUCUUGAAUUAAAAAAACCCAUAAAAUGCAUGUAGACUUGUAUUGCUUGGUACUUGGUAGUAUAUAUGUAGACUUGUAUGUUGAUUAAGCCACCUUAAUUAAGACCAAUGUGUUAGACUUGUCUAUGCAUUGAACAAUUUAGAAGAAAAUGAAGAAAAAGACUCUAAAAGCACUUGAAAACAGAUAAAACUCAUAUGUCAUUGACUAGUUAAAUGUGGUCACCCAUAAUAGACCCUGUAUUUGACUUUUUGUUGAGGGAGAUUGACUCCUUUGGGAGAAGUCUCCUGAGUGUUGUUUGUCAAGCAGUCAGGGUUGUCCUAAACAACUAAAGGUAUUGUCCCCAUGUCGAGAUUUUAUCCCUAGCCUCUGCAAAAUAAUCAUGGAGAAUAUGUGCGAGAGAAUUCAAACACCAACCAAUGCAUGUGUAGCCUUUACCUUGCCACCAUCUUUGGGAACCCAUAAGGAUAAAAUCCCAACGAGAGAAUAGUAUCAUCUAUUGAGGGGUCUGUCAACCCAAUAAAUGAAAUUUAAAUGCAUACUUUUUUUUUAAUGAAAGUAAAUAUCAUAUUUAAUUAGAGAAAAGCAAUGAAAAAUCCAACAAUAAAAUCCUUAGCAAAAGAUUAAAACACAAUUGUACCAUAAAUUAAAUAAGAAACUAAAAAAAUUCAAAUCUAACGAAGACAAUAACUUGAUUCCUCAAAGCCACCAUAAACAGUAAUUCAUACGAAGGCCUGUUGCUCAUUUUAUAGGUUUCCAUUUUGAUUUUGCAAAAGAAGUUUGAAUUCCGAAGCGAGCCUAGUACAUGAGAGAAAAUUGUCGAAACCGUCUUUUUGAAAACAAAAAUUUAGUUGUCGACUUUAAAAAUAAAACUGGAGUCGCCACCGAUCCUUUAUUAGGGUGUGAUCGGCUCACCUUAAAAAUUAUUUUGGUCUACGAGCUUUAAGAAAACGAGUCCGGGAGUAAGUUACGCAUGAGGAAGGGUUAGCACCCUCGUAACGCCCAAAAUCGGUACCAAAUCGAUUAUUUAAUGUCUUAGUGUCGUGGACUAAAAAGAAGUUAAAAAAACCAAAUGAUGAAAUCAGAAAAGGAUAAUCAAUUGUUCAAGACAUGUAAAGAAAUCGAGUCCCAAUACGUUAGGGUACAAUUUCUCAAAAUUCCCGAACUUUGAAUAUCGCUUUUAUUUUAUGCGAAAACAUUCAUUGUGAGAAAGUAACAUGCCACACCCAAUACGUUAGGACACGACAAGUUAAGUUCCAAAAAAUGAUUUUUAUACUCAUGCAUUUUGAAUAAAAAAUAUUCUCGAUUAUUUAAAAUUAACAAAGAAAAUCGGAACCCAAUACGUUAGGGCUCAAUUUUCUCAGAAUUCCAAAUACCGAAUUGUGCCUUUUAUUCGAAAAUUCUUAUUUCGAGAAGUCAAAAUAUCAUGACCAGUAAGUUAGGACUUGACAUUUUUUGAUUCCCGAGAACAAGCUUCUAUUUGAAAUUUGCAUGAAUUUAUUUCAAAAUAAAUACCUGGUUUUCUAAAUUCACCAAGAAAUAAUCGCAAUCCAGUAAGUUAGGAUACUGUUUUUCUCGAGAAUCAUGAAUGCCAAAUAUUUUGGAAUUUUAUAAAAUAUGAUGAUUUUAAUGCUUUGACAGAACCAAAAUAUAUUUUCUUUAAAAAGUGUAGAAAAAUACUAAUGUAUCACAUAAAAUCAAUAUUUUAAUUUUAAAUUAUAUGCAUAUAUGUAUUUUCAAAAUAUAAGUAUGAUACAUAAAUAAAUUUUGAAAAUAUAAGUAUGAUACAUAAAUAAAUUUUGAAAACAUGUAUAUGCACAUAUUAAAACAAGUAUAUAUAAGUAUACACAUAUAAAAUAAAAUAAUGAAUGAGAUAUGUAUAUCAAAAUAAAAAUUAUCAAAAUUUCUACAAAAAAAAAUCAUGUAUGUAUAUACGUAAUGAAAAUUGUAAAAAUAAAAAUAAAAAAUAUGCAGAUGUGUAUAUAUUUACAAAAAAAAAUUUAAGUAUACAUGCUUUAGUAAAACAGAAAUAAUAAUAGUAUAUGAAGAAAUUAGGAAAAUGUGUAUAUAGAUGUACAUAUAUAAAAAAAAUGCAAAAAUAUAUUUACAAUAAUUUUGAAGGGCGUACGUGUAUAUCAAUAUCUAUUUAUGCAUAUAUAUUAUAAAAUAUGAAAGAAUAUAUAACUAUAAUAGAAAUAUAAAUGUAUAUACGUAUAUAUGUAUAUAAAAGCUAAAAAAGAAAUAAUAACAAUAUAUAUAUAUAUAAAUAUGUAUAUGUAUUAGAGAAAUAUUUAAUAUAUAUAUCUAUUAGCAUACAUAUGCGUAUGUAUGUAAGUAUAAUUAUAAUACUAUAUAAUAUAAUAAUAAUAAUAAUAGUAAUAAUAAUAAUAAUAAUAAUAACAAAAACUACAAAAAAAACCUUAAAAAGCACCAUUAAGGAUUAAACUGAGAGCUAAACGAAGUUAAAAGGCCAAAUUUAAAAAUAGAAAACACCAGGAAGGACAAAGUGAUACGCGCGCCAUGAGAGGAGGACUUAAAAAACAAUUUUCCCAAGUCGCUGAAGCACUGUGCAGUGACAUGGAUUAAAUCGUCACGCGAGCAAAAUAUUUGGGCCGAAUUUAAAAAGGAAAAAAAACUUGAUUGAAACACGUAGCAAAAGGGGAAGGGCUAAAAUAUAUAACAAAAAAACACAAAAAGUCAAUCUGGUAAAUCGAUGUUGGGUACUCUAAUUUUAGGAUUCAGAAGGCUUAAGAGUGUUUUCGCAUCAAAAUCGUACUAGGUGUGUCCCCAAAACACAAAAAGUCAGGUUUCGAUAAAAGCCGAAAAUGCAUCCAGUCGAUGCCACACGGACGUGUGCCUGGUCGUGUGGCUAGCCGUGUGUGAGACACGACCUUGUGGUGGUGUGAGUGUAGCGGUAUGGGCCACACGGGCUAGGCCAGUCUGGGCAUAUAGGCCCACAAUUUUAAAAUUUUCCUUAAGGCCACAUGGUUCGUUUCGAAUGAUUGUGGACCUACCAUAGGGUCGGUAAUGGCUAAUCAAACACUAAAUUAUGUGAUAUGAUAUUUUGAUAGUCUGCAUUGUGUAGGAUAUCGAUAUGUACAUCUGUUCUAUUUAAGUAUAUAUAUGCUAUCUGUAUAUGAGCAUGUUAUGCAUAAUAUUACUGUAUCUAUUAUUUCUAUAUUCUGUAUCUGUGAUUGUGGUGGGUUUUGUAUAUGUAGAGGAAGUGAUCUGUAUGGUGACACUUCCCUUAUAUUCUGGCAGUUGAUUGUAUAUUAUCUGUAAUGUGUUGUAUUGACACUAUAUGGUGUGUAGGGAUGGGUAGGUGUUUUAAACCUCAUAUGGUGUGAUGGGAUGGCCGAAGAUGUUGUGUAGAGGAUGGGGGUAAGAUUCUACAUAUCUGUACUACUUAUCUCAUUCUGUUAUCUAGAUUUGGAAUGGAUAUAAGUCCGAAUCUGGAUCUGACUGUAUAUAAGACUUCUGUUUGUAUUGCAUGUCUAUUUUUGUUGGGUUACACACUGAGUUUAUGAAAGCUCACAUAUGUUUGUCUGUUCUAUUCAGGUCUAUAGACUUAGGCGAAUCAGUGUGACGGAGCCUCACAGUGACCACGAGAUCGUAAACUGUUUAAGAUUAUGGUUUUUAUUUAAUUUAAGGAUUAUUUCUAGAAGUUUGUAAUAAUUGGACUUUCUAGACUAUUUGACUUUUAUUUCAAUUUUGGAGGCAUUUUAACUUUUAUGGCCACGUUUGACCAAAAUCACGGUUUUACUAAAAUAAAGGAUUUUCUAAAUACAUGAAUUAGAUUUCCAAGAUUCAAUGCUUUUUGAAAACUUCGACCUUAGAUUAUGUAUUGGAAAAUUAAUUAAUUAAAUAACGCUUCUAGUAACAAAUAGUACACUUGGGGUAUUUAUCAAAUGACUAAAUAAAGCUUUAUCAAAAUAUCACUGUUUUCAAAACCAUUCCAUGUAACACUCUUGGAUUCAGCCACAAUGUCUAGGCCGAGAUUAGGGUGUUACAUUUAAUGCUAUCAGAGCCAGGUUGCAAAACUCAAGCUAUGAAUUUUGGGUUUCAAAAAUUAUAUUUUGAAAAAGAACAGGUUUUCAAAUAAUUUGGAUCAUUCUGAGUAAGUAUGUGGUACACUGAGUCUAUGGUAUUGAUCCUGUAAGUACUUUUGAAAUUAGAUAGAACUUUCUGAAAACAUUGUAGUUAGUACUUUCUAAAACUAUACUGAAUUAGUUAAAAAUAGAAACCUCUGAAAUAUGUUCAAACUUCUGCUAAUUUGAGCAUAAAAUAUCUGUUAAUAAAGAUUGGAACUGAUGCAUAAAAUUUUGUAAUGUAGAUAAAUUUGAAAAUAUACGAUGAGCAAUUGUGGAACUCACGGUCAUGGUAUUCGUGGGCGCGUAGGGUCGUAGGGGGCUGGAGCUGAGUCUUUUUCUCUGGGCAGUAUGCCAAACUUAGAUAUGAGUGAGACACCGGUUUCACCUGCCAUUGAGACAAGGUCUCAAAGUCGCUUGGCUAGGGACGACGCACUGUCUCAAGCCAUGUUGAGGGUUUUGGAGAGGGUCACUAGACCUCAUUCUGGAUCUGUGGGUCGAUAACUGAACGACUCCGAUCCAAUAGAGCUGAGCUGUUUAGGUGUGUCAUUGGAGUCACCCCUACUGUGGCCGAGUAUUGGUUGGAGGCCACUGAGAGGAUUAUGAACGACAUUGACUGUACUCCUAAGUAGAAACUUAAGGGUGCAGUCACUUUACUUUGUGAUGAGGCAUAUCAAUGGUGGUUGUCGAUUGAGGAGGGUACUCAACGGGACUGUCUGAACUGGGAUUAUUUUAAGACUACCUUCUAGGGGAAGUAUGUGGGUGCGAGCUAUGUUGAUGCUUGUAGGCGUGAGUUCAUGAAUCUCACGUAAUGUGAUAAAUCUGUGGCUGAGUACGAGGUUGAGUUUCUGAGGUUGAGCCGCUACGCUUGAGGCAUAGUGGCGACUGAAUAUGAGAAAUGCAUAUGUUUUAAGGAUGGCUUGAGGUAUAAUCUGAGGGUAUUGAUUGCUCCACAGAGGGAGCGAGAGUUUUCAGUUCUUGUGGAUAUGGUGAAGAUCGCCAAGGAGAUUAAAUGCAUAGAGCGCUAAAAUAGGGAUCAUGAGUGAGGCAAGAAUAAGAGGGAUUCAGAGCCCUCUAGUUCUGUUUAGAGGCCUAAGAAACAGGUCAGACCUGAUUGGCUUGUUAGAGUAGGGGUUCCUAUUGCUUCUACUAGGAUUUAGCCAUGUGGUGAUUGUUUUAGGCGCCAUUCAGGUGAGUGUUGGAGGAGGUUAGAGGCUUGCCUGAGGUGUUGGUAUUUGGAGCACCACAUUAGAGAAUGUCCACUCCAUACGGAUUAGAUGCAAGCUUCAGGACUGAGUUUUAUAUAACCUCAGAGGGCAGUUCAACAGCCACCUAGGGGCCGUGGUCCGACUAGGGGUGGUAAUGGUAUGGGCCGAGGACAAAGAGCACUGGGAAAAGGUGUUAGUCAAACUGAGGCAAGGCAGCCUGCACUGGUUUAUGUUGCUUGAUGCCAAGAGGAUAGAGACGCUCUUGAUGUGAUCACAGGUACGUUCUUUAUUUUUGGUGUUCCAUAUACUACUCUGAUAGACAUAGGUUCUACUCAUUCCUAUGUAGGUAGUACUAUUUCCAAAAAUUUAUUGAUUUCUGGUGAGGGUACUUCUAGUGAAAUUAUUGUACUGAGUCCGUUGGGGCAGUCUGUUCGAGUAAGUAGACUUUAUAGGAAUGUACAUUUGGAAGUACAAGGGAUUGUGUUUUUGGCAGAUCUGGUAAGGGUAGUUCUAGUGAAAUUAUUAUACUGAGUCCUUUGGGGCAUUCUGUUCGAGUAAGUAGACUUUAUAGGAAUGUACCUUUGGAAGUACAAGGGAUUGUGUUUUCAGCGUUUUAUUCACAUAAAAGCAGCAAAAUUUAGCGGCGUUGUCUACAGCGGCAUUUUUUACGGUGCUUGUGAAAGCGCCGCUAUAGGCCUAAAAACACCGCUAAAAGCUUGUUUUGCUGCAGUGAAUUAAUAUUAUUAUAAGUGUAUUUUCACCUUUUCAUACUUUUAUAUAAUCUUUAAGUAAAACGAUUGAAAAUUAUUAUUUGAGAAUCAAACACAAGAGUAACAAUAUUCAUAUAGAAAACGCUUACCACUCCACUAAUAAUCAUUUGUUGAUGUAUUUUUGGUAAAAAGACCCCUCCAAUCCCUCUUAAUUUCACAAUUGCUCAAAUUAGUCCCUCUCAUAAAAAUUGGAGCAAUUUAAUCCCUAUCAAUUUUGAAAGUGAGUAACUAAGGACAAUUAAUUAUGGUGUUAAAUUCUUCCAUCAAUUGUACAUAAUUUUGAUUGGUAUAAGAAUAAAUUUAGCCUUCAAUGUUUAUAUAUUUUGUCAUUUUGGCCAUAAUUUAAAAAAAAUUCAAGAAAUUGAACCUCAACAUUUACAUAUUUACACAAACGUUGCGGGAAAAUUUUGUUAAAUUAAGACCAAAUUGCAAGUGUAAGUUUUGAGGGCUAAAUUUAUUAUUAUACCAACCAAAAUCAUGUACAUUUUAUGGGAAAUUAACAUCCUAAUUAAUUAUUCUUAGUUACUCACUUUCAAAAUUAAUAGGGACUAAAUUACUCUGAUUUUUUUAGGGUGACCAAUUUCCUCAAUUUGGAAUUUGAGAGAGACUAUUGAGAUCUUUUACAUAUUUUUUUAUAAAUAUAUAUAUUUAAUAUAAAAUAUAUUUGUUCACACACAUCGUGAGUAUGAUAAAAUAUUUUUAUUGUUAAUUAGUUGGUGUCAAAAAUUAACUCGACGCCAACUCAAUAUUAAUGAUAACAAUAUGAUAAAUAAUUGAUUUAUUUAAUAUUCUUAAUUUAACAUAUUGAUAUAAAUUUUAAGACAUGCUUGUCUUGAAGAAUUGUGAUUAUACUUUUCGAGUAUUGACUCAGUUUUCCACAAUUGUGGGUCUCUAUUUAAGACAAACAAUUUCAACAUUUCUUCAUAUUGUUUAAUCCAAAUGCAUUAAGGAUUUUCUUAUAUCAUUGUUUCAAAAAUGAUAAAAAAAAACAACGUCGACAUUGAAUUUGCUGUUUCACAUUCAAUUUUUGGAGAAGUAGAAUCUUCUAACUUAUUUUCCAUCAACUUCACUUCAAUUUUCAAUCACAAUCAAUUGCAUUCAAGAGCACCACAUAUUUUUUGGAUGAAACAAACCUAUCAAUUUUAAGAUAAACGGGUCUUUAGGGUUAUUAAUUGAGGGCCUUUUCCACAAUUGUCAUCGUUAAGCAUUUUUCAAUCUUGUCUACUGUGAAUAUCGUUUUUAAGCAUUUUUCAUUGAAAUAACGAUUAAUAGACAAAUAAUAUUCAAGUAAAACAAUUUUUGUAUAUUGGUUUGAAAGGUUUUCUAAAUAGUACAAGGACCUGAAACAGAACCACUGGACAAAGCUAACCAAAUCUAAGAGUUGGAAAUAUUUGGGAAUGAAUAGUUUAAAUUGUGAUUAUUUCUUCGGGUUCCUGUCAAAGAUAUCAGCUGAGCAAGAAGGCAGGGUAAUGUGCCAAUGAUAGAACCUUGAUGAACAACGAGCAAAUGUCAACCUAAGCAUUAAAAGGGGAUCAUUCUCAAAAAAUGACAUUCUACAUGUAACGCCCCAAAAUUUUAAUUUUGGGUAUUGUGAAUGUAUGACACAAAUAUCUGUCUGCUUUAGUGGUUAUGUGUUUUGGGUGUGUUUGGGAGGUCUCAAGUUCAAGUCAAUACUUGGGCAAAUUUUGGUAAUUUUAUGAAUAAGCCCUAUCUCUGGUUAUAGGCUUUUAAGUAAAAGUUGGCAAAUAAUUAAUAGAAUGGGUCUGUUGGUCUAGUGGUUAAGUGGAGUGUUGGUGUGAAGAAGGUCAUGGGUUCAAAUCUUUGGGACGGCAAGGUAAGUCGUUUUACUCUCCAUCUUUCUGACGUUUUCUCUCCCCCAUGUCUGCCGAAUUUUUUUUCUUUCUUCUUUACUUGUUACUCGGUUAUCUUUUCUUUUCUUUCCUCUACUACUGUCGAAAUUCCCUUGUUUCCCCUAAACCAUUCUUUCCUCUUGAUUUCGUAGCUUUAAGCAGCACUUGUUCAAAUUUAGUAAGUUGUUGGGUAUCAUUUUAAGAUAUUAUUUUGUAUUCAAUAGUCUAAUUUUGGGGUGUUGACAGUAGCAUUUCACGAGGAUUAAGGCUCUCCUCGUGAUUUUUGCAACGUACCGAUUUUAAGUUUUGCGGUAAGUGUUCAUCAUUUUAUGGGUAAGUAUUUUGGUUUCGGGAUUUUAAUUACUCACAAGGUAAGACUGAUUAUGGUGUUAUUUGCUCAAUUAUACGCUUAGGAGUGCUCGGGGACUAUUUUAGCAUCAAACAAAACCAAGUGUGCACCCGAAUCGCAAAAAUAAGGGAUUCGGCGAAAAGCCGAAAUUGCUUGCUGUUUGGACAGCAGCAGUAGGCUAACUUUGAAAAAUCAGCAUAAAUUGUGGAAAUCGAAUUAGAGGAUGAAAAAAAUAUGAGAUUAAAGCUUAUUGAGCCUAGUUUCUCAUAGAAGAAACGGUGUAAGUAAUGAAAUUGUAAAUCGUGAGUUAUAAUAGACUUAGUGAGACAAGGUCAGAAUGAAUUUGGGUUCCCCUGUUUUGACUUUGGAAAAUUAUCAAAAAUUGGAGAAAAAUAAUUAGGGGUUAAAUUUUACAUGCUUAAACUAUUAAUGAGUCUAUUUUCAAUAGAAACAAAUGAAAAUGUCAUCCAAAUUUUGUACUAAGAGAUAACUCAUUUUUAGCAAAGAAGAGUCAAAGUUGUCAGACAACAGAAAAGGGAUAAGUUUAAAUAUUUUACUGUACUUAUUAGCUGAACCAAAAAUUUUGGAAAUUUAUGGUAGAAAGUUAAUUGAGUCUAGUUUCAAAGACAUCAAACGGAUCUUAAUUCGGAAUUCUGUAGCUCAAGAUAUAAAUUUAUGUUUAUCUUAUUAUCUUUCUUAUUUUAGAAUUGAUUACAUGAAAGUUAAUUGCUAAUAUUAUUAGUUAAUUAUUAGUUUUCUUCAAAUCAAAUUAAACCCCGAAAGGUAUCUCUUUUUUUAUAUUAGUUUUAGUUAUCCAUUAAAUUUGUUUCUUUGUAGUAAAAUUAAAUUAUAGAAAUAACAUUAAAAUUUUAAAUAAAAAUAAUUCACAAUAAUUUAUUAUUUAAAAAACGCCCUGAAAUUUAAAAUUAUUGCUAUAAAUAUAUCAUUAAAUUAUACAGAAUUUAAUUUUUCUUUCAAAUACUAAAGUUAAUAAGGAAAGAGAAUAUAGUACAUAUCAAUAAAACUAUUAAAAAAGAAAUAUUGUUUAAAAUCAAUAGCGUCUAAAAAUUGUCAGAAUGAAAUAUUUGAUUUUAUAAGAUUUCAUUACUCUAAAAAAAUAAAAUAUGACAAUGCUUAAAAAUUUUAUUAAAAAAAGUUUUAAAUUUUAUAUAAAAUUUUAAAAAAUAAAAAAUAGUACUAAAAAUUUUUAUAAGCAAAUUUAAAUAUUAAUUAGUAAAUUUUUUUGUAAUAUUUAUAUGUAUUUUCAUUUUUAUAAAUACUAUUAAAACUUUUUAAAAAAAAAUUGAAUGCUAUUUAAAAACAUUAUUAAAAAAUAAAAUAUUAUAUGAAAGUUAAAAUGACCUAAAAACAUAUUUUAAAAAUUUAAAUACUUUAUACAAUAUUUAAAACUGCUUAAAAUUUCUAAACCCUAAAAAAUAAAUAAAAUAUAAUUUUUUUCUAAGAAAUCAAUAAAAAUAUAUUUAUAAUUGAACUGUCAACAAAAUUGUGGGAAAUAUUUAAAUUUUAUGAAAUUUUAAACUUAAACUGUCAAUAAUAGAAAAUUGCCUGAGUGACUUGGGAUAAGAGGUUCAACAUUUCUGGAUCGCAUUGCAUUUAAGGCGGGUCUUUAGGGUUAUGCUUUAGUUUUUUAGAACAUUUUCCACAAUUUGCCAUCAUUACUUGUGAGUGAUUUGUGGGGUAAGAGGUUGAACACUUCUGGAUCACAUUGCAUUUAAGACUGGUAUCAUUCAUAAAUUAUAUAUCUACAACAAGAAUGGUAGCCUCUUAUAUUAUAUUCAUGUAUCUAUUUUGCAUCUUUCAUUAUAAUAUGAUUUAGUAAUUUUAAUAUUUUUAUAGAAUAAUAUGCUUUAAUUUUUUUUGUAUCAUUCAUAAAAAUUAUAAUAAACUUACAAAAUGAUUUAAUGAUAUUUAAUUAUUAACGGAAAAAAUUUAUAUCAUAUAUAUUCUGUAUAUAUUAAGAUUUUGAAUGAUUAAUUAUAUAUCUACAUAUUAUAAUAAAUUCAUCUUUCAAAAUUUUCCUAAACUAUAUUCAUAAUAUUAUAAAUAUAUUAUAUCAUAAAUAUUCUUUCAAAUGUUUUUUAAUGUUUAAUAAUAAGUUAAUUUAUAAAAUAUUCUUUCAAUAAAUUAACGUGAUGAGAUCGUUAGGUGCUUGGAUUUGGUGACGGGGACGAGGAGAAAAGGGAUGGAAGUGAAGAGAAAUGUUGGGAAAUUGAAAGGGUUAGCAAGGGAGGCCUCCGUGAAAGGUGGUUCUAUAGAUGUGAACCUUCAAGCUUUUGUGGAUGAUGUUGCUCAAGGUUGUUGCAAGUAAAUUUAAAAAUAUUUUUUUAAUUAUUUUUUGUUAAAAAAUAUUUUUUUCUAUGUAGCAUGCCACAUUAGCAUACUACCAUGUGGUAACUUCUAGUGAUUUUCGUAUGUAACAUUAGACAAAUUAAUCGUUAAAUCGUUCAACUGACAGAUUUCGUUAAAGGAAGAGGUCAAUUGAUUUUUUUGGAAUCAUUGAGUACUCAAUUGGUGCACUAUUUUCAUAAAGACUAAAUUAAUUUUUUUAAUUUGUUAUCGCUGAGGGCUACAGUAAUAAAAAAUUUUGAGGUAAAAUUAGAAUAACGUCCCAAAAAUCUUAUAUUUAAUUUGUAAAAUUUUACCAUUAAUAAGUAUUUGUUUUAGUGGUUAAGUAUUUGAGUCGUGUUUAUAAUAUCUUGGAUUCAAGUCCCUACGUGAAUGGAUUGUUUUUUUUGUUUUUAAUUUUUGCAUGGGUCGGGUAGGUGGUUGAGUUUGAGUCCAUUUCGAACUUUGGAAAAAGGUGGUUAGUUAUCUGAGAUGGGUUAGUGUUAGUAGAUUUGGAUUUGGUUUAUUUUAAAAUUUAUUAAUUAAUUUGUUAAAAAAUUAAAUUAGUUUUUUCCUAAUUUUUGGCUCACCAUUCUUUCUCUUGUUCUUCUUUAUUCUUUCUUUUUCUGCUACCUUUCAAAUCACGUCGAUUUGUUCCUAUUUUGCUUUUGAGUUUUUCUUUUCUUUCCUUUACGCUCCUCUACGAUCGUGUCUUAAUUCCUUCAUUAUUUUCUCGUUGUUGGCGUUGCUCGUUCGAGAGUGGGUUAGUUUCCGUUUUGAUGUGUUUUUACGAGGUUAGUAAAAGAAAUGCGUUAAUUUUUGGAUUAUGGAGUUGAUCGUUUUUAAUCAAUUCUCCAGUAAGUUGACUCCUUUGCUGUUGUUAUGUGCUAGGUUAAGAGAUUAAUUCUGAUUUGGGCCUGCGUGGUUGUGUAGAUUUUCCAUGUGAAUUCGUUUGGUAUUUUUAGGAUAAAUCAUUCUUUAAGUCGUAUUGCUACCAUCGCUAAUGUGAUGUUUUAAUUUAUGCAUUUAGGAUUUGGUAGUUUUAUGGGUGUUUUCGUAUAAAAAUCAAACCAAGUGUGUAACGAAAAACCCGACAACAACGAGCGACGAAAGUCAAAAAAUUGCACUGUCGACACCACACGGCCGUGUGUCGGGCCGUGUGACAAGCCGUGUUUCAGACCGUGUGCGACACACUGUUUGGGCUAGUUAAGCCGUGUGGAACACACAGGUGUGUGUGAGGACGUGUGCCACGCCAUGUGAGCCACACGGGCUGGCCAUUUAGGCCGUUUGAGACCAAAAUACUAAGGGCACGUUUGGUUUGCUGUAUUGGAUUAGAGGUGUAUUGGAUUAGAGGUGUAAUGGAAUAGAUGUGUAAUAGCAAAUCAACUGUUUGGUUGAAUGUAAUGGAAUAGAGGCGUAAUAGUAAAACUGUGUUUGGUUGAAUGUAAUAGAGGUGUAAUAGCAUAAUGGAGAAAACUAAAAUGACCAGAAUACCCUUAGCAUAAAUUUGUUUUGGUAAAUGAUUAUUGUUAUUGUUAUUUAAAUUUUAAUAAGAUUAUUUAUUAUCAAAAAUAAAUAAUUUAAUCAUAUUUAAACAUAAUUAUUAUUUAAUAUAUUUUAAUUAAAAUAUAUAAUUUAAUAAAAUUCUUAAUAAUUAGCAGAAAUUUGUUUUGGUAAAUUAUUUUAUUUAAAUUUUAAUAAGAUUAUUAAUAUCAAUAAUAAAUAAUUUACUCAUAUUUAAACAUAAUUAUUAUUAAAUAUAUUUUAAUUAAAAUAUAUAAUUUAAUAAAAUUCUUAAUAAUUAAUAUUCUUAUAUGAAUUUACUCAAAUCAUAAUAUAUGAUACUGUAAAAUAUAAAUUAAAAUAAUAAUUAUUAAAUAUAUUUUAAUUAAAAUAUAUAAUUUAAUAAAAUUCUAAUAAUCAAUAUUCUUAUAUGAAUUUACUAAAAUCAUAAUAUAUGAUACUAUAAAAUAUAAUUUGAAAUAAUUAAUAUUAAAUAUAUUUUUAUUAAAAUAUAUGAUUUAAUAAAAUUUAAAAUAAUUAUCUAGAUUCAAAUUUAAGAAUUAUUUACAUGAACAAAAAUAUAAUAUUUGUUUCUAAGUUAAUUAUUUUAAUAAAAUAAUUAAAUAUUUAUAUAACGGUGUUCUCAUCUUUUGGUAUUUUUAUAUGCAAUUUUAAAGAUUGAAUCCAAACUUAAAAGAAUAUUUAUUUGUAAGCAUUUCACCGGUUUACUUCAACUCAAUUAUUGAUUAAUUUUUAAUAAACAUAAAUUCAAUCACUAAUUCUCUUGGCUCCUCUGUUUCAAUAUAUGAAACAUGACUCAAUCACUAAUCCUCAUAACUCAAAGGUGAGCCAGAUGGUCCAUCAGGGGGUGCAGAAGCAGCAUGAGUCAAAGCAACUAUGGCAUUUUUCCAGAAAGAGGAGCCAAGAGAAUUAGUGAUUGAUCUUAACAAUGGCAGAUCAUUAAGAUCCCGGGUCUGGCUGUCCAACCGAUCAACAUAGACUACAACAUCGGGGGGACACUUCUUUAUGUAUUGCUUUAUAGAAGCUAGGACUUUGUGAUUGGCACCUUGCUCCAUGGCAGAAGAUUUCAAACCUGGGGUAUCAAUGAUUCUCAGUUUAACACCAUCUACCAUUCCAGUAAUCUCUUUCACUACUGUAGUGGCAGGUUCAAAUGCAUGAAUUGAGGUCUUUGACUCACCAAAGAUUGAAUUUAUUGUGGCACUCUUGCCCACCCCAAUCUUCCCAAGCACAAGCAUGUUUAUGGAGAAGCUUAAAUCAUCUUUACCCUCUGUUUCAAGUUCCAAAGCUUUCCUCUUCGCAGAAUCAACACUAAACAGUUCACUGGUUUGUCUCCUUGCAACAUGUGCCAGUCUAUAAAGAACCUGUGCUGCUAAAGAAUCUUCAGUAGAAAGUCCGAGCCUUUGAAGAAUCCUCAAAAAUUUGACUCUUAUAAGCUGUAACUUUUCCAAUUUUAUUUUAUCUUCUUCUGUCAAGUUGUUGUCAGAAUCUCCCCUACUUGUUACAGCAGGACUAAAUAUGUUAGGCCUGUUUGAUCGAGGUGCGGAUGUUGCAUUUUGCAGUGAGGAUCCUAAGCCUGCAGGACGUUCAACAGUGAAAAGCCUAGAUCCAUCUUGAGAGGUUAUAGUAAUGUUGCCGCCAUCAGAGCCAGCACCAGUUGCUGCUUUCAAGAGGGCUGCCAAAGCAGCAGAAUCAAAUAACUCCUUCCCCUCUCCUUCUUCAUCCGUAUCCCCUUCUUCAUCUGAAUCAACAGCAUUUGUCUGUAUAUGAUUAUGAGAAGUAUCAGCACCCGAGUGAGAACCAAUGGCAGAUCCUCGUUCUAGCUCCUCCAAGAAUUGCUUAGCAGCUUCAGCAUUCUUAAAGAACAUACUUUCAGCCUCUCCAUCAGUCUCUGAGCCUUCAUUCUAAUGCUGCUUCUCUUCCAUUUCACCUUCAAAACUAACUUUUCCAGCCACUGUAGUUUGCUCUACUGACUCAGGCCAAUGAGAUUCUUCUCCUGGCAGGGUUACUGACCUUUUGCUUUGAGAAUCACUAUCUAAAUUCUCUGUUUCAUGAGCUGCCAUUAUUUCUGUAGGUUGAGCAGAACUAUCCUUUGCCUGAAUUCCAUCUCCACCCCCUCCAUCUACUUUCUCAGCAAAUGCUUGUUCCAAAAUAUCUAUGAUCUCCUCAUCUUUGAGAUCAUUUAGCUCAGUCCCAGAAUUGUCUUUACCAAGCAUAACCCCACUGGCAAUAUCAGCUUUAUUCUCAGCAUCAACAGCCAACUCGUCUCCGCCGGAAAACUUCGAACCAUCAGCAUGAUUCAAGCCGUUAUCCAAGCUCGCAUUAUCGUCAACUGGAACCACCUCUGUCUCCUUCAUCACCAAUGUCUCAAUGCCUAAAGCAGCUCCAGUCAAAGGUUUCGCAUCGACAGCCAACUCCUCUUCGCCAGAAAAUUUCGAACCAUCGACUUCAACUACCUGAUGAUCUACUGUUUCUACAAUCAUAGGAUUGAAACCCUUAGCUCCACCAUCUAACACCAAAUUAUUCUCAAAAAUCCCAAUUCUACCUUCCUCUCCACUUUCCAUUGAUAAAACAGAUUGGUCGACUUCUCCAAUGGAACCCAUUUCCACCUUAUCGUCCUUUUCACCAUUACCAACACUAUCAACAUCAACCUUCCCCAUCGAACCCUCACCUCUAUAUUCCUCUAAACCAUUAUCGCCAUCCCCAAACGAGUCCUCAUUCAAAAUCACAUUCGAACCAUCAGAACCAACAAAAGGGGCAUCACUAACAUCCCUCACGGUCGGAAUUACUUCAUCAGGGUCAGCCAUAAAUGGCCUCUCGGGUACUGUUUCAAACUUCCCCUCACCAUUCUCGUUACUAUCAUUAGUUUUACCAUUCCCAUUAUCUUCCAAAGUACGUUCACUUACUGAACUAGUUACAAACUCAGAAUCAUCAUUCGAAGUUAAAGAAGAAGAAGAGGAAGAAGAACCUGGAGAGGUAGAGAGCGACUGAGAAGUGAUUUCCGGGGCAGAAAGCAAGGCGUCCAUGGUUGAAAGAGAGGAAAGGGAGAUAGAGAGAAUUGGGUUUUAGGAUAUGGAAUGAAUUUUGAGUGGCACACAGAGGGAGCAAAUCGGCAGAAAGGGUAAAACAGGGAGGGGAAACCGAAGGGGCAACUAAUCUGCAGAAAAGAGGGGGAUUAGAAAUCGGUGGUUUUCACCGAUUAGGAAGGUAAAGGAUUACACCCGUAUUAGAAAUACAUCAAACCAAACGAUGGAAUACAGUCGCAUUAGGUGGGGCCCACCGAUUAGGGGUGUAUUGGCUAUGCCAAUACACCCAACCAAACAUGGUGUAAAUUUUUCCCUAGGGUUAUACACAUCGUUAUGAUCGAUCGUAGGCCUUUCGUGGGGUCGAUAUAUAAUCAAAUAGACUGUAAAGUAUGAAAUCCGGUCAACUAAUAGUAUAAAUUCUGAUAUCUGUUCAUAUAUUUGAGAUGUUAUUUGUUCAAUAAACCUUGUAAUAGGCUAUGAGAAACUUGAGAAAUAUUAUGUAUGCUUUGUAUCUGUUAUGUCAUACAUGUAUAAUGUAUUAUGUCUGAUUUUGUUCUAUUCUUUUCUGUAUUUGCAUCUGGGGUGGGUUAUAUUAUGUGGAGGAAGCGUUUCUUUGAAUGGCGAUAAUUCGCCUAUUACACUGGCAGCUCAGCUACAAAUAUUCUGAAAAGUGUCAUAUCAACACUAAGUGGUGUGCAGGGCUGGAUGAGUGUUUCAUACCCCAUAUAGUGUGUUGGAAAGGUCGGAGAUAGUGUUAGCGGAUGGGGGUAGGAAUAUAUGUCUGUAUCUGUACUGCUCUAAUAUGAAUAUGUUCUGCUAAAUCUAUCUUAUACAAAAUAAAUAUUUAAAGUUAUUCGUUAUACAUUGAGUUUUGUAAACUCACUUUCUAUUUGUUUGAUAAUUUUAGGUAUUCCUCAGACUUUGGCAAAUCGGUGUGAAAGAACUUGGUUAAAUUGAUUUAGUUUCAUUAUCUAUUAUAAUUAAAUUUUGGGUUAUUGUGUUUCAUUAUUUUUGGACUGUUGGGAAUUUUUGGAUUGUUUUGGUUUUUGAGAUUUUAUUUUCAAUUUUUGCAUGAUACUAUUAAAAAUGUUUUAUUGGAAAUGUUUGUUUUCCUGCAAAACAACUAAUUUCAGACAAAUAAACUUAGUUUUCCAAACAUAAUGAUAUGAGAAUUUUCGCUUUUAAGUAUUCAUUUUAGAAAAUGUAAGCAAACAUCGUUUCAACUAUAAAGUUAAGUUAGAUGUAUUUUUCUCUUAAAUCGAGGUUUAAGUAAUAAAAGUUUACGACAUUUUUCCAAAUUUUACAAAAAAUUGGAUUUACAAUUGUUUUAUGUAACAUCUCCAGAUUUGGUCAUAACAUCUAGUCGGAUUUCGGGUGUUACAUUUAGUGAUAUCAGGUCAGGUUGCAAAACUCAGGCUGUGAACUUUUUGGUUCAAAAUUUUGUGAAAACUAUUUUUCGAGUAAAGUUUGUCGAAACCACUUUUUCGAAACAAAAAAUAGCGUCGACUUAAAAAAUGAAAAUUGGAGUCGCCACCAGUCUUUUUUAUUUAGGUGUGAUCGGAUCACCUCCUAAUUUAAUCAUUUAAAUAAAAGUUAAAAUUUACUAAAACGAUUAAUGGGUUUAAAAAACCUUUUUCUUUACAAACAUUAACAAUAAUAAACGAACAUCGAAGAAAUAGAAAAGAAAAAAGAAAUCGAAAAGAAAAAAAAUUAGAUUUCAAAUCACCUCUCAAAAAUUUAAUUGCUUUCUGAUUUCUUUGGUAUCUUUUUUUACUGAUUUCUUAUUGUUCGCGUAAAAAACUUACAAAGGUCUUUUCUUCCGUUUUAUAGGCAAAAUAUGAAAUAAAUAAAAAAAUACAAUAUAUGUUUUUUCUGUGUUGCUUUUCGUCCUAUUUGUAGGUACGAAGACCAGCUAGCGCUGUACAGAGGCGGUGCAGCACGUGCUUGGCUGAGGUGACUAGAGGCGUGCGGUGGCUGGGUCUGCUGUGUAGUUUAGGGUUUCUGUUGAUUUUUGGUUAUUGGGCUGGGGUUUAAUUUGGGCUUGGGAUUGUGUUUGAUUUUUAAUCUGUAAAUGGACUUUUUAAUAUUGGACUUUUAUUUUUUAUUUGGAUUAUUAUUAUUUUUUGUGUAUGCGGGUCCGGGCUCUACAAAGUUCAUUUCUGGAUUAAUCUGAAAAUUAAUUAUGUGAAGUACCGAGUCUCUGACGUUGAUCCUGUAAGUACUUCUGACUUAGAAAAAUUUUAGUUUAGAAAACUCUAAAAUGAUUAGAACUGUAGUUGGAUAGUUAGAGACAGAAACAUUUCUAUAAAUUCUUUUGAUAACUUUUUGAGUAUAAAAUAUCUACUAAUAAAUACUAAAAUUGAUACAUAAAAUUCAUAAUAUAGGUAAUAUAUACGAUGAGUACUCGUGGAACACAUGGACGUGGUAACCGUAGGCGUGGCAGGCGCCGAAGAGGGGCUCGAGCUGAGUCAUCCUCGAUAGGUACCUGAUAGGCUAUCGCUGGAGAGAGCAAUAGUCUUGAGAGAAGAAAUUUGAAGAUCGAAGUCGGAAUCUGACCUUUAAGGCCUUUAAUUGCUUGAAUAAUAAGCAUUUCCAAACUAAAAGGAUUACAAUUUCUUCAAGAAUUUGACCUGCAGACAUAGUUGAAACAUGAAGGUGUUAAAUUACCUAUUUUGUUAGUGUAAAUCAAAGAGGCUUUUUAUUUUUAUUUUUCGUUGUGAAAUAAUAUGGAUAUGUUAGAUUCUAAUCAUAUUUAAGUAUAUAUUAGUUCUUGAAGAGUUCUUAUUUUUGGUAUUUAUAUUGCAAAUAAUUUUUUUAAAUUAAGAAAAAAGGGGGGAGGGGCAAAUGUGUUUAAACUAAAGACAUCAAGGAGAGUUGUGUCAAAUUCCCAAUGCUUUUUGGAAUGAUCCCACUAAAUUGAUUAACAGACAAUUCCAAAAUUUGAAAAUUGCAGCAUUUGUCUAUACUUGAUGGAAUAGAACUUGAUAAUUCAUUUCUACUGAUCAAGUAAAGCUCUUUAAGCUUGGGAAGAUGGACACACAAAUCAUCAGGCAAGCCACCAGAAAGACUAUUAUCACGUAAAUGAAUCCUUUUCAAAGAAGAAAUGUUAAACAUGGUGCAACCUGGCCAGGUAAUUGAUAAAAUUUUGAUUUAAUCCCUUAAAAAAUAUAAAAAUAUAGACUAUUAAAAUGGUAAAAUUACAUUUUUACUAUUGUAAAAAUUACAAUUUAAUUUCACUCCUAAAAAGAUUUUCUGGCUUCGACCCUAAUAAAUUCUUUGGCAAAAGAUUAAAAUAAAAUUAUACCGUAAAUGAAAAAAGGAAACUAUAAGAAAAUCCAAUCUAACAAAGAAAAUAACUUGAUGUCCAAAAGCUACCAUAAACCGUAAUUCAUGGGAAGGCUUGUUGCUCAUUUUAUUGGUUUCCAUUUUGAUUUUGCAAAAGAAGCUUGAAUUUUGAAGAGAGCCUACUACGUGAGAGCAAAAGAAAAAAAAAUUGUUUAUUAAUUUUUAGGAAUACCGAAAUAUUAUAUAUAUGAUUAAAAAUGUUGAAUUAAAGAUAAAAUUAAGUGUGAAUUAAUAACCACAAGUGUACUUAUUACUCACCAUCUCUGUUAAAAAUGUUGGAUGUUGUUUAGCAACCUUUGUUUGAUUUUCUUCAGCUCAACCACAACAUCUUUCAUAUCUUUUCUUUCUUCUGGCAACUCAGCUGAACAAUUCAAAGCCAACUCCAUGAUAGAUGUAAUACAAUUUGCUUUAACGACAAUGUACUCAUCCUCUCUUCUUAAUAAAUCAACAUCUGCAAUUUCUAUCGCUCCUUUAGGCAAUGAACUUUCCAUCCAAUGCCUUAUACUCUCUUCUUCAACAAAAACAUUAUCAGUAGGCUUUUUCUUCGUGAAAGUUUCUAUAAGGACGACCCCAUAACUAUAGACGUCAGAUUUUAUAGAAACAAUUCCUGCUGAUCCAAAUUCUGCAUUCAAGUAUAAUUAGAACGUCAUUCAUCCUCAAUUAUUUCUAAAAUGCUUAUUCAAAUAUAUAUUCACAUCCACAUGAAACAAAAAUAUAAAAUGCAUAUUAGGAAAAUAAUCAUACAAAAAUAAAAAAGAAUUCACCUGGUGCCAUAUACCCGAUAGUUGCAAGAGUCAUGGUUUGCUUCAUUACUUCACCUUCCCCCAACAAUUUGGCAACGCCAAAAUCUCCAACAUGUGCAACCAUGUCUUCAUCUAGUAAAAUAUUGCUUGGUUUUAUGUCACAGUGAAUUAUAGGUGUUGGAUGUCCAUUGUGGAGGUGUUCUAUAGCUACCGCAACAUCUAUCAUUAUAUCGACCCUUUGUAUGAUAUCAAGGAAACAAUUUUCAGAAUGUAACCAUUUCUCAAGGUUUCCAUUAGACAUGUAAUCAAGCACCAAGGCUUUGAAGUCAACACUUGAGCAGCAAGUAAUGACCUUCACAAUAUUACGAUGAACUAUAUUACGCAUAGCAUCACAUUCAAUGUCAAAACUCCUAAAUGCUCCCUCUGUUUGCAAAUUGAAAACUUUUAUUGCAACUUCCAUUCCAUCUGAAAGCCUCCCUUUAUAUACAUAUCCAAAACUCCCUGAACCAAGCAUAUUGCUUUCCUCAAAUCCAUUAGUUGCUCGUGAAAGUUCAGCAUGUGAAAUUCUUCUCGGUGUCUUCAAAGACAACAAAUCAUCUUUAACUGGUAGAGUUGUACUCCUUUGGCAUCUUCUAUACAUAAUAGUUAAGACUAUUAGUACUAGGACAAUACCAAUUGUUGGUAAACCAUACCUAAAAGCAUGCAAUAUAAUCAUUUGGGAGUUUUUGUGGAUGUCAUUUUUGCAAGGUGGGACUAGCAAUCUAGGUGGACCACAAAGUGCACAAUUCUUCAUGAAUGAUGUGCUAGAAAAGUUUGAAAAACAUCCUUUGCUGGGAAUUUCCCCUUCAAGUCUAUUGAAAGACACAUUAAAAUACUUUAGAUAUAAAAGUUGUUCCAAAGAUUUGGGAAUGACUCCAGAGAAAUUGUUAUUGCAUAAAUCCAAGAAUUCCAAACUAAUCAACCCAUCAAAUGAUUCAGGGAUACGACCAUGUAGUAUAUUAUUUGAUAAAUCUAAUGAAACCAAAGUUUGAAGACCCCCAAAUGUGGAUAAGAUAUCGCCCAUGAGAAGAUUCCUUGAUAAAUUUAGUCUCAGUAGACUCCUAAAAUUUCCAACAUCAAUAGCAUGUGAAUUGUGAAGACGGUUUGAUGAUAAAUCUAUUUCUAAGAUAUCUUUAAGACUCCACAAAGUUGAGGGUAUUGUAGAACUCAAUUUGUUGGAAUCUAACCAAAGAUAUCUCAAAGCAGAAAUAUUACCUAAACAAGAGGGUAUGGAUCCAUGCAGCUUAUUCAACCCUAAAUGCAUCUCGUAUAGUCUCUCCAAACCACAGAGGCUUUCUGGGAUAGGCCCUCCUAAUUUAUUAGAGGAAAGAUCUAGACCUUGCAGAUUCCGCAGUCCUCCUAUUGAUGCUGGAAUGAAUCCACUUAAUUUAUUAUGGCCAAGUUCUAAAACCAAUAAGUUGGUUAAGUUACCUAUUUCCAUAGGAAUAAUGCCUUGAAGCUCACAAUUAUAGGCAAGAAAGAAUUGAAGGGAUUUUGAAAGGUUCCCGAUAUAAGUAGGAAGAACACCACUCAAUGGAUUUCCCGAAACUCCUAUGGCUUUCAAAUUCCUACAAUUCGUCAAAGAAGAAAGAAAGCUCCACUCAUGAUCAGUAGCAGAUCCUGUGAUCAAAUUAUUGUCAAAGAUUUUGAGCACUUCAAGGUGUUUUAAGCUGCCUAGCGUUUUAGGGAUUGGGCCAGAGAAUAAGUUAUGUGACAAGGAUAGAAUCUUUAGCAUGGAAGCAUUGGAGAUAGAGUUGGGAAUGUUUCCGCUAAGUUUAUUUCCCCACAAUAAAAGAAUCUCAAGCUUUGGAGCAUUGGUGAUGGGUGGUAAAUUACCUGUAAAAUAGCAUCUUUUAGUAUACAUAUUCACAAAAUAUAUAAUACAUUAAAAUAAAAACUGUAAAACUUUAAAUCAAUUAAGAAUAAAAUUUUGGCAUGGAAAAAUGUGAUGAAAUCAAUUAGAAAGUUGAGACAUAAUAAGAAGUUUUGAGUACUAAUUAGUCUUUGUGAUUUGUAUAGACAAAACAUAUAAUACACUAAUAAUUUUUUAAAAUAUUGUAAAACUUGAAAUAAAAUAAAAAUAAAAGUUUGGCAUGAGAAUGUGGCAUCUAAUCAAUCUUAAAAAUGAGACUCACACUGAAUAAUAAUUAGUUAUGAUUUGGGAAACAAAAAUGUUAAAGCCAUUGUUUUUAAUGUAAACUGGUAUGAUUCUUAUCUAUUGGGUUAAUUAUUUAUUUUUAUUAAAUUAUAGUGUAAAAUUUAAAUAUUAUUAUUUGCUCAAAAUUUUUGUAUUUUUCGUAUAUUUGAAAUUCAAUCUUUAUAUUUUUUAUUUUCUGUGAUUUAGUCUCUCUACUUUUUUUAUUAAAAAUUUUAGGUUCAUUUAUUAACACUGUUAAAAAGUUUUUGUAUUAGUAUGACAUUUUGAAAAAUAAAAUAAACUUGAUAUCUAUGUUUUUAAUUAUUCCAAAUAUUGUUUUACUAUUUCAAGAUAAAUUAUUUGUGUCUAGACCAAUAUCUUAAGAACUAUUGUUGCAUGUUUAAUUAUUCUAAAAAAUUAUUGAUUGAGUCUUAGCUUGAUUGGCAUGUGCAUUGUUGCCAAUAUAAGAGAAUGUGGGAUCAAAUAUGCUGAAGUUCAUUAUCCUCCUGUUAUGAAUUGGGGAGUUGGUAAAGUAUUAAAUUUUGAUAUAUUUUAAAAUAUUAAAAAUUUAUUAAAAUAUUUUUUAUAAAAAUCGGUUGUACCACAAUAUACAAUUUUAAUAUCAAAUUUUUAAUAUUUUUAAAAUAUUAGCGAAUAUAUACUUUAUUUCAAGUUACACAAUUUUUACUAGUUUUUAACUUUUUUUAAAAUUUUUAUCGUCUUUUAUAAUUUCUAAUAAUUUUUUACAAUAUUUAACAAUUUCUAACCAUUUUUAAUAAUUUUAUUACUUAUUAAAAAUUAACAAAUUAACUAUUUUUUAUUUUUUUAAAACAAUUAUAUAUUUAUAAUGUAGUUAUUUUUUUAUAAUUUUAUUUGAAAUUUUAAAGUUUUUUUGGUUUGUUUUCUAGAUGAUGAUGCCAUCAUGAUGUCAUCAUAUGCCACAUGGCAAUUUAUGAUUAGUUGAAUAUCUCAAUUUAUUUUUUUAAUGUCCAAUGGACUAAACCAAGAACACUUGAUUAUGUUAGAGACUACACUAGGAAUGUUUGAUAACAUUAGGUACUAAAGUAGGAAAAAAAAAAAAAGGAGCAAUACGAUGUAGGGAGUAAACUGUGCAUUAAGCCAUUAAAAAUAUAUCUAUAAUAUAUAUAAAUGCAUGGAUUUUGAGAAACUUUUGAAAUGAUAAUUAUAUAGUCUUUGUUUUUUUACUAUAUUAUUGAAUUUGUUAUUUUAAAUAUUUUUUUAUUACUUUUAAGAUUUAUCAUAUGUAUGGAUAAGAAUUUUGGUUUUACUAAAAUAUUUGGUUAAAUAAAUUCACUUCAUAAGAAGAUUUAGCAUCCUUGUAAAUAACAAUUUUGAUUCUAUUAAAAAAUUAUUUUAAAAUAUAUAUAAUAAAAUUUUAAAAUUUAUAUUGAAUUACUUUAUACUUAAAUUAUUAUUAGAAACUUUAUCAUACACAUACGUGUAUGAGAACUAUGUAUUUAGAACAUAAAUUUGUGUUUUAAAAUAACUUAUGAUAAAUAAUGAAAUGUAUAAUUUGAAACUAUUUAAUAAAAACACAUGGCUUAUCUACAAUAUUAAAAUAAAAAUAGCUUAAAUUGUAAGCAAAACAUAAUUUAAACAUAUGAAUACAUUAAAUUAAGAAUACUAAAUGAAUACAGUUAUUUAUGAUGGUGUUGUCUUCAAUUCCUAAGUUGGUGUCAAGUUAAUUUGUGACAUCAUAAAUUUAAGGUUUUAUGUAUUGAUGUGGAUUCAAAUAUCACCAUUUUUUUUAAAAUAAAAUUUAAAAUAAAUACAUUUUCCACAUUGGUUUCUUUUCUUCUACAGACAAAGGAUUUCUAAUGAUUUUUUUUUUAAAAAAAAUUACUUAUAUAAAAUAGAUUAGUUUAUGCAAUAAAAAUAAUUUCUUUUUUAAAGUUUAAUAGAAAUUAAAAAACAAAAAAAAAAUCAAUUCAUAUAAAGCUUAUUGUUUAUUAUCAGAUUAAAAUGAUAAAAGUAUACGAUAAACCCAUACUUGACGGAAUGUUACCAGAUAAUUCAUUUUUAUUCUAGUAAAGCCCUUCAAGCUUGAGAAUAUGUUGACACAUAUCAUUAGGCAAACUACCUGAUAGGUUAUUGUUGGAGAGAUCAAUGGCCUUCAGAGAAGAAAUGUUGAAGAUCGAAGUUGGAAUCUGACCUGUAAGGCCUUUAAUUUCUCUAAUAUUAAGCAGUUCCAAACCAAGAAGAUUACCGAUUUCCUCAGGAAUUUGAUCUGCACACAUAGUCGAAAAAUCAAGAUGUGAAACUACCUAUUUUGUUAGCAUAAGUCAAAGAGGUUUUCUUUUCUGUUCUACAUAAUUUGCAGAUGUUAGAUUUUAAUAUUUUUAAGCAUAUUUGUUUUCAUCAAAUUAACUAUUUUGAACUAUUUUGCCUUGAAUGAAAUAAAAUGCUCAUAUUUUUGUUAUCUAUUACUAAUCAAACUCUUUUAUAAAAAAAAAUACUUUAAACUAAAGAAACCAAGAAAAUUCAAUACCUUCUAAGUUAUUCAACUCCAAAUAUAAUUCUUUGAGUCGUGUCAGAUUUCCAAUACUUCUUGGAAUGAUCCCCCUCAAUUUAUUAUCGGAAAAUGCCAAUAUUUUAAGGUUGCUGCAUUUGCCCAUACUUGAUGGAAUGUUACCAGAUAAUUCAUUUUUAUUCAAGUAAAGCCCUUCAAGCUUGGGAAGAUGUUGACACAUAUCAUUAGGCAAACUACCUGAUAGGCUAUUGCUGGAGAGAGCAAUAGUCUUGAGAGAAUAAAUGUUGAAGAUCGAAGUUGGAAUUUGACCUGUAAAGCCUUUAAUUGCUUGAAUACUAAGCAUUUCCAAAUUAAAAAGAUUACCGAUUUCUUCAGGAAUUUGACCUGCUGACAUAGUCGAAACAUCAAGGUGUUAAAUUACCUAUUUUGUUAGUGUAAAUCAAAGAGGAUUUUUAUUUUUCUCGUUAUGAAAUAAUAUGGAUAUGUUAGAUUCUAAUCAUAUUUAAGUAUAUAUUAGUUCUUGAAAGAAAGAGUUCUUAGUAUUUAUAUUGCAAAUAUUUUUUUUAAAAUUUAAAAAAAGGGGGGGGGGCAAAUGUGUUUAAACUAAAGAGAUCAAGGAAAAGGCAUACCAUCUAGGUUAUUUAACCCCAAGUAUACUUGUUUAAGUUGUGUCAAAUUCCCAAUGCUUUUUGGAAUGAUCCCACUAAAUUGAUUAAUAGACAAUUCCAAAAUUUGAAGGUUGCAGCAUUUGUCUAUACUUGAUGGAAUAGAACUUGAUAAUUCAUUUCUACUCAAGUAAAGCUCUUUAAGCUUGGGAAGAUGGACACACAGAUCAUCGGGUAAGCCACCAGAAAGACUAUUAUCACGAAAAUGAAUCCUUUUCAAAGAAGAAAUGUUAAAGAUGGAAGAUGGAACCAGGCCAGAUAAUUGAUUGAAUCCCAAGUUCAAGAUCUCUAGAUUGGAUAAGUUGACAAGUGUUUGAGGGAUUGUGCCUGUGAAGUUAUUAUUUCUCAUUUCCAACCUUUGAACUCUGUGCAAGUUCCCAAGCCAUGAUGGAAUUUCCCCAUUAAGACGGUUGUAGCUUAAUCGAAUGAUCCUCAAACGAUGCAAUUGGCCCAAUUCUUUAGGCAGAUGGCCAUAGAAAUUGUUGUUGCUCAGGUCGAGAGAAAAUAGAAAUGAAAGAUUUCCAAGGUGUGGAGGGAUAGUACCCCUAAGAUUCAUGUUUGUAAGAUUCAAAGCUACAACUCUUUCAUGGAUGAUGUCACAAGAAACACCAGCCCACUUACAAACAGAGGUAGAGUUCGUCCAAUUGUUUGCCAACACAUUUUGAGGAUCGACAAUGCGAUCUUUAAACUCAAAGAGUGCAAACUGAUAGGAGUUGAGAUUCCGGACUGUCAUAGCCAAGGAAACAAUGGAACAUUGUAUGAAUAAAAGUGAAAGAAGAUGAAAGCAAGUGUUGUAGUUCAUGAUGGCAAGACGAAAUAAGCCAGGAAAAGGGAAGUUGAAUUGAUGAAGAAAUACCCAGCCAACAUGCUUAAAUAGGCUUCAACCCUUGCACACUUCUCAUACAUAAAGUUCACUGCCAUUACAACAAGAAAACUCGUAUCUCCAUUCAUACCUAUCCAUACUUUAUUUGACUAACUUUUCCCUAACAGGUGUUCAGUAAGGAGACAAAUCACUUUGGAGCUAUUCACCGACUUCUCCAACCUUGGUUUCAAACUCCUAGCCCAUCAAUUCACUUUAAUUGAAACGAUAUACACGAGUCUUUCGGCUUAUAUUUUUAACUUACUACUUCUCUUUUUAAUUUAUUUUUUGUUACUUCUCAUAAUAUUUUUUGAGAAAUCCAAUAUUCCAGUCUGAAAUUUCUUCAUUGCCACGUCUAUCUCCUCGGUAAGUUCGUGGCUAGGCGGCCCACUUUGGGGGCAGGAUUGUAAUUUUAGUUCUAUCCGACUCAUUUUACUAUUUAGAAAUAUAAAAGUAAUAUUAUAUUAAUUUUUAUAUUUUUAUAAAUUUAAAUUUAAAUUUAAUUUUUAAACAAUAAAACGAGUCAUUUUUAUUUGCCUAGGCUAAAUUGAAUCAGGAGUGAAAAAUUUUUUAAUCAUAAUUUACUAUUAUUUUAAUUAAUUAAAUUUUAAUUUACUAUAACUAGUAGUUGCAAAAAAAAUGACAUUCCUUUAGAAAAAUGAGAACUUAUGAAGCAUUCAAUAAGAGUUGUUGGAAUACAUGGUAACGAAACCAUAAUUCGAUAUAAAACUAUAUAAAUAAUGUAAGAUUUGUGAUACCUAAAUUGUUAUGUUUUCUAUAAAUAUAUGGAGAUUUUUUAUUAGGAAAUAAUUUUAUAUAUCAACAUUUGUUAUUUUCUUUUGAUAGAAAUUUAAUUAUGUUAUCUGUAGAAAAAAAUAUUUAUAGAAAUAUCAUUAGUAGAAAAUCAUAAAUUUGUGUGUGGCAAAAAAUUUUCACCACCAAGAAAGGGACAAAUUAAACAACUUGAAAGUCAUUGGUUGUUUAAAAUAUUAGAUAAUAAUUUUAGUGAAGAAUCAUUAAAAUUAUGACAAAAUAACCCUAGAUAUUGUAGUAUUAAAUUAGAAAAUCUCAAUAAUAUUAUUAGAGUAAAACCUAUGAUGUAUCUAAACAAGAUAUAGAAGAAUUUGAUAUACAAAUUAAGGGUAGAAAUCAUACGGAAAUAAUAAAAAACAAGAAAAAGCUAGUAUGGUCAUUAAUUAUAAAAGAUUAAAUCAAAAUAUUAUUUUUUGUAGUUACUUGAAUUAAUCAGGAUAAACAAAAAAAAAUAUUUUAGUAAAUUUGACUGUAAAUCAGGAUUCUAGUAAAUCAUGCUAACAGAAAAAUCUAAACCUUUAACAGCUUUUAGUGCACCCAAUGGACAUUAUUAAUGGAAAGUGAUGUCAUUUGAAUUAUGCGAUGCACCACAAAUCUUCCAAAGACAAAUGGAUUUUAUAUUUAAUAAAUAUAAAAAAUUAUGGGUAGUUUAUAUAGAUGAUAUUUUGAUAUUUUCAGAUACACUAGAAUUACAUAAGAAAUAUUUAAAUAUUAUUUCUUAAGAAUUCAUAAAAUAUAGAAUCAUAUUAAACCCUAAAAGUAUGGAGUUAGAAAAAAGAGAGGGAAUUUUUAUAAUAGUGGAAAUAAAAAAUUGUCCUCAAAAGAUUGAAGAAAAAAAGAAGUUACAACAAUUUGUAAUAUAUUCCUCCCAAAUUUUCAGUUGCAAAUUUAUUACAGAAUUUCUUUGCCGACAAUAAGAAAAGAGCAUAUUCACAUUUUCGUCGCAAUUUCAACUAACAACCAAUCUGUUUCCCACUUUCCUUUUUCGGCCAAUUUCAAACGUAACUGUUUUUCGAAUUUUCCUCUUUAUUUCAUUAAUAAAAUGAUCAAUCUAUUUGUUUUUUAAAUAUAUAAUUUUAUUAAUAUUUUUUAAUUAUAAUAUAAGAGUUGUUGUUUAUUUAUAGUUUUAUUACAUUAUUUAAUCUCUUUUUUAUAUCAAGUUUUUAAAAUUAUAAUAUAAGAUUUAUUUUAUCAAAUUGUGGCUUAUCAAAUGUUCAUCUAUUUUAAUAAUAACUUGAGUUCGAAUCAUUAUCAUACCAGAAAGAGUUCCCUUUAUUCUUUAUCGUAAAUUUUAUAAGAAAUUAUAUUUUAUUAUAAUACUAUAUGUGUUAGAAUAAUAUUUUAUUGUGGAUGCCCAUAAUUCUCAAAGUUGUAACCUUGAAUGUAGUAACCUCAAUGAAAUUAUGAGGCUUUUAUAUUGUAAUCAAGCCUCUAUCUAUUCUUUGUAUUCUUUGUAGAAAAUAUGAAGUUGAUUUUACUUUAUUAAAAAAUUUAAAAUAAAUUAUCUUGUUUUUUUUUAAAUGAGUUAACCAAAUUAGCAUAUUUAUUUUGAUCUAAAAUUAUCCAAAAUAAUAUAAAAUAUUAUAUUAAUAAAAUUAAAACUAUGAAAUAAUUUUUUUUAAAGAUUAUUAUUUACUUUUAUCAAACAAUACAAUUAUAUUCAGUACUUAUAUUUACUAGUUUACCAAACAGUUUUCCAAUAUGAAUUCAACACUUAUCAAAUUCAGUAUUAAAAAUUCAGUGCUUAAUUUUUUAGCACUUAACUUUUCAAUUCAUCAAGCACGUCUAAUUCAAUUUAUACAAUUCCCUAUUUGUAUCUCUAUGAAUUUAUAAAAUCCUUCUCGCAUUUAGUUGUUGGGAUCUUUAUAUGAAGAUAGAUGCUUUUAUUUUUUAUUGGUUCAUUUUUAAUUGUAUUGAUUUAUUUAAUUUUAAUUUUGAUUAAUAUAUAUGAUUAUUGUGGAAUGGGAGUAAAAGUAUUUACUUCUCAUAAACUUUGAAAUAUUCACCCUGUCUACAUAUUAAUUAUUGUAAAAUUUGAAUUGAAAUUAUGCCAUAAAAGGUGGAGGUUAGAAAACCUCUUAUUGAGACCUUAUAAUAUUUUGUAAUUUUUUGUGUUAUGGUAUAUAAAAAAAUAUCUAACCAUAGUGAUUGAUUAGUAAUAUAAAUUUGUUAUUUGUUAUGUUUAAUAUAUAUUUUAUUUAUACUUAUUCAUUUUAUUUUUAUAUGAGUAAAUGAAGUGUUUGAAGAUUCGAAAUUUUUAUCAUCCAUGUUGAAAAUAAGUGCAAAAGUGUAUAUUAUUUAAAAUAAAUUACGCAUUCAUUAAUGUUAUGUGAUAAAAUCAUUACAUUUUCUGAAGAACUAAUAUUGCAUCAAACUGUAAAAAGCUCUUGAAGAGCUAAUAUUUAUCUCCCUGUGAUGCAAAAUCUUGUAAAACAUGAUAUUAUUUUUCAAAUCAAGAAGAUUUAUGUUGAAGGAAAUAUUUAUGUGUUUUACAUUAAAACCAUGGAUAGAAAUGACAUGAGACACUCAUGUAUUUGCAUUAUAAAUAUUCCUUGAAGGAAUACACUUCACUUGUAUGAUUGACAUAUGAGAUAAUAGCAAGAAGUUUAUAGUGUUGGUAUGGCCGGCUAGACCAUCUCAAGUCAAUAAUGAUGCAAAAUAAUUUGAAGAGAAUUUAUAUGAUUUUAUUGAAGAAUGAGAAGUUAUUUUCAUUUUGAUAAUUGUCAUCAACAAUAGUUCUUUGGAAAAAAAAAUAUUGAACUAACAUCAACUAAAGUUAGAGGUUGGUUCAUGGUUGCAUUUUUUGAUGAUAUCCAAAUAAUAUAUGAGCUCAUGUAUCACAUGUAUGCAACCCAAAGUUUACAGUAUUAUUUCUUGAAAUAAUUUGAUUCUACACAAUCUCUAUAGCAUGCAAUUUGUGCUAACAACACUGGUGCAUUAUAUCCUAAGCUUGAUUUUCGUAGUUUUAGCUGAGAUAAUAUUAAGUUGUCUAUGCCUAUAUAUAUUAUACUUAAUGGUUAGCAAAAUUAUGCCUCCAUUUAAUUGCUUAACCAUUAAUAUAAGAAUAGCUUUAAAAUAAGCAUGUAAUUUUAUUUGCAUCGAGCCAACAUGUAAGAAAUAUUUGUCCCAUGAGAAUUAGCUUUUAUUUAUAAGCCAAUAGGUUUCAUUUAUGACUAUUUGGAUGUAAAAUAUCUAUUUUAUAUUCCACCAUAAUGCACUAAGAUGGACCAUCAAGUAUGAAGUUGAGAAAAAUUAGAAUUUUUAUUUGAUGGUAAAAGUUGAAAAGAGAUAUAUAUUUAUAAUUUUGAAAAAAAUAGUCAUGUUGCAAAUUUUCUCAGUAUUAGAGGGAGACAAGUUGGACAAAUACGUAUAAUUAUGUCAUCACUUUUUGUGAUCCCUCACUAAUCUUAUGUGCACAAAGUUUGAAGGAAAAAAAUAAUUUGCUAGACAUGUUUAGUGAUGACAUUUAGAGAUUGUAUAUAUUGGAUGAUACAUAUACCAGCUAAAAUGUUCCAAAUAAUUAUGCGUCCUAGAAGGACAAAGUGAUAAAAAUAAUUUUUGGGCACGCUAGAAGGAUGAAAAACUAGUUGGUUCUAUAAAUAAAAAAAUUCUUGACAGAAAAGAGUAAGAAAUGAAUAUGGCCACACGUUAAAGGAGACGAGUACUCAUGAAGAGACCCAAGGUAUAACUUUUAAUAAAACCCCAAAAGAGGUUCAAUACAUGAAAUUAUGAAUAUAAUAAGUGUAAUAACCAAAUUUUUCCCGGGCCCAAUGCCAAACAAAUAAAACCCAAACCAAAUAAAUAAAAUAAGAGUCCAAAUUAUAGUCCGUUAGGGCCCAAUUCAGACCAGCCCACUAUUCAAUCAGACCAGCCGAACAACAAAAAAAAACCUAGUAGCCCACAGCCCAACUAAGCCUAAAAAAUUUUCAGCAAAAGAAAAAACCCUAGCUGCCAUGCUAGCCGCUGCUCCUGCCCUAGCCUCUGCCCACUAUCGUACGCCACCUCUGCCAUCACCAUUAGCCUCUGACACCUGCAAAACAGCAAACAACAUGCAACAACAGAGAAGAAGACGACAAGCAAAAAACAAAUCACUAAAGGACAAAAAUAAUGAUAACAAAUAGCCUUAGUUUGGCUAUAAAAGCAAAAAAAAUGAAAACUUUGUACUUCUUUGGCAAGAUUAAUACAAAAAAGAAAAGAUUUGAACUUUUUAGGGUGAUAUUUCAUUUUUUUUUACGCUUUAGAUCUAUUUUUUUAUUUCAUCUUCAUCUACGAAAAUAAUAGAAAAAAGACUUUGAUUUCAAGGUGAUAUUUUGUUGUUUUUUUAGAUCUAGUGUUUUUUUAUUUAUUUUUAUCUACAAAAAUAAAAAAAGGAAAAGAGAAACGUACCUAAUUCACCCCGUGGCUCCGUCGACGGAAGUCCCAUCGCCAUCGUCGGAAUCGGGCUUAAAAGGGGAAGGUUUUUAUUUUUCUUUACUUUUUUUUGGAUUUUUCGUCUCAAGAAAUGGACUAAGGGAGGGGAAAUGGCCAAAAUGGUCUUUUUCCGAUGAACUCUGGCAACCACAUGUGGCAGUUAACAGUGCCGGUGCUCGGUGGCUGCGGUGGAGCCAUGGUGGUGUCCCAUGGCCGGAUCUAGAGAGGAAGCCUUUAAGAGGGAGAGAGUUUCUAACAUUUUUUUUAUUUUCUAAGGCAGAAAUGAAUUUUUGAAAAAAAAAAGUUGGGUUUUAUAAGUGCGUGAAAUGGCGCCAUUUUGCGCAAGUGCACAUCGACGUCGAAACGACAUCGUUUACCCCUUUACCCGCUUGCCCGAGUCUGGCUCGAUGAAGGUCCGCAUAUUUUCAUGCCUGAUGGGUUAUUUCCCUGCCCGAUCCUUCCGAUUUUGGGCUUCUUCUCAAUCUGGUCCUGAUCCUACUUUUUCCCGCCUUUUAAAUUGUACCAUUUAAUUUCAUUUCAUUUUCAACUCGGUCCCUCGGCUGACCAAAGGAAAUGAUGCGCAUAAAGUUAAGGGAUAUUUUCCCUUUCAAUCCCCAAUAUUUUUAGAGCGAUGCAUUUUAAUCCCUAACCUUUCAUUCCAAUCUUUUACACAUAUUAUUUCAUUUUAUUCGUUUAUUUAUUGACUUAUCAUUUUUACCCUCUUUUUAUACUUAAAAAUAUAUAUUAUUUACACUAUUACUUGCAUUUUUUUACUAUUAAAUUAUUAUUUUUAAUGUAUUAUAUUCCCAUUAUUUUACCAUUUUAUUUAUUUUGAUACUUUCAUGUCACAUUUAUUUAUUUUAAUAUUGCCAUUAUUUAUUUUAUUUUAUUCUUAUGUUUUUUAGUAUUUUAUUAUUUCUUUUAUUGUUCACGGUUUUUUUUUCAUGUUAUACAUUUUUAUCUUUCUAAUCAUGCAUUUUUCCUUUUUUUAUUUUGUUUUAGGUUACGUUAUUUAUUAUUAUUAUUAUGAUAAUAUUAUUAUAAUUAUAUUACCAUUAUUAUAGAAUUCCUUUAUUUGUAUAUUCCAUUAUAACUAUUAUUAUUAUUAGUAGUCUUUAACUCACUUCUAUUUUUAUUAUUAUUUUUUAGAAUAGUAGUCAACAUGCUUAUCCUUAUUGUUAUUUGGUGUUGUUCUUAUGAUUUUAUCAUCAUUAUUGUUGUAUUUCAUUUUUUGUUCACUCUUUAAAUAUUUUGUUCAUAUAGUUAUUUUACACUAUUGCAAUAUUGUUGCAUUACGCAUUAUGUUUCUUAUAUAAUAAUUAUUUCGCUUUCACGCGAUGUUCGAAUCAAUUAAACAUGAAUCUUCUCAAUUAUUACAUUAAUUGUUACUUAAGUUCAAAAAGAAAAUUUUCAAAAUAAGGCAAUAUUUUGCGUUUUGGAAAUUCGAGAAAUCAUACCCUAACUUACGAGGUUUCGAUUUUCUCGUUAAACUUAAAUAGCAAAAUAUUCUUUUAAAUUUCAAAAUGCAUGCAAUUUCAAUAAAAAUCAAAGGCAAGCUUAUUCUCUAAGGUUCCAAAUAUCGCGUCCUAACUUACGGGAUGUGACAUUUCGUUACCUCGAGACGAGUAGGUCUUCAACUCUCUUUUCGAUUUAUUCGAGCGUUUUUAAUAACAUUAAUAAAAAGGGAUCGUAUUUUAAAUUUCUAUUCAAGUUUUCAACCUUGGACAUUAAGACAUUACUUAAUCAACUAGGUACCACCUUUGGGUGUAUUGAGGGUGUGUUUUCUAGAUUUUGUAGACCAAAUAUUAUCGUUUUUAGUAAAUUUAAAUUUUUAUUAAAAUGAUUAAAUUACAAGUGUUGACACCAUUUUUUUGAUGAAAAACGGGGUCGACUUGGGUUUUAAAAAAAAUGAAAAACGGGAGUCGCCACCAAUCCUUUUUGAUAAGGUGUGAUUGGGUCACCUUGAAAAAUGGUUGUUUUUAAUAAAUGAUUUGAUUUUAUUAAAACAACGGUUUUGGUCCAUGAAAUUUAGAAAACGGGUUCGGGAGUCGAUUACGUACGAGGAAGGAUUAGCACCCUCGUAACGCCCAAAAAUUGGUACCUAGUUGGUUAGCUAAUGUCUUGAUGUCGAAAAUUGAGAACUUGGAAAAAAUUAAAAAUACGAUCCUUGUAUUAAAAUGAAAAUUUUAGGAAAAGGGGGGCAUACUUCACGCUAAUCGAGAAAGAGAAUCAUAUCCAGUAAGUUAGGACACAAUGUCUCGAAUUCCCGAUACGCGAAUGAAUGCCAAAAUUUUACUUAUUUAAAAGACAUUUUAGCCGUCUCGAAUUUAAAAAUGAAAUCACGACCAGUAAGUUAGGACGUGAUUUUUUAAAACUUGAGUUUGAAAAGAUUCGUGCAUCUAGAUUUAUCGUGAAAAUCAAUACCCAGUAAGUUAGGGUACGAUUUUCUUGAAUUUAAACACGAAAUGCCAUUUUUUAAAACAAAUUUUGUUAUAUCGAGUGAAAUAAAAACACAAAGUCGUAGUAAAAAAAUGUGUAAGCAAAUUACAUUGUUAUGCAUGGCAAAAUCAUAAUGAAUACAAAAGUAUAAAAAUGAUACGAGCAAUAACAACAAUAUAAAAUAAAUAAAAGUCAAACCUACAAUAAUAUUAAAUAACAAUGUAUAUAAACAAAUAAAAUUAAAACAUUCAUUCAAAAUAAUAAUGAAAAUGAAAUAAAUAAAUAGUAAAUACAAAAUAAAACAAUAGUAAUGAAUAAAAAUAAUAUAAUAUAUAUAUGUAUGUUAGAAUUAUAAAGUAUAAAAAUAUACGUAUGUGUAUAUAAGAAUAUGUAAGCAUGUAUAUACAUAGAUUAUAAAAUAUAGAUAUUUAUAUAAAAAUGAGUAUUUGUAUUAAAUAAGUUGAAAAAAAAUAUAUAUAUACCUACAUAUAUAUAAAAAAUUAUAUAAUAAUAACAAUAUAAUAAAACACAUAUAUCUAAAAUUUACAUAAGUAAAUAUAAAUAAAAACAUACUAAUAACAAUAAUAUUAAUAGUAAAAUGAUAAUACAUAAAAAUGAUGAAGAAAAUAAUAAAAAUGCUUAAAAGGGGACUAAAUCGAAGUAAGAACCAAAAAAAAGGGGCAAAAUCGAAAUAAAGACAAGAGGGACUAAAUUGUAACGCGCGCUGAAAGAGGGGGACCAACAGGGUAACUAAACCAAAGCCUCAAAACGCUGCUCUGUAAAGGACUGAAAUGAGACAAAAAUAAAAUUUUGUGGCCAAAUUGCAAAUAUGCGAAAAACUUCCAUGAAAUCGCUACAAAAUCAAAGGGACUAAUUGCGCAAAUAGACCCUUAAACAAAAACGCGCGGAUCCUUGGGUGCGGGUCGGGUCGACGUGCGGAUCCCCUCACCAAAACGGCGUCGUUUUGUGUUUAAUAUAAAUAUAAAAAAAGGGCUAAAAAAACAGUUUCAUCAUUUUUGUUGAAAAACUGAGAGAAACCUCUCUCUUUUUUCCCUUUCUCAGGCUCAGAUUCCGGAGAUGGCCCGGCCUAGGCUUCUGGCGAAUCUCCGCCGUAGAGCCACCGUGUGUGGCGGCCGGAGGUCCAAAAUCGGACCUUUUCGGUCCCUUUUUGAAACUAAGAAUCCCUAGGGUACGGAUCUGGGACCAAACCCCCGAAAAAAAGAAUCGGAGACCUAAAGAACGAGGGGAAACCGCUCGUCUUCUCUCCUCCGGCGCGGCGCAGGUAAGGUUUCUUUUUCCUUUAUUUAUAUUACGUAAAAAACAUACAAAAAGAAAAAAAAGAAAAUAGAGUUUAAAAAAAAUCUAAAACAGAAAUGAGAGAAAAUCACCUCUCAAGUUUUCUUGUUUUUUAUUUCUUUUUGCUAAUAUCUGUUUCUUCUUUUUACAAAAGUUGAUGGAAGAAGAAAAAAUUACAUUUUGUUGGCUUUUUAUAGCCGACUUCUACUACUGCCUGUGUUAUUUGCUCUCUGUUUCUUUGUUUUGUUUCUUCUUUGCAGGUGACGGUGCAAGUGGUGGUGGUGACGUGACCGUGGCAGUGGCGGUGUGAUGUUGGCGGCGGCGGCAGGCCAAAGGUCAAUAGGUGUGGAGCCUAGGGUUUUAGUUUUUGAAACCCUAGGCAGAUUUUUUUAGGGGAAUUGGGCCUUAGCUAUUGGGUCGUUCGGGUUUGGGCGUUGGGUUAGGCUAGUUGGGCUUUGAGGUUGGGUUGUUUUGUAAUGUGCUUUGGUGUUUGGGUUGGUAGGUGGUGGGUAAGGUUUAUUGUUUUGGGUUCUUGGGCCUGGUUCUGUUUGGUUAGGGUAAUGGGCCAUUUGGGUCUGGGCAUAAAAUUGGGCUAUACAACAAGGUGACCCGAUUACACCUCAUCAAAAAGGAUUGGUGGCGACUCCCAUUUUCAUUUUCAUUUCUUUUUAAAUCAAAGUCAACCCGUUUUUAAAAAAAUGGUUUCGACAAUAAGAUAUAUUGAUUAGUUAUGUCAUAACUAAAGAUGAUGGAGUUGACAAAAGGAAAUUGUAGUUAACAACGAAUAAUCUACGUAGAACAUUUCAAUAUUAUGGAAAAAUGAGUAUUUACCAACCUUCUUUUAGUCAAAUUAUGCAAGCCUAAAAUUUUUAGCUUAAUUUGAGUUUGUUGACUAUGUCUAAUUCAAGUUUUAUUAUUAAGGACUAAAUUGUAACUUAAAAAAAUUAGAAUACCAAUUUAAAGAGACAAAAAUUCAAAACCCCAAAACCCACAUGGGCAUGUGGGUAAGUGACACAGGCGUGUGGAGACUGGAGCUAUCACACACGGGCGAGUGGGACAGAAAAAUAUGAAAUAAAUUAAUCCACUUAAAUUUCAAACAACCAUGCUAUACUACCAAACCAAAUAAUGCUAGAAGCUUUGAAUAGGGGUGAAUCGAAAAAAAAAUAAAAGAAUUAGAAUUAAAUUAUAAAAUUUUCAGAAGUUAUCAUGUAUUAAUUUAUUAUUUUUUAAAGGGUCUUAAUAGAAUUUUUUUUCCAUUUUGGUUUGGCCAAUACCCCUGUCUACCUCUUUCAAUUUGCUUCAACCCUAAACCUAAUAUUCGAUUUGUUGUGGAAGUUUGACGCAUAAAAAUUUCUUUUUUAGAGGUUUAAAUUAUAAAUUUUUGAAAGUUUAAAAUAAAUUUUCAUUUUUAUUAACAAAAUAUAAAAGAAAAAAAACAUGUGUAGACAAACCAAGAAACCUUUGGGAUCAUACGGGUGAUUUUGAUGAUGUUAAUGGUUAUUUUGAUGGAGAGGGUGAAAAAGAAACAAAUGAUUCAUAUAUAUAAUAUAAUUAUGAAAUUCAAGCCAUAUAUUGUAUGUUUCAUCCAUAAAAAUUUCAUGGGAGGUCCGAAGGUAAUUAAAUGACUUGUAGGCUUGCUGAAUUUCUUUGAAAGGCCCAAUGGCAAUUUAACAUUCACAAAAUAAUCUCUAAAUACUGUAAAGACAAAAUCAAAUCCACAGCAGCAUUAGAGUUGAUUAAGCUAAGCAUUGGCAAAUAUUACUUUGAUUUUGCAUGCAAUAUUAGCAAAACCCCCUCUUACAUUAGAUAAACAACAUACUCCAUGAAACAUUGAUAGCCCAAAUACAAAUUUCAUCGACAAAAAAGUCUCUUUGUUUUGUAGAACAUGAUAGUAAAAAUGUGGAGUUUCGUUCUUCUUAUUGGCCUCCUUUAGUUUUCCUUGAUCAACAACCACUAGCCAAAAACACAAUUAGAUUAGAUUAUGAAUGAUACUGACAUUAUUAAAUAUAAAACACUCUAAAUAACUCUAAAUAAAUGGAAAGCAGCAAAUUACCUGACGAGGCAAGCUAGCUCAAUUAAGACCAUUGUGUUAUACUUGUCUCUGAAUUGAAAAAUUUAGAAGGAAAUAAAGAGAAAGACUUAGAAAAUAUUUGAAAACAGAUAAAACUUAUAUGUCAUUUAAAAUAAAAAUUUUGUAUUUAAGCCGUUUAAAAUUUUUAAGAUUUUUGAAAUUUUAAAAUGAUAAAGGUAAAAUUGUACUUUGGCACACCAAAAAUGAUAAAACUUUGAUUUAAUCCUUUAGAAAUUAUAAAAAUAUAGGCUAUUAAAAUGGUGAAAUUACCUUUUUACUAUAGUAAAAAUUACAAUUUAAUUUCACUUUAAGAUUUUCUGACUUCGCCCCUAAUAAAAUCUUUGGCAAAAGAUUAAAAUAAAAUUAUACCGUAAAUGGAAAAAGAAACAAAGAAAAUCCAAUCUAACAAAGAAAAUAACUUAUGUCCAAAAGCUACCAUAAACCGUAAUUCAUGGGAAGAGAGCAAAAGUAAAAACAAAUAGUUUAUAUGAUUAAAAUUCCAGAAUAGGUUAAAAAUGUUGAAUUAAAGAUAAAAUUAAGCGUGAAUUAAUAACCACAAGUGUACUCUUUACUCACCAUCUCUGUUAAAAAUGUUGGAUGUUGUUUAGCAACCUUUGUUUGAUUUUCUUCAGCUCAACCACAACAUCUUUCAUUUCUUUUCUUUCUUCUGGUAACUCAGCUGAACAAUUCAAAGCCAACUCCAUGAUAGAUGAAAUACAAUUUGCUUUAACAACAAAGUACUCAUCCUCUCUUCUUAGUAAAUCAACAUCUGCAAUUUCUAUCGCUCCUUUAGGCAAUGAACUUUCCAUCCAAUGCCUUAUAGUCUCUUCUUCAACAAAAACAUUAUCAGUUGGCUUUCUCUUUGUGAAAGUUUCUAUAAGGACGAUCCCAUAACUAUAAACGUCAGAUUUUAUAGAAACAAGUCCUGCAGAUCCAAAUUCUGCAUUUCAAGUAUAAUUAGAACAUCAUCAGUCCUCAAUUAUUUGAUAAAUCUAUGUAUAUCCACAUACACGAGAAACAAAAAUAUAAAACGCAAAUUAGGAAAAUAAUCGUACAAAGAUAAAAAAAGAAUUCACCUGGUGCCAUAUACCCGAUUGUUGCAAGAGUCAUGGUUUGCUUCAUUACUUCACCUUCUCCCAACAAUUUGGCAACGCCAAAAUCUCCAACAUGUGCAACCAUGUCUUCAUCUAGUAAAAUAUUGCUUGGUUUUAUGUCACAAUGAAUUAUAGGGGUUGGAUGUCCAUUGUGGAGGUGUUCUAUAGCCACCGCAACAUCUAUCAUUAUGUCGACCCUUUGUAUGAUAUCAAGGAAACAAUUUUUAGAAUGUAACCAUUUCUCAAGGUUUCCAUUAGACAUGUAAUCAAGCACCAAGGCUUUGAAGUCAACACUUGAGCAGCAAGUAAUGACCUUCACAAUAUUACGAUGAACUAUAUGAAGCAUAGCAUCACAUUCAAUGUCAAAACUCCUAAAUGCUCCCUCUGUUUGCAAAUUGAAAACUUUUAUUGCAACUUCCAUUCCAUCUGAAAGCCUCCCUUUAUAUACAUAUCCAAAACUCCCUGAACCAAGCAUAUUGCUUUCCUCAAGUCCAUUAGUUGCUCGUGAAAGUUCAGCAUGUGAAAUUCUUCUCGGUGUCUUCAAAGACAACAAAUCAUCUUUAAUUGGUAGAGCUGUACUCCUUCUUUGGCAUCUUCUAUACAUAAUAGUUAAGACUAUUAGUACUACGACAAUACCAAUUGUUGGUAAACCAUACCUAAAAGCAUGCAAUAUAAUCGUUUGGGAGUUUUUGUGGAUGUCGUUUUUACAAGGUGGGACUAGCAAUCUAGGUGGACCACAAAGUGCAUAAUUCUUCAUGAAUGAUGUGCUAGAAAAGUUUGAAAAACAUCCUUCGCUGGGAAUUUCCCCUUCAAGUCUAUUGAAAGACACAUUAAAAUACUUUAGAUAUAAAAGCUUUUCCAAAGAUUUGGGAAUGACUCCAGAGAGAUUGUUAUUGCAUAAAUCCAAGAAUUCCAAACUAAUCAACCCAUCAAAUGAUUCAGGGAUAUGACCAUGUAGUAUAUUAUUUGAUAAAUCUAAUGAAACCAAAGUUAUAAGACCCCCAAAUGUGGAUAAGAUAUCGCCCGUGAGAAGAUUCCUUGAUAAAUUUAGUUUCAGUAGACUCCUCAAAUUUCCAACAUCAAUAGCAUGUGAAUUGUGAAGAUGGUUUGAUGAUAAGUCUAUUUCUAAGAUAUCUUUAAGAUUCCACAAAGUUGAGGGUAUUGUAGAACUCAAUUUGUUGGAAUCUAAGUAAAGAUAUCCCAAAGAAGUAAUAUUACCCAAACAAGAGGGUAUGGAUCCAUGCAGCUUAUUCAACCCUAAAUACAUCUUGUAUAGUCUCUCCAAAUCACAAAGGCUUUAUGAGAUGGGCCCUCCUAAUUUAUUAGAGGAAAGAUAUAGACCUUGGAGAUUUCUCAUUCCUCCUAUUGAUGCUGGAAUCAAUCCACUUAAUUUAUUAUAGUCAAGUUGUAAAAGCAAUAGGUUGGUUAAGUUACCUAUUUCCAUAGGAAUAAUGCCUUGAAGCUCACACUCAUCGGCAUAAAAGUAUUGAAGGGAUUUUGAAAGGUUCCCAAUAUAAGUAGGAAGAACGCCACUCAAUGGAUUUCCUGAAACACCUAUUUUUCUCAAAUUCCUACAAUUCGUCAAAGAAGAAAGAAAGCUCCACUCAUGAUCAGUAGCAGAUCCUGUGAUCAAAUUAUUGUCAAAGAUUUUGAGCACUUCAAGGUGUUUUAAGCUGCCAAGCAUUUUAGGGAUUGGGCCAGAGAAUAAGUUUCGUGACAACUCUAGUUUCUUAAGCAUGGAAGCAUUGGAGAUAGAGUUGGGAAUGUUUCCGCUAAGUUUAUUUCUCCACAAUAAAAGAAUCUCAAGCUUUGGAGCAUUGGUGAUUGGUGGUAAAUCACCUGUGAAAUAGCAUCUUUUAGUAUACACAUUCAUUGAAUACCAAAUUCACAAAAUAUAUAAUACAUUAAAAUAAAAACUGUAAAACUUUAAAUCAAUUAAGAAUAAAAUUUUGGCAUGGAAAAAUGUGAUGAAAUCAAUUAGAAAGUUGAGACAUAAUAAGAAGUUUUGAGUAGUAAUUACUCAUGAUUUCUAUAGACAAAACAUAUAAUACACUGAUAAUUUUUUAAAAAAUAUUGUAAAACCUGAAAUAAAAUAAAAAAUAAAAGUUUGGCAUGAGAAUGUGGCAUCUAAUCAUUCUUAAAAAUAAGACUAACAUUGAAUAAUAAUUAGUUAUGAUUUGAGAAACAAAAAUGUUAAAGAUGUAAACUGGUAUGAUUUUUAUCUAUUGGGUUAAUUAUUUAUUUUUAUUAAAUUAUAUAUAGUGUAAAAUUUAAAGAUUAUUAUUUGCUCAAAAUUUUUGUAUUUUUCGUAUAUUUGAAAUUUAAUCUUUAUAUUUUUUAUUUUCUGUGAUUUAGUCUCUCUACUUUUUGAAUUGAAAAUUUUAAGUUUAUUUAUUAACACUGUUAAAAAGUUUUUGUGUUAGUAUGGCAUUUUGAAAAAUAAAAUAAAAUUGAUAUCUAUGUUUUUAAUUAUUCCAAAUAUUGUUUUACUAUUUCAAGAUAAACUUUUUGUGUCUAUACCAAUAUCUUAAGAACUAUUGUUGCAUGUUUAAUUAUUCUAAAGAUUUGUUGAUUGAGUCUUGGUUGAAGUGCAUUAUUCUCCUAUUUAUGAAUUGGGGAGUUGAUAAAGUACUUUAUUUUAAUAUAUUUUAAAAUAUUAAAAAUUUAUUAAAAUAUUUUUUAUAAAACUUGAUUGUACCACAAUAUACAAUUUUAAUAUCAAAUUUUUAAUUGUUUUUUAAAAAUAUUAGCGAAUAUAUACUUUAUUUCAAGUUACACAAUUUUUACUAGCUUUUAACUUUUUUUAAAAUUUUUAUCGUCUUUUAUAAUUUCUAAUAAUUUUUUAUAAUUUUUUACAAUAUUUACAAUUUCUAACAAUUUUUAAUAAUUUUAUUAUUUAUUUCAAAUUUAAAAAUUAACAAAUUUUUAUUUUUUUAAAACAAUUAUAUAUUUAUAAUGUAGUUAUUUUUUUAUAAUUUUUUUUUGAAAUUUAAAGAUUUUUUUGGUUUUUUUUUUCUAGAUGAUGAUGCCAUCAUGAUGCCAUCAUAUGCCACAUGCCUUCUAAUUUGUUGUCAUAUAGACAUAUUUCUUCGAGCGUAGUUGAAUUAAAAAUACUUGAUGGAAUCUGACCUGCACACAUAGUCGAAAAUUGAAGUGAAAAGCAUACCUUCUAAGCUGUUAAACUAAAAAUACUUUAAGCAUAUUUUAUUUUCCAUCAAAUUAACUAUUUUGCCUUGAAUGAAAUAAAAUGUUCUUAUUUUUGUUAUCUAUUACAAAUCAAACUCUUUUAUGAAAAAACUAUUUUAAAUUAAAGAAACAAAGAAAAUUCAAUAUCUUCUAAGUUAUUCCACUCCAAAUAUAAUCUUCAGUGAAGAAAUCUUGAAGAUGGAAGAUGGAACCUUACCAGAUAAUUGAUUGAAUCCCAAGCUCAAGGACUCUAGAUUAGACAUGUUAACAAGUGUUUCAGGGAUUGUGCCUAUAAAGUUAUUAUUUUUCAUUUUCAGCCUUCGAACUCCCUGUAAGUUCCCAAGCCAUGAUGGAAUUUCCCCAUUAAGACUGUUGUAUUUUAAUCGAAGGAUCCUCAAACGAUGCAAUUGGCCCAAUUCUUUAGGGAGAUGGCCAUAGAAAUGGUUUCUACUCAAGUCGAGAGAGAGUAGAAAUGAAAGAUUUCCAAGGUGUGGAGGGAUACUACCCCUAAGAUUCAUGCUUUUAAGUUUCAAAGCUAUAACUCUUUUAUGGAGGAUGCCACAAGAAACACCAAUCCAAUUGCAAACAGAGGUUGAGGCCGUCCAAUUGUUUGCCAAGACAUUUUGAGGACCGGCAAUGCGAUCCUUAAACUCGAGAAGUGCAAACUGAUCGGAGUUGAGAUUCCUGACUGUCAUACCCCAGCAAAGUCCGGAACAUGGUACGAAUAAAGCUAAAAGAAGAUGAAAGCAAGUGUUGUAGUUCAUGAUAGCAAGACGGAAUAAGCCAAGAAAAUAAAAAAAAGUAGGACAAGGGAAGUUGAGUUGAUAAAAUAGUUUGGAUGAUGAAGAAAAGCCCAGAGAGCAUGCUUUAAUAUGUUUUGAAGAAAUUUCAAAAUAAAUUUCAAAAUAAAUUUCAAAAUAAAAAUUUAAAAAGGAAAGCAAAGUUUUGAAGAAAUUUCAAAAUAAAUUUCAAGUCUUCUUCUUUAAAAAAUACGUACAAAGAGCGAAUUUUCAAAAUUUCUCCUAAAUUUUCUUCACAUUACUCCACAUAAUCCAUUAAAAAAACUUAAAAAAUAUAUUUUAUUAAUUACUAUACAUUCUUUUACUUUCAGAAUAAUAAAUUGUUUAAAAUUUGCUAUUAGUCCCUGUAAUUUAAAAGUUAAAAAAAAAAUUCAAUCCUCCUACUUUUCUAAUUUAAAAAUUCUAGUUCAAUCAAUUUUAAUUUUAAAAUCUUUGUAUAAAAGGUGUUUUUUUUUUGUGACCGAUCACACUUAACCAAUAUUUAAAAAUUAUUAAAAAAUAUUUUUUUUUGAAAUUUAAAGUGAUCUAAAAACAUAUUUUUAAGUACUUUGGACAGUCUAUUGUUGAUUUCCUUAUUAUAUUAAGUGUUUGCAAUCACUCCUAAUAUAUUGUGCUUGAGUUGUGACAAAGUCGAUCAUCAAAUUGCCAUAAUGAUCUAUUGAUGCUGAAAUUAAAGUUUUUGUUAUAUUGAUAGAGCUUGUCCUUCAACGCGUACAACGUGUUUGUUAUUUUUCUCCCUUCAAAUUGUAUGAUCUUAUUCAUUAAAUGAAUUAAUGAAUUUCCCUUUUAAAAAGAUAUAUUUUUAAAAAUUAAAUACUUUAUAAAAUAUUUAAAAAUUUGUAAGCCUUAAAACAAUCAACAAAAUAUUUUUGAAAUUUUAUAAAUAUAUUUUAAAAUUAUAGUAACGCUACAAAAUAUAUAUAUUUACUAAUUAUAUGCACCUUUUUUAUUUUUUUUCCUAACAUAUCAUUAUUUUCAACACUAUCGUAAUCCUGUUUUGAUAAUUCCCUUUCCAUACAUCCUUUUUCUACAUAGAAUUUCAAAAGAAAAUGUGAAUUAAUGUAAACGUGAGAAGACUUAAUUACAUUUAUUAGUUUAUCAAUCAAAACUUAAUUAGAAUCCAUCAAUAUUUCACACAUCAAAAACCCAAACAUAAAAUUCACUUUUAAAUUAUUUGAAGAUACAUUUGUAUUAUAGGAAAUGGAUUAAAUUAGUCUUUUAUUAUUAAAUGUAUUAUUUUAAUCUUUGUAUUAGGUAUGAAUUGUAUCUCCUAGAUUGAAGCCAAAGCUAUUCUUGAAAGACUGAAAUUAAGAUUCAGAUGUGUUGAGAUGGAAAGUGGCAACACAAUGUUGAUUGAAACUAUUUAUAACGGGUUGGCUACAAUAAGUAGUGCUGCCGAAGUAAGACAGAUUCACGAUUGGUGUUCCAAAAAUUGGGAAGUCAAAUUUCGACAUAUUCAACGAAAUGCCAAUAAAGUUGUUGAUUGCAUAGCUAAGGCAAAUGGAGGCGUAAUUGAGCAGCUGGUUAUCUUGGAAGAUCCUCUGCAUUAUGUGAGAUGCUAGCUUGAAGAAGAUAUUAGACAGUCACUAGUGACUGAUGAUAAUUUUCAUUUGGACUGAUGAGCGCUUAAUUUUCUAAGCUUAUGUUCAACAAAAAAAAAUUUAAAUACGUCUAAAUUGUAAUAGAGUUAACAUUUAGUGUUUAAAAAAUAUCUUAAAAAUUAUUUUUUUCCAAUUGCAGUUCAAUUCCACAAAUAUCGACGAUGAACCCGGACAUAAAAAUUACAGAAAAAAAAACACAUCUAUUAUCAAACCAGCAAUCCAUGUCUAAACUUAAAUUAACAAAAUUUGCCACACAACGCCCGGUACACUAUUAUAUAUCUAUACUAGAUUUAUUCUAGAUGCACAUGUUUUAUUAUAUUUAAAAAUUAAAAUGUAUGGUUGACUAAGUUUUAGUUGAGUUAGUAUUGAUAUUAUUGUCAGUGUAGGAAAAUGUGAGUUUAAUCACGCUCAAAUGUGUUUUAUCCUCCAAUUCAAGGGUUAGGAAAAGGUUAUUGAUAAUUAAAUUAUACCAACUUUUAUAAUAUUAAAAAAAAGGAUUUAUAAAUAAUAUAAGGAAAAGAAAAAAAGAGAAACAUAUUCAUAUUGAUGGGCUCUUUCAAUAUUAGACUUUUUUUUCUAUCACAAGUAAAAAUAUCAAAGGUGAUAAUAAUUAAAUUAUAAAAUUUAAAUUGAGAAAAUAGGGGAUAAAAUUUAUAAGUUUUAAAGUAUAAAGAAUGAAUUUAUAACUAACAACAUAUUUUAACCACAUAAUAAAAGUAGUUAUGGAGAGGAUCAUAUAAAAUGCAAAAAUGAAAUAAUAGAAAAGAAAUAAGUGUUGGGUAUAGUGGCAAUGUAUAUUAUACUUCUAAGGGGAGAUCAAGAUUUUAGACAAGGGAAGAAUUUUAAACCUGCUUUUUUCUCUAGAACUCAACGCAAACCUCAAAUUUAUCUUUUUAAAAGAAUUUAAAAAUAUCUAUAUAAAAGGUGAUUUUUUACCGAUCACACUUAACAAAAUUAAAAAAAAAUUGAAAUUUAAAGUGAUCUAAAAACAUAUUUUAAAGUGCUUUUGACCAUCUUGUGCUGAUUUCUUUAGUAAUUUGAUUUGUUCAAUAUAGAUUUUGGUGACUUAAAACAAAAUUAAUAAAAAAAUAUUUUAUCAGAUAUCUUUUUAAUGUUUAAUAAUAAGUUAAUUUAUAAAAUAUACUUUCAUUGGACACAGGGCCUCCAAGGCGGUGAACCACUAAUCAAAUUAAUUUUGAGAUACUUAAAUUUGUUUUCAUCAAUUAAGAAAUUAAAAAAAUUUGUUGAGACCUCAUGAUUAUGUUUUAUAAUUUCAGGCUUAUCAACUAUUUUGAAAAACAACAAAACGUCUUACACCAAAAACUAAAAAAAUAAAAACGUCGACAUUAAAUUUGUUGCCAUGCAAUCAAUUUUAAGAUGGUUUUUGGAGUUAUAUAUCACCUUAGCAUUGACUUACUUUUCUACACUUAGUCUUCUCCAACAAGUUAAAUAUUUCAAUUUUAACAACAUUGACAGGUCUUUGGGGUAGGGUCGAGCAAAACUCAAUAUAGGCUGAGUUGGCUCGGCCAAGUCGAGUCGACUUGUUCAAAUUAUUUAAAUUCGUAAUUUUUAAGGUGCAGUUAGAAUUUUUUGUUUUGAGAUGCUAAGAUUAAAAUAUUUCAGUUGCUAAAACAAAAUAUUUGUAUUUAAAAAGGCAUAAAUUAAAUAAUUAAGUUUUUCGAGUUUCCAUUUAAUCAAAGGUUAAAAGGACUAAAUUGAAGCUUUUUAUUUUUAAGAAAGGCUGAAUGACAAAUUGCCCAAAGCCAUGCCCCUAGCUAUACAACUAACUUCUCUAUGAUUAGUCCUUCGUUUGCUUUGGGUGAAAUCUUCCAACUAGCCUCAUCCUUGGUUUUACUUUCCAACAAUUAGUGUAUCACGAGUUUUGUUUUCUUUAAAAAAUAUUUGUGGAUAUUAGGAGAUAAUGAAAAUUAUUUUACUAUGAAAUUUUAAUAAAACUGGAAAAUAAGUAAUUUAUUUUAAGAGGUCGCAAUUAAACGUUAGAUUUCCAAUUUUUAAAUUUUAAUUUUUUUUUGACAAUUGCAUAAUAUUUUGAGUGUUGUAGGAAUGCCAUAAUAUAACCUUCCCUAAACAUAAUCGACUCUUGAGCAUGAUGGAUCCUAGAACUUCUCCUCUAUUCUCGUACCGCAAAUUGCUUCAAGUGUGGGUUCGAACAAUCACAAAUUAAACACAAAACCAGAAAUGAUUUAUUACUUUCAAUAGCAAGGUAAUUCUCUCUCAAUAGAAACCAAUAGAAGUGUAAUUCUUAGAAAAUAAAAUUUAUUUUUUGAAAAUAUAUUCUCACUACUUUCUAGCAGAAUAACAAUAUGUGAAACUUAUGUCUUGUGUUAAUAGCUCUACCAGUACUCUCUAUUUAUAGGGAGAGAUACGAGAAUCCUGGUUGAAUUAGUAAAACACGAAUAAUAUUUAUUUCAUAGAAAACAAUAUUCCACCCUAAGUAGAUCAAGUUUGUAUGACGCAUGGAUCAAAGCUCAAUCUAGGAGGAAAAAAAUAAAGGAAUUUUCUUUGUAAAGAAAAUUUGAGAUUGUACUAUUUUCAAAGUUAUAAAUAAAAUUAUACGCCAAAUUUUUAAGUCAAUUUCAACUCCAAUUUUGUAUGCACAAAUUUCUAGUACACUUGGUGGGACAUUCUUUGACUUUUAUCUAUUCUCUCAAAAAGUUAAAGUUCAAAGUUACAUUAAACUCAAAGAAGAUAAUCAUUAGUAAACCACCUCACAAGCCUGCUCAAACUAAUCCUACAACUCAUUCCACUUCAUCAUCAAACACCAAUGUUCUUGCUUAUCCUUAUGGAAUUAAACAGUCUCAUUUUCUGCAUUUUGGGUACACACCUGGUUUUAUUUGAUGCUAAAACAGUCCCCGAGCACUCCAAAGCCUAUAAUUGAACAAAUAAUACUAAUUUAAUCUUACAUAACAUGAUCCCAAAUUGAACUUGUAUCGAGGUUUUAACCCAUAAGUGACUAAACCUUACCUUCAACCGAGUGAACAGUAAUUCCCACACAAACUAAGACUCCGAUUGAAGAUUACGAGCCAUUGAAUCCUCCCCUAAUUGGCAUAAACAAAACACUUCAAAAGAAAGUCAACAAAUGGAGACAAAUCACUUAUCUAAAACUUACCGAACGAUCACAGACAAACGUGAAGCGACACGAGGCAGAGUGGGAAAAGAAAAAUCAAGAGGAUGAAGGGUGAAAGAGAGCAGAAAUUCGGUAGCAAUGAAGAGAAAAACGGCAAGAAAGUGGAGGGAUUUUGGGGAAAGUAAAAAAAAAGAUGAAUAGAAUAUUUGAUAACUACCCCAAUCCCUUAUUUCUCUCUAUCAAACUCCCCACUAAAUCCACUACUCAAAUUUUUAGUCCAUCUCAAACUCUCCUGGACGCACGAGCAAAAAAUAAUGCCCAUGCCAAAAUUUAAACAAAAGACCUCCUUCACACCAACACUCCACUUAUCCACCAGACCAAUAGGCUCAUUCUUUUAAUUAUUUUCCAACUUUUACUUAAAAGCCUACUGACCAAAGAUAGGGCUUAUUCAUAAAAAUACCAAAUUUUGCCCAAGACCUGGCUUGAACUUGGGACCUCCCAAACACACCCAGAACACAUAACCACUAAAGCAGACAUAAAUUUUGUGUCACACAUUCACAAUACCCAAAAUUAAAAUUUUAGGGCGUUACAAAAACACAUUAAAUAAUAUCGCAUAAAAUAAUCACAGUUAGAUAACAGUUCAGAAUGUCGAUUUUACAAUUUAACCACCAAUAGUAUCACAGUAUUCACAGUUGUAAUUUCAGAAUAUCAAAUUUCCACAUGAUUCACAAUAUUCACACAUAUAUAAAUAUAUCAUAAUAGAAUUCCAGAUUUGUAUGCACAUGAUUUAGAAGAUGCCAUACAAUUUUGGUUUUUAACAGAAUAAAUCCUACCCCACGUUACAUACCAUAAUGGGAGUUCCCCUAAACUCCCUUCUCCAACACACUAGGUUAUGGAUAAACCACUAUUGGUUCACAAAUAAUAACUGUCAUUUGGCUGUGGACACACAGCAAGUCCCCACAAUUGGAUUCUAGAUUUGGUUGUGGAUUCACAGCAAAAAAAUCCUACAAAUGAAGCCUGCUUUUGCCUGUAGAUUAUACAACAUAUACCCGCAGUUGGAAUCUGUCUUUGGCUGUGGAUGCAGUGUAACACCGCAAACUCGACCUGGACAUUAUGGCUGAAUCUUGAUGAUUUACUUUAACUCGCUAGAAAACCCACGAAUUUACUUUAAAAUCAUGUGGUUAAACUAGUGUUCACUUUGAUAAAUUGUUUUCCAGUUUUAGAGAAAUUUCUUGUUAAAACUGUUACUUUAUUACAAUAAAACAUUAAAGUAAUUGUAUCAUUUUGUAGUGGAAUCUACUAAGCUAUAAGGUUUUGAAAAUCGUGAUUUAGUUUGCAACAAAUCAUUUUGCAAAUAGAAAUUUAAUACUACUUAAUUUGGAAAAUCACGCUAAAACGAAAGCAAAGUCCAAAAUAAUUUACGGUUUGAAAUUCUAAAAAGCCCAAAUUAGACAUAAAGUCUAUUUAAACCAAUUUAUUGAAAGUGUAACACCCUAAACCCGGCCUAUAUGUUAUGGCCAAAUCUAGAUGUGUUACGAAAAAAAGUUUAUAAAAUGACUUCCUUGUUAUUGGCAAACCAUCGUAACCAUUAUUACUUAGUAUAUCUGAUUUGUUUGGAAAACUUAUUGAUAUACUUAUUUGAUUUAAAAUCGUUGCUCGCUUAUGCCUUUUUAUUAAACCAAAUAUUUUGCAGCGGAGUUUCUUUACAACAUCAUAUUUUGGAAAAUCAAAUUGUUUCUUGAAAAUCGUUAUUUUAGAAAAGUUUUCAUUUUCAGAAAAAUUAUUUUAUCAGUUGUUAUGCUGAGAAAACAAAAUAAAAUCCAAAACCAAAAAUAAUCGCAAAAAGUCUAGAGAGUCCCAAAAUGACAAUACUCUUAAAACUAGACAAGCUUAAACUAAUUUUAAAAGAAUGAAAUUUUACAGAAAUGUGGACACCACUGAGCUUCCGUCGCACCGACCCACCUAAAUCUGAGGGUUACUUGAACAGAACAAACAAACAGAGAGUGAGUUUUGAAACUUAGUGUCUAACGCAUAUAUAAACAAAAAUUCAGAAUCAAUCUCAUGCAGAACAGAUACAAGUGUAAACCUUUUAUAAAAUUAGAAUUGUACAGAUACAAAUAUGCAACAUCCUACCCUCAUCCUCUACACACCAACUCCGACCAUCCUAUCACACCACGUGGGGUAUAAAAUACCCAUCCAGCCCUACACACCGUAUAGUGUUUAUAUGACACUUUUUGGAAUAAUCGCAGCAGAGUUGCCAGUAUAUAUGCGAGAUAUCACCUCACAUAGAACACUUCCUCCUCAUAAUACAAAUCCCGCCUCAUAGCUAGAUACAGACAAAAUAUGAUGUAAAAUAAAUUAACAGAUACUAGAGUUAACAUAUCACGCGUGAGCGUAUAAUAGAUAUUACACAUGCUUAUGCAUAACAAAAUAGAUCAUACAUAUUGUAUUCCAUAAUACUCAUAUAAAUGUUAUUUACGUCAAUCUCAAUCUAACAGAGUAGCAGAUUUCAUGCUUUAACGCUUAUACCACACAUAUAGACCCUAUAGAAGGCCCACAGUCGAUCGAGACAACAUGUAUGUCGCUAGGGAAAAAAUUUGUAAUUUGGGCCCAUAUACAUGUAUGAGCCCACACACCCAAAAUGGCCUUGCCCAUGUGGCUCACCAACCUAGCACUCAGCCCAUACGGUCCAAAAUGGCCUAGGUCGUGUGUCACACACAGCCGCAUGUUGCACACAGCCUACCACAUAGCCAGUCACAAAACUGUUUGGAGUUGAAAAGCCCAAUUUUUGGCUUUCGUCAAUCAUCAUUUUCUUACGUUUUCAUUACACACCUGGUUUGAUUCUGACGCAAAAGCAACCCUAUGUCCACCGAAACCUAAAAAUAGCAUUCCAACGCCCAAUUUCAGUGAACAUUUACAAAACUCAAACAAAAACUAUCCAAAAACAUAGCCUCACAAUAGCAUCCAACGCACUCGCACACUUAUCGUCAACAAAUAGGAAACACCCAACACUCAAUUCGUUGGCGGAGCACCAAUUAUGAUAAUGCAAAAAUUUUAUGGAUUCUCAACACUAUCGAUCCGAAUGUAAGAUUGAUGCUUUCCAAUUAUGAUAAUGCGAAAAUUUUGUGGGAUGGUUUACAUGAAUUUUUUUUGUUGUCAACGAUCAACGUAUUCAAUAAUUAAAAUAAAAUAUUAGUCGUUUUUAGAAAACCAAGACUAUGAGUGUUGUAGUUUAUUUCAGUAAAUUAAAGGUUUUGUGGGAUGAACUAGAUAAUCAUGAACCAUUGAUUUGUUGCAAGUGUGGACAAUGUUUAUGUAACUUAGGGAAGGCGCAUGAACAAUGUCGUGAGCAUGAUUGACUUCAUCAAUUACUUCUUGCUCUCUAUUGUAAUUGUUAUGCUCAAACUAGGUUUACACUGUUUUACCAAGAUCCUUUGCCUUCCUUAAAUCAGGCAUUCCAACAAAUUACUUAGGAGGAACAUGUACGUGGAAUUACACUGAUUAAGGAAGAGAAGUCUGAUAUUUUAGGCUUUGCUAUGCGUACAGAGGGUCAUAACAAAGGCCGAGCUAAUUGUAUUGAUAAGUCAACCUUGUUGUGCACUCAUUGCCAUCGCAAAAGGCAUGAGAUGGCUACCCAUUUUGAAUUACAUAGCCACUUGGAUUGGCGGCUUAAGAAGUAUGGGAAGCCAGAGAAGAAAAGUGAUGAUCGUGGUGGUAAGACAAGUGCCACAUCUUCCACGUAAGUGUUUUAUUUCAAAGGAUCACAAUUAAACAUUAGAUUUCUCAUUUUUAAUUUUUUUAUUUUUUUAACAGCUACGUAAUUAACGAGUACCAAUUUUGGGUGUUGUAGGGGUUCUAUAACUUUCCCUAUAUGUAAUCGACUCUUGCACCCACUUUUUUUUCUCUAGAAUUCAAUGCAAACCUUAGAUUUAUCUUUUUAAAAGAAUUUUAAAAUCUCUUUAUAAAAGACGAUUUUUUUAGGUGACCAAUCACACUUAAGAAAAACAAAUCGGUGGCAACUCCUUUCUAAUAAAUGUAAAAAACUUUUUAAACAAAAUAAGGUUGAAAUAAUCUAGUUGUCGUUAUACUUUGAUAAAAUUUUAGAUUUAGUCCUUAUACUUAAAAGGUUAAAAAUUAAGUCUUGUUUUUAUUUAAAAAUCUUAGUCCUAUCGUUAAUAUUGUUUUUUUUUGUCAAAAUUUGUCAAGUUGACAUAUUAAUUAGGUUUCUCUUAUAUAUCGUGGUAUAUGACUAACACAAAAUAAACAAGUUGACAAAAUCUACAAAAAAUAUCAAAGAUGAUAAUAGUUUAAUUAAAAUUUUUAAAUUAAAAAAGUAAGGGAUUAAAUUUAUAACUUUUAAAGUACAAUGAAUGAAAUUAUUGAAAUACAAGAACUAACAACAUAUUUUAAAAUAUUACUAGUAAAUUAUAUAUCUACAACAAGAAUUGUAACCUCUUAUAUUAUAUUCUUGUAUCUAUUUUUGCAUCUUUCAUUAUAAUAUGAUUUAUUAAUUUUAAUAUUUUUAUAGAAUAAUAUGCUUUAAAUAGUUUUUUGUAUAAUUUAUAAAAAUUAUAAUAAACUUACAAAAUAAUUUAAUGAUAUUUAAUUAUUAACCAAAAAAAAUGAUAUCAUAUAUAUUAUGUAUAUAUUAAGAUUCCGAAUCAUUAAUUAUAUAUCUACGCAUUAUAAUAAAUUCAUCUUUCAAAAUUUUCCUUAUAAUUAAAGCAUAAAUUAUAUUUAUAAUAUUAUAAAUAUAUUUUAUCAUAAAUAUUCUUUCAAAUAUUUUUUAAUGUUUAAUAAUAAGUUAAUUUAUAAAAUAUUUUUUCAAUAAAUUAAUGUGAUGAGAUCGUUAGGUGCUUGGAUUUGGUGAAGGGGGAUGAAGAGAAAAGGGAUGGAAGUGAAUAAAAAUGUUGAGAAAUCGAAAGGGUUAGCGAGGGAAGCCGCCAUGAAAGGUGGUUCAAUGGAUAUGAACCAUCAAGCUUUUGUGGAUGAUGUUACUCAAGGUUGUUGCAAGUAAAUUAAAAAAUAUUUUUUUAAAUUAUUUUUUUGUUAAAAAACAUUUUUUAUUUUUUAUGUGGCAUGCCACAUUAUCAUAGUAUCAUGUGACAACUUCUGGUGAUUUCUGUCUGUAACAUUAGUCAAAUCAACAGUUAAAUCGUUCAACUCACAGUUUUUGUUAAAUGAAGAGGUCAAUUGGUUUUUUUGGAAUCAUUGAGUACUCAAUUGGUGCACUUUUAUCAUAAAGGCUAAAUUAAUUUUUUUAAUUUGUUAUUGUUGAGGGCUAUAACAAUAAAAAAAUUAAUGUAAAAUGAAAAAAAUGUUAGAGCUAAAUUUGUCAUUAUAACUAAAAUGUAAAACCAAAAUUUUUUGAAAAAUGAAAAAAAUGGAAAAUCACAAAUUCUAUCACUUAUGUUUGCUUAAAAUUAUAGUUUUGGUCACCAAUCUUUUGAAGUAAAUAUAUGGUCACCAAUAACUCACCUUAAAGUUAUACCCCUACGCAAGAAAGGAUUAAAUGACAUUGGAAUACCAUAAAACUUGUAUCUUUUUUUAUUCAUCUAAUACCAUUUUAACAUUUUCAUUUUAAAAAAUUGACAUAUCAUUUUGAAUUUGAUCUUUUUCAUGGUAUCUCAAAUUCAUUUAAUCUUUCCCUCUCUAAAAAAGCUAAUGUAACACAUUAAUGACAUCAUUUCAAACAAAGUUUUAGGUCAAAUUAUUCAUCUAGUCCUUGUAAUUGUUUUUAUAGGUGAAUUUCAUUAUUAUUCUUUUAUUUUCUUAGGCUUAAAUACACAUUUACCCCUAAUUUUAUCCCAUUCUCCUUAAUUGGUAUUUAUGGUUUAGAAAAUUUUAUAAAUAUAUUAUUUUUUAAGAAAUUAUAAGAAGAUUACAAAAAUUCCAAAAUAAUAUAAAAAAGCCAAGGAAAACCUAGAAAUUCAAAAAAAAAAAAAAAACGUCGACAUUGAAUUUGCUGUUUCACAUUCAAUUUUUGGAGAAGUAGAAUUUUCUAACUUAUUUUCCAUCAACUUGACUUCAAUUUUCAAUCACAAUCAAUUGCAUUCAAGAGCACCACAUCUGUUUGGAUGAAACAAACCUCUCAAUUUUAAGAUAAACGGGUCUUUAGGGUUAUAAAUUGAGGGCCUUUUCCACAAUUGCGGGUGAUUCGUUGAUAAUAACCUCAACAUUUCUGUAUCACAUUUCAAUUUUUAAUUUUUAGAGAGAUGAUUGGGUUACAAGACUGGUUUGAAGUGAAGAUAUUUCAAAAGAAGAUCGAAUACUCUACCAAUAGUCAUAAUUUAAAAUUCAGGUUAUGUUUCAUUUCAGCUAAGUUAAAUGUUAAGAUUGAGGUUAAACCUUUUAGAGGUUGCUCACAAAAGGAUCAAACCUUUAUAAAAUUGCCUAAAUGAAGGUUAAACCUUUUAAAAUAGACAAAUAAGGGCCUAACCUUUUAAAAGGUGUUCAAAUAAGGGUUUCUCAAACGUUGUAUAUCAGGUUAUGUGUUUUACUCUAAACACAUCGACAUUUACCUAUUUUUUCUAUAAAUUUGGUUGAAGUGCAUGAAAAAUCCUUAUUUGAGCACUUUUGUAAAGGUUAAUCUCUUAUUUGACCAUUUUGAAAGGUUUGAUCCUUAUAUAAGUAACCUCUAAAAGAUUGAGCACUAAUUUGACAAGUUUGAGAAAUAUCUAAAUUUGUUUUCAUGAAUCAAGAAAUUAAAAAAGAAAUGUUGAGAAAUAUUUUAGAGAUUCUUAGCUUUGACAAGUUCCCUCCACCAUCUCCCUGCCUCCAGUCCCACCUCUUCUCUUAUGCUCCUUCCAGCUUCUUGCCUUUUGUGUGUUGAAAAUUCAAAGGAACAAAAUAUCAACCUACAUCAUAAGGCACGAUCGCCAGAACUUUACUUUCUAGCCUGUCGAUCCGAUCCAAUCCAAUGAAAGAAGAACAAGGAGUCUUAAGAUCUGUCAACUUUAUUUCAUUUUCAUUUUCUUUGUCAUUUUCUAUGUUUCAUGUCGAAUACAAUGAAAGAAGAACAUAGAAAAAUGUGGCCUAUUUAUUUCCCAAUCAUCAUGAAAUUACUUGCCAUUGACUUAGAAUUUUCUCACCAAUUUUCAAGCAAUCUGACAUGAUUUCUCAAUCACAAUUAAUUGAAUUCAAGAUCUUUUUAGAUGACACAAACAUUUCAAUUUUAACACAAACCAAUAUUUCGGUUAUACUUCAGUGCUUGACAAGCACUUUCACAUUUGUGGGAUAAGAACUCUUAACAUUUUAGGAUCACAUUUAAUUCAAUUGCAUUUAAGACCUCAUGGUUUUAUUCUAUAAUUUCAGUCUUAUCAGCCUUUUCGGAAACAAUAAAACGUCGACAUUAAAUUUGUUGUUGAUGCAUUCAAUUUUUUGAGGGGUCUUUGGAGUUAUAUGUGACUUUAGCAUUGACUGACUUUUUUAUAAUUUAUCUUUUAUAAUAAGGUAAAUAUAUUAAUUUUAAUAACAUCGACAUGUUUUUUAGUAGGGUCGAGCAAAACCCAAUUAAAAUCGAUGAUAUUGGCUUAGUUGACUCGGUCAAGUCCAUUAGAUUGAUAAAAUCAUUUUUAAAAUCAGUUAUAAUGGAUAAAGGUAAUUAAUUAUCGAGUAAUGAAAUACAUAAUCAAAUCAAUUGAUUUUGUUAGAAACUAAAAGAAAAAGGGCUAAGCUGAAAAUUGAUUGCCCUUUAUUAAAAUUAACGAAUCUGUCUUUUACGUAUUAGAUAAUAUGAACAUCGCAUAUAUAAUAAGAAAAAUUACGUAUGAUUAUUUAUUAUCAUAAAAGGUUAGUUUAAAUUUAAAGUAAUCUAAUAUGUUUAUUGAACUUCAACUAUUAAAUAAAGUAUAAGCUAAAUAAGUAUAAAUAUUCUAGAAACCAUUUCUAACUGAUGAUAGGCUAAUUCGAUUAAUUUAUAAAAACUAGAUAGUAGGGUUAUAGUCCUCAAACUACACCUAAUUUAAUAACAUUUAUAUUUUUUUUAGCCUUAAACAUUUAUAGUUUUUGUUAAUUUGGUCCUUACUCUUUAAAAUUACAUAAAAAUUGCAAAAAAAUUAAAAAUUAAUUUUUAUCAUGAUUUUAAUAACAUUUAUAUUUUUUUUGUGGUUUGGUAACUUAUCAACUUGACUCUUACUUGUAACCAACUUUUCUAACCUUUUUCGUACCCUUAACCUAAGUCCCGUUACAAUUUCUAAAGACCUCUUGAUUGGUGUAUCAUCUCGAUUUGUUUUUAUAGUGGUGGAGAUUUGUUUUUUGUAGUGGCAUGAUUGCCAGAACUUUACUUUCUAUCCUGUCGAUCCGAUCCAAUGAAAGAAUAACAAAGAGUCUUAAGAUCUGUCAACUUUAUUUCAUUUUCAUUUUCUUUGUCAUUUUCUAUGUUUCUUGUCACAUACAAUGAAAGAAGAACAUAGAAAAAUGUUGCCUAUUUAUUUCCCAAUCAUCAUUCUAACAGGCCGAAUUAGCCCAGGCCCAAACAUUAAUAAAAUGUCCAGAUUACAAAAUAACCAACCAAAAAUUAAAAGCCCAAAAUAAUAAAAUAAAACCCAUUACAUUAACCCAAAACUCCAGCCCAAUUACAUUGAAGCCCAAAAAAAUAGUUUUUAGAAACCCCUAGGGUUUCUGGAACAAUCCGCGCCGCUCCUCCAUCCGCUUCUCCACGCACGCUGCACCUUUCCACGUGCGCCUCCAGCUGGCAGUGUACCUCCAAUGCAACAAACAAAGCAACAAGCAGCAAAAGAAAUGGAAAAACAACAAAAAAAAAAAGAAAGGAGCAACAAUGUAUAACAGAUUGAUAACAAAUAAUAGAAAAAAUAGCAGUAAAUAGGAAAAAAAAUUAAAAAAUAAUGAGGGUAAUUUCAUUUUUUUCUCUGUUUUGGCUAUAAAGAGAGCCGGUCAAAAUCUCUAAAGGGGGAUUUAGAAAUCAAUCAGAAAACAAGUAUUUUGUACCAACAAUUAGAGAAAAAAAAUACAAAAAUAGGGAUUGAAGGUUUUUUUUUCUUUCGUUUCGAUUUAUUUUAAAAUAGCAUAGAAAAUAAAAAGAAGGCUUACCUUGCGACGCCUUCAGAUCCUCUCGAAAAGGGGCUAAAAGGCCCUAUGUGGCACAGAUUUGACCACUGUUCACGGUGGAACCGCAGCGGAGGCGCAGAGGAUUGGCAUCAAUUUAGGCAGGGUUUGAAACCCUAGCAGAGAAAAAAUUAGGGUUGAUAGAUUUUUUUUAAAAAAAUGGCAAAAUGUUGUUUUAAAAAAUUUUGUUUUAAAAAAAAUUGUUGCUUUUAUAAAGGGUGUAAAACGGCGUCGUUUAGGGCAUGUUUCGAUGGCCCCAAAACGGCGCCUUAUAAGGCAACCCCCGACGACCCGACCUGCUCCAUGGGGGAUCCGCGUGGUUUUUGUUAAAUGGGUUAUGUCUAACCCUGGCCCUUCUACUUUUUAUACUUGUUUUAAUUUGAUCCUCUUUUUAUUUAUUUUUAUUUCUUUAAAUUAAGCCUGAUAAUUUUUUUCCAUUACAUUUUAAUCCUUAAUGAAACGGCGCGUUUUAGAGGAGAAGGGAAAAUUACCCUUCUAGUCCCUUCUUGUUAUUCGAGUGUUCAGAAGGGUCCUUUUUUGUUUAUUUUUUAUUUGCCCCAAAAUUUUGUUUUAAAGCUUAAUUUAGUCCUAUUUUGUUAUUUUAGCUAUUUUAUUAUUAGAUUAAUUAAUUUAAUAUUAUUAUUACUGCUAUUAUUUUACCCCUAUUAUUUAUAUAUUUAUUAUUAUAACUAUAUCAUUAAAUCAAUUAGUUUUUACAUUAUUAUUUCCAUUCUGUUUUUUAUUUACUUACUUAAAUACUUUAAAUGCAUUUAUUUUAUUUCUUAUUUUUUUAUGAAAUUUCAAAACUUUAGACUAUUUUUUUGUUACUAUAACCCUAAUUUCAUUCAUUUUAUAAUAGUUUUUUUUUAAAAUAUUUCUUAGAUUAAUUCCCUCGAUGUUAUUUUGUAUAUUUAUUUAUCUUUUUAAAUUUUCGAUAUUGUCUUAUUGUAUUAUUGUUGUUACUAUCAUUAUUCAUUAUUAUUGUUGAUUUUAUUCUUCUUUGAUUAAUGUUUAUGUUAGAGUAAUAGGUGUUAUGUGAUCAUUGUUAUUAUAUGUUAUAAUUUGUUGACACUCGUAUUGUAGUCAUUCGUCAGCUUAAUAUUUUGAGUAACAUUUUAAAUAUUACAUUAAUUUUGACCCAAAUGCAUAAUUUUUUAAUAAGUAAUAUUUCGUAUUGUGGAAUUUGAGAGAUCAUUCCCUAACUUACGGGGUCUCGAUUUUUUUGAUAAAUCUGAAUAUAAGAACUAUUUUAAAAAAAUACGUUUUAAAAUUAUCUCGGGAAUUUAAAAAGAAGCGUGUUCUAACUUACGGAAUAUGAUCUUUUUUUAAAAAUCGAGAUAAUCAAAUAUCUUUCAAAUAAAUAAACUUUUCGUGUUUAUUCUCGUUUUAGGAUUUAAGAUAUUGUGUCCUAACUCACGGGACACAAUUCUUUUUCUCGAUUAACGUGAAAUACGCCCUUUUUAAUUUUAUCUUUUUAAGUGAUUUUAACAAAAGGAUUGUAUUUUAAAUCUCUUCAAAAUUUUCAAUUUUUCGACAUUGAGACAUUAACUAAUCAAUUAGGUACCAAUUUUGGGCGUUACAAGGGUGUUAACCCUUCCUUGUACAUAACCGACUCCCGAACCUAUUUUUCUGAAUAUUAUAGGCCAAAAUUGUUUUAAUAAAUUAAACCCUUAAGAGGUGACUCGAUCACAGCUCAUAAAAAUUAUCGGUGGCGACCCUUGUUUUAAAAAAGGUGGUUUCAACAGCUUGGCGACUCCGCUGGGGACAAAAAUAAGAGUCAAGCCGCGAGUUGAUUAUUUCUUAUCUUUUUGUCAGAAAUUGUGAAUUCGAUUUAAAUUUAUGAUCUUUUCAUUGCAUUUUAUGGUCUGCAUCAUUUUUAUAUGCUUGCUUUACUACUUCGAGUCUUUUAAUCUUCGCAUAUUGUAUUGCAUAACCGUUCGGUUAUACCCUUUUAAGCGGGAGUGAGAAAUUAUUCUUUCGUGAGGUUUUCACCUUCGUAUAGGAUAGUGGAUUACUUUCAGGAUACAUCCAUACCUAUGUCUUCGUGAGAUUCUCAUCUCCGUAUAGUCAUAGGGAAAUGUAUUCCCCUGAACUGAACUCAGUCCGUAUGAGCCUAUAAUGGGUGAGGAUUGAGGAAUCUGCUGGUUCAGGUACCCUUUCUUUAGAACUAAACCGCAUGUAGUGAGCCCUAAGAGCAUACCCUAGGUAGAACCACUCCAAACCCCUAGUGGUCACCCAAAUAGGUGCUCUAUUUAUUUUUGCUUGCUUGUUUUUGCCUUGUACUAACCUAUUUGUUAUGGUUAUGAGUGCAUUGCAUUUUUAUCAUAAAAAAGAUGUGUUGAUUCACGUUCAGUUGCUAAAUAGAGAGCUUGUCAUGGAAAACGAAUUUCUUGAUAAAGUGGAAGACAAUGCGGUUGUCCGGAUAUGGUCCAAGAAAAUGUGAAGAAAGAAGGGUGAUAGUCUAAUGGAGGACUACACGACCUUGCUUUGUUGCCUGAUGAUUCAAGUUGACAAAGAUUAUUCGAGAGUCUUCAAUGUCCCGACCUUUUUAAAGAAGCUAACGAGCGUCACGAGGAUGAGCGAGUAAUGAGUUGCGGCCCGGAUCAAGCAAAAAAAAGAUAGAGGAGACACCCUUUUUGAAGAGUUCACGAGAUUUAUCUUAACAUCUAGACGAAGAAAAAGAUCAAUCUCUUUGCCUAGAGUAUGAGGGCAAAGCCGUAUAUAUCCGCUUUAUGUAAAUAAAUUUGUUUUCUAGUAAAGUUUUUCUAAUAGGAUUGAAUCAGAAUCAACGUCUCUUUUUGCAUUCAUUCCAUUCAUCUGCAUUGCAUUUCAUUGCAUCUAGAAUUUCACAAAAGGACCCUAAUUAAUCGAAAUUGUUAUAGCUACCUUGAAAAACUAACGAAAAUUUACCAAUUAAAUAUUCCUAUGGUACCCAUUGCAAAACUAAAGUAAUGGAUCAAAUAUUAGAAAGAUUAGAACAAAUGCUGAAGGAUAAACAUAACUGCUUUGGCUUAGGGUACAAGCCAGAUACAAGACAAAGAAGAAAUAGGAAAGGAGAACACGUUUGAGCGGGGAUGAGGUCAAAUGGGAGGGAUUAUUCAUCCCAGGCGAAGAAUGCCAAGAGAAGAAAAUAUUGAAAACAUGUUGGGAAACGUUCACAUCAAUGCCAUAUACGAAGAAGCAAUUGAAGGAGUGACCUUGUUAGAUAUCCGCCCUUAUGAACCUAAGAGUGUGCUAAACAAUUGGACUGCAGAAGAAAUUCUUGUAGUGUUUAGAGCUUACUCAUAGUAAUGUUCAGAACACACUUGUUGCUUUUAGCCUAGAAGUGAUAAGAAUCCCUCUGUGAAAUAGGCUCAUGUAUAAACAUCAUUAUUUUAAUGAAGUACAUCUUUGCAUUCAUUUUGAGCAAAUAUUCUUUUAUUCUUUUCAUACGAGUAAUUAUUUUGGAUUCUUUAAUUCUUUUGGGAUUUUCUUCCAAAAUCAUUCUUUUAUUACAUCCAUAAUCAUACUGUACAAAUAAUGUAAUAGCCUGAAUUUUCAGUGGUGUCGGAAUGGUGAUUCAAGAUCACUAAGUCUGACAAAUGAGUAGAAAAUAUUAUUAAUUUAGUAAGAAUAAGUAAAUGUGAAGUUAGGAAAAUUUUUGAAAUAGUGAAUAGUGUACUAGGAAUAAAUAUUAAAAUAAUUAAAAUAAAAAAUGAGGUAUCGAGACCUCGAAGAUUUUAAACCAAGCCAUAAGUACUUUUAGAAGUAUUUUUAGAGUGUCAUUGAGUUGGUAUUAAAGUUUCGUUAGAAAAUUUUAACGCUCGGAUAGUUAAUUAACCAAAAAGGACUAAAUUGAAAAUAGUGUAAAAUUUGUUAAAUUGUGAUUAAAUAGCUUAAGUGAUUAAAAAGGAGGGAUUUAAAAGGCAAUUAGGCCCAAAUUAUAUGGGCUGGACGGUUGGGUAAGAAAAAUCAGCAGAAUGUAAGGAGAAACAGGGGCAAAAUUGGAAACUUAACAAAUUAAACAUAUAAAACAAAGACAAAAGUGAAAAAUCUAGAGAUCUGCUCACAAUUUAUCAGCAAAAAUGCCAUAGGAGGUCUGAAAGAAGCUGGUUUUUCAUAUAUUUGAAUCAUGUAAGUUUAAUUCUUGAUUAUUUCUUCUAAUUUUUGUGAUUUUGAUACUUUUACAAUUAGGUCCAACUAAUUAUUUCAUUAGUUUUUGAUUUCAUGGCUGAUUUUGAAAGUUACCAUUGAUGAGUGUUGGAUUUUUAUGAUGAAUAAACAUGGAAUUAAAGCUUUAAUUUUGUUAUAUGAUGAUUUUAUUAAGUAAUUUUGAUAGAAAUUGAUUUUUGGGACCUAAUUGUGAAAAAGUUUGGAAUUAGGGUUUGGUGUUGCGGUUUUGAAUAUGAAAGUCUAUGUAGUAGUCUAAAAUAGUUGGAAAAGGUGUUAAUUGAGAAAAAUUAGAUCAAUUGAGGGGUUAAUUGAGUAGGACCAAAUUGUAAAAACUGUAAAGUUUGAGGUAAAAGUGUAAUUUCGAAAAUUUAAGGGCAUAAAUUGUGAAGUGAAUUAGAAUAGAAUUAUAUGCUGAUGAAUGAAUAAAUUUGUAUUUUAGAUCGAGAACCCGAAGCAAGCCGAGGAAAAGAAAAAGUAGUUGAUUAGUCCCUGAACUUUUACAAAUUCUGCAAAUCGACCCAGGUAAGUUCAUAUGGCUGAAAUUUAAUGAUUAAAUGUUAAUUUCAUGAAUUAUGUAAUGUAUGAUGAAAUGUAUUUAGUGUUGAAAUGAGAGUAAAAUAAAAAUGCGAAAAUCGAAUAAAUGAUCAAAUUAAGCGGAACGCCGGAUUUGAGUACUUCUGAUCAAGAGACAAAGUGAUAAGUGGUAGCUUUAGCUACACUUAUCUGAUCAAGUGAAAAAGUGAUAAGUGCUACACUUAUCUGAUCAAGAGACAAAGUGAUAAGUGGUAGCUUUAGCUCACUUAUCUGAUCAAGUGAAAAAGUGAUAAGUGCUAUACUUAUCUGAUCAAGUGACAAAGUGAUAAGUGGUAGCUUAGCUACACUUAUCUGAUCAGGGCCAAAUGAUAAGUGAUCAUACGUAAGACCAUAGUUAUACUAUGGCCAAGUGAAAGUGAAGUACUCAAUUUUCCGUAACCGUUCCUUAAUUUUGAUCAAGGAUGGUAAGUGACAAAUAGGCCCAAAGAAAUUAUGGUAAAAGAAUAAGUAGUAGUGAGUUUAUACCAAGGAACUCUCCAAAGAUUGUGGUUGACAAGUAAACUUAGUAAUGGUGUAUAUUGUAUAAGUGUACAAAUGUUUGGUAAGAUUUAUGUUUGUGCCUAUGAACUUACUAAGCUUUUCUAUAAGCUUACAUGUGUGUGUUUAUUGUUUUUCUAGAUUAACGUAUUUAUACAUUCGGAGGAUCGGAUCUACUUCGAGAAUCACACUAUCCAGAUAUACUCCGGUAGAUUUUGUUAAACAACUUUUUGGAUUUAUAUGGCAUGUACAUAGAAUUGAAGUAAAAAGUAAUAGAAUGAAUGACUGAGUAUGCAAAGUAAAUUUGAAUGUGAUGGUUGUGUUAGAUAUUGAAAAAUACAUGUUUUUAGUUUGAAAUGGUUGAUUGGCUGAACUUCGUUAGUAUUCAAGUGAAGUAGUUGAAAUACUGGAAUUGGUUGUGAUUUGAAAUUUGCAGGGAAGGUUAGAUAAAUAUAAAGGGGUUAUAUUGAUUUUUUUUAAAAAUUUCAAUGGAAUAAUUUUUGGACAGCAGCAUUGAUGUAACUUUUAAAAAUCACCAAAAAUAGUGGAAAUAGAAUUAGAAGUUGAAUGAGAUAUGAAAUUAAAUCUGAAUGAGUCUAAUUUCACAUGAAAGAAGUAGAAUAAGAAAAAGAGUUAUAUAUUUUUAGAUAUUUGAAUUUUAGUGAAACAGGGCAAGAAUGUUUUUGAAGUCCCCUGUUCUGACUUUAGAAAUUUAGUAAAAAUUGUACAAAAGGAAUUAUGAAUUAUAAUUUAUAUGUUUAAAUUCCGUAAUGAGUAUAUUUUAAGUAGAAAUAAUUGGAACCACCAUAUGAAGUCUUUGCAAUGAGAUAAUUGAAUUUUAGCGACAAGAGGUCAGGAUAGUCAAUUAGUGAAAUAGGGGAGACUUCAACUAAUAAACUGUAUUAAUUUGCUAAACCAAAAAUUCUGAAAAAUUUAUGGUGAAUAUACAUAUGAGUCUAGUUUGAGGGAAAAUUUACGGAUCUAAAUUUUUAGUUUCGUAUCUUGAGUUAUAAUUAUUUUAGUGACUACUGCGCAUGUGGACAGCUUUGUUGUGAAUGGUGAAAUUAAUUUUUAAAGUAAAUUUUUAUGCCCCGAACUUUUAAGUUCAGUCAAGUAACGCCUUAUGCUCGACUCCGGCAACCGUCUUGGGUAAGGGGUGUUAUAAAUAAUUAUUCUUAAAUUCAUACAUUCUUUGUAUAUUAUUUUGUACCUACAAUAGGUCCCUAGAUAUUAACAACAUGAGUGACGUUGCUACAGACUCAGAAUUUCCUUUUAAACAAGACAUGUGUUUAGAGGGAUCCCAUGGCUUUGAAGAUGACGUAGACUGUGGCUUAUCUCUGAAUUUGUUAAGGAUGGUAAAACAAGAGGAGAAGCAAAUCCUACCUCACAAGGAAUCAAUGGAAAUUGUGAGCUCAGAAGGGGGAAAAGAGGUGAAGAUUGAGACUAACAUUGCCACAAAGACAAAGCAUGACCUCGUUGAGUUACUCCAAGAAUUUAAAGAUGUCUUCGCAUGGUCAUACCAGGAUACUCCCGGGUUAAGUACUGGCAUUGUAGUACACUACCUUCUUAUAAAAGAAGAUUGCAAGCCAGUUUAGCAGAAACUCUGAAGGAUGAUGCCUGAUAUUGUGCUAAAAAUAAAAGAAGAAGUUAAAAAGCAAUUUGAUGUUGGGUUCUUACAAGUGGUUAAAUAUUCAGAAUGAGUAGCCAACAUCGUCUCAGUCUCUAAAAAAGAUGGGAAAGUACGAAUGUGCAUAGAUUACAGAGACAUGAACAAGGCCAGCCAAAAAGAAAAUUUCCCAUUGCCUCACAUUGACACUUUGGUGGAUAAUACAGUAGGCUACUCACUGUUUUCCUUCAUGGACGACUUCUCUGGAUACAACCAGAUAAAGAUGCAUCCCAAAAACAUGGGAAAGACUACAUUCGUGACCCUAUGGGGAAUGUUUUGCUAUAAAAUGAUGUCAUUCGGAUUAAAGAAUGUGGGAGCGACGUAUCAAAGGGAAUGGUAACCUUGUUUCAUGACAUGAUGUACAAGGAAAUCGAGGUUUAUGUUGGCGAUAUGAUUGCAAAAUCCAGAACAGAAGAGGAACAUGUGUAGGCCCUAAGAAAAUUAUUCUUAAGACUGAGAAAGUUCCAGCUCAAGCUUUCCAACGAAAUGCACAUUCAGAGCUAGGUUAGGAAAGCUGUUAGGCUUCACAGUUAGUGAAAAAGGAAUCGAGAUCAACCCAGAUAAAGUCAAGGCGAUACGAGAUUUACCUCUACCAUGCACUCAGAAGGAAGCUCGAGGUUUCCUAGGAAGACUGAAUUACAUUGCUCGAUACAUUUCACAACUAACCGAAAAAUGUGACACCAUAUUAAAAUAAAAAUAGAUUAAAUUGUAAGUAAAACAUAAUUUAAACAUAUGAAUACAUCAAAUUAAUAAUACUAAAUGAAUACAGUUAUUUAUGAUGAUGUUGUUGCCAAUUCCUAAUUUGGUGUCUAGUUAAUUUGUGACAUCAUAAAUUUAAGUGAUAAAUUUAAGGUUUUAUGUAUUGAUGUGGAUUCAAAUAUCACCAUAAUUUUUGUAAAUAAAAAACUAAUAAGAUAACUUAUAUUAAGUACGAAAGGGUAUUUUUAUAAUUUCUCUAAUCGAGUUGGUGCCCGGUUGACUCAUGACACUAACUCAAUCAGAAGCUUUAAUAAUAAUAUAGAUAUUCAUGUUAAAAAAACAAAAAAAAAGUACUUUAGUUCCAAAUAAUUAUAUAACAAGUAAAUUUAUAAUUGAUGAAUAAAUUUAUAAAUAAUAUAUUUAUAUGAUCUAAUAUAUUAUAUUUAUAUUAAUUAUAUAUCAUCUACAAACUUUGAAGAUCAAUUUAUUAAGUAAAAAUGAAAUUGUUAACACUAAAUCAAUUUUUAGAUUUUGUAUAGAUGAUUUAGUGAUGAUAAAAACAUUAUUAACACUAUUUUUUAAUUAACAAAAAAUUAGUGAUAUAUUUAAAUUAUAUUUAUCAUUUAUUAUUUUUAAUAAUAUUUUUUAAUUAUAUGAAGUAAAAUUAUAUUGUAUACUAAAUAUGGUACAUAUACUCUAAUUAUAACUUGAAAUUUUAUUAUAUAAAUUAAUAUAAAUUUGAAUAACAAAAUAAAAAAAAACUAAUUAGAAUAAUUUUAAAAAACAUUAUUUAAAAGUAGUUAAAAAUCACGUGCAACAGGUGAGAUCAAUGGUCUUUAGAGAAGAAAUGUUGAAGAUCAAAGUUGGAAUCUGGCCUAUAAGGCCUUUAAUUGCUUUAAUAUUAAGCAGUUCCAAACCAAGAAGAUUACCGAUUUCCUCAGGAAUUUGACCUGCACACAUGGUCGAAAAAUCAAUGUGUCAAACUACCUAUUUUGUUAGCAUAAGUCAAAGAGGUUUUCUUUUCUAUUCUACAUAAUUUGCAGAUGUUAGAUUUUAAUAUUUUUAAGCAUAUUUGUUUUCAUCAAAUUAACUAUUUUGAACUAUUUUGCCUUGAAUGAAAUAAAAUGCUCUUACUUUUGUUAUCUAUUACUAAUCAAACUCUUUUAUAAAAAAAAUACUUUAAACUAAAGAAACCAAGAAAAUUCAAUACCUUCUAGGUUAUUCAACCCCAAAUAUAAUUCUUUGAGUCGUGUCGGAUUUCCAAUACUUCUUGGAAUGAUCCCCAUCAAUUGAUUAUAGGAAAAUGACAAAAUUUUAAGGUUGUUGCAUUUGCUUAUACUUGACGGAAUGUUACCAUAUAAUUCAUUCCGACUCAAGUAAAGCCCUUCAAGCUUGGAAAGAUGUGACACAUAUCAUUAGGCAAGCUACCUGAUAGGCUAUUGUUGGAGAGAUCAAUGGCCUUCAGAGAAGAAAUGUUGAAGAUCGAAGUUGGAAUCUGACCUGUAAGGCCUUUAAUUGCUUUAAUAUUAAGCAGUUCCAAACCAAGAAGAUUACCGAUUUCCUCAAGAAUUUGACCUGCACACAUGGUCGAAAAAUCAAUGUGUCAAACUACCUAUUUUGUUAGCAUAAGUCAAAGAGGUUUUCUUUUCUGUUCUAUAGUAAUUUGGUGAUGUUAGAUUUUAAUAUAAUUCAGCACAUGUUUUUCAUCAAAUGAAAUAAAAAGUUUUUCCUUUUGUUAUCUAUUACAAAUCAAGCUCUUUUAUUAAAAAAAUACUUUAAAUUCAAGAAAUCAAGGAAAUUAAUUACCUUCUAAAUUAUUAAACCCCAAAUAUAAUUCCUGGAGUCGUGUUAGAUUUCCAAUACUUCUUGGAAUGAUCCCCAUAAAUUGAUUAUGGGGCAACAACAAAUUUUUAAGGAUGUUUCAUUUGCCUAUGCUUGACGGAAUGUUACCAGAUAACUCAUUGCUAUGCAAGUGAAGCCCUUCAAGCUCGGGAAGAUGUUGACACAUAUCAUUAGGCAAACUACCUAAUAGGCUAUUCCUGGAGAGAGCAAUAGUCUUGAGAGAAAAAUGUUGAAGAUCGAAGUCGGAAUCUGAUCUGUAAGGCCUUUAAUUGCUUGAAUAUUAAGCAUUUCCAAACUAAAAAGAUUACCGAUUUCUUCAGGAAUUUGACCUGCAGACAUAGUCGAAACAUCAAGGUGUUAAAUUUCCUAUUUUGUUAGUGUAAAUCAAAGAGGCUUUUUAUUUUUUUUCGUUAUGAAAUAAUAUGGAUAUGUUCGAUUCUAAUCAUAUUUAAGUAUAUAUUAGUUCUUGAAAGAAUGAGUUCUUAUUUUUGGUAUUUAUAUUGCAAAUAUAUAUUUUUUUAAAUUUAAAAGAAGGGAGGGGGCAAAUGUGUUUAAACUAAAGACAUCAAGGAAAAGGCAUACCAAGUAUAAUUGUUUAAGUUGUGUCAAAUUCCCAAUGCUUUUUGGAAUGAUCCCACUAAAUUGAUUAAUAGACAAUUCCAAAAUUUGAAGGUUGCAGCAUUUGUCUAUACUUGAUGGAAUAGAACUUGAUAAUUCAUUUCUACUCAAGUAAAGCUCUUUCAGCUUGGGAAGAUGGACACACAAAUCAUCGGGCAAGCCACCAGAAAGACUAUUAUCACAAAAAUGAAUCCUUUUCAAAGAAGAAAUGUUAAAGAUGGAAGAUGGAACCUGGCCAGAUAAUUGAUUGAAUCCCAAGUUCAAGAUCUCUAGAUUGGACAAGUUGACAAGUGUUUGAGGGAUCGUGCCUGUGAAGUUAUUAUUUCUCAUUUCCAACCUUUGAACUCUGUGCAAGUUCCCAAGCCAUGGUGGAAUUUCCCCAUUAAGACGGUUGUAGCUUAAUCGAAUGAUCCUCAAACGAUGCAAUUGGCCUAAUUCUUUAGCCAGAUGGCCGUAGAAAUUGUUGUUGCUCAAGUCGAUAGAAAAUAGAAAUGAAAGAUUUCCAAGGUGUGGAGGGAUAGUACCCCUAAGAUUCAUGUUUGUAAGAUUAAUCAAAGCUACAACUCUUUCAUGGAUGAUGCCACAAGAAACACCAACCCACUUACAGACAGAGGUAGAGUUCGUCCAAUUGUUUGCCAACACAUUUUGAGGAUCGACAAUGCGAUCUUUAAACUCAAAGAGUGCAAACUGAUCGGAGUUGAGAUUCCGGACUGUCAUAGCCAAGGAAACAAUAGAACAUUGUAUGAAUAAAAGUGAAAGAAGAUGAAAGCAAGUGUUGUAGUUCAUGAUGGCAAGACGAAAUAAGCCAGGAAAAGGGAAGUUGAAUUGAUGAAGAAAUAGCCAGCCAACAUGCUUAAAUAGGCUUCAACCCUUGCACACUUCUCAUACAUAAAGUUCGCUGCCAUUACAACAAGAAAACUCAUAUCUCCAUUCGUACCUAUCCAUACUUUAUUUGACUAACUUUUCCCUAACAAGUGUUCAGUAAGGAGAUAAAUCAGUUUGGAGCUAUUCACCGGCUUCUCCAAUCUUGGUUUCAAACUCCUAACCCAUCAAUUCACUUUAAUUGAAACGAUAUACACGAGUCUUUCGGCUUAUAUUUUUAAUUUAAUUUUUGUUACUUUUCAUAAUAUUUUUUGAGAAAUCCAAAUAUUCCAGUCUGAAAUUUCUUCAUUGCCACGUCUAUCUCCUGGGUAAGUCCGUGGUUAGGCAGCCCACUUUGGGAGCAGGAUUGUAAUUGUAAUUCUAUCCGACUCAUUUUACUAUUUAGAAAUAUAAAAGUAAUAUUAUAUUAUUUUUUAUAUUUUUAUAAAUUUAAUUUUAAUUAUAAUUUUUAAACAAUAAAACGAGUCAUUUGUAUUUGCCUAGUCUAAAUUGAAUCAGGAGUCAAAAAAAUUUUAAUCAUAAUUUACUAUUAUUUUAAUUAAUUAAAAUUUAACCUACUACAACUAGUAGUUGCAGAAAAAAUGUCAUUCCUUUAGAAAAACGAAAAUCCUUUAGAAAAAUGAGAACUUAUGAAGCAUUCAAUAAGAGUCAUUGGAAUAAAUGGUAACGAAAUCAUAAUUCAAUAUAAAGCUAAAAAAUGUACCAAUCUAUAUAAAUAAUGUAAGAUUUGUGAUACCUAAAUUAUUAUAUUUUCCAUAAAUAUAUGAAGAUAUUUUAUUAGGAAAUAAUUUUAUAUAUAAAAUUUUUUAUUUUCUUUUGAUAGAAAUUUAAUUAUGUUAUCUGUAGAAAAAAAUAUUUAUAGAAAUAUUAUUAGUAGAAAAUCAUAAAUUUGUGUGUGGCAAAAAAAAUUCACCACCAAGAAAGGGGCAAAUUAAACAACUUGAAACAAGUCAUUGGUUGUUUAAAAUAUUAGAUAAUAAUUUCAGUGAAGAAUCAUUAAAAUUAUGACAAAAUAACCCUAGAUAUUGUAGUAUUAAAUUGGAAAAUCUCAAUAAUAUUAUUAGAGUAAAACCUAUGAUCUAUCUAAACAAGAUAUAGAAGAUUUUGAUAUACAAAUUAAGGUUAGAAAUCAUGCGGAAAUAAAAAAGAAAAAAAAGCUAGUAUGGUCAUUAAUUAUAAAAGAUUAAAUCAAAAUAUUAUUUUUUUAUAGUUACUUGAAUUAAUCAGGCUAAACAAACAAAAUAUUUUAGUAAAUUUGACUGCAAAUCAGGAUUCUAGCAAAUCAUGAUAACAGAAAAGUCCAAACCUUUAACGGCUUUUAGUGCACCCAAUGGACAUUACCAAUGGAAAGUGAUGUCAUUUCAAUUAUGUGAUGCACCACAAAUCUUCCAAAGACGAAUGGAUUUUAUAUUUAAUAAAUAUAAAAAAAUUCUAUGUAGUCUACAUAGAUGAUAUUUUUUAUAUUUUUAGAUACACUAGAAUUACAUAAGAAACAUUUAAAUAUUAUUUCUUAAGAAUUCAUAAAAUAUAGAAUCAUAUUAAACCCUAAAAAUAUAGAGUUAGAAAAAAGAGAGAGAAUUUUUAUAAUAGUGGAAAUAAAAAAUUGUCCUCAAAAGAUUGAAGAAAAAAAGAACUUCCAACAAUUUCUAAUAUAUUCCUCCCAAAUUUUCAGUUUCAAUUUUAUUACAGAAUUUCUUUGCCGACAAUAAGAAAUUAAGAGCGCUCUUUAAGUUGAAUAUAGUCCGUCAGAUAUGGCUAUCUAUAACAUGGAACCUUUGGUUUUCAAGCUGAAUAGGAGAAUUGAUUCACUUGAUAAGUAUGAAAAAUUGAAACUGCUAAAUUUAAGUGCACUAACUCUGGAUAUCAUCAUUAUUUUUCUGUACAUUAAAGUACCUGUUUGAUAUGCGAUUUCUGCCUCAAACUAUCAACAUCUUUAACAUCCUUUUGCUAUAGUUAGCAUGGGUACUUCCUUUUAGAUUAACAGUUAGGUUUGAACUGUGAAUUAGAUUUCUGUGGCUGCUGGGAUUGAAGAAGUUAGUAUGCGAAUGACAUUGGACAAAUUUGGCAAAGUCUUCUCCAUCAGUGAAGAAAACCCCUUGGCGUAUGAAAAAUGUUCACCAUCUUAGACAUUUGUUUUCUUAUUGUAAGAAUAUUUUUAACAUUGUAACUUUUAACAUUAUUGUAAGAAUAUUUUGAAUUAUACUUCAGUUAUCAAUUUAUAUCAUAUAUCUUUUGUUGAAUUUGAAGUAUAAUUUAUAUUUGCUGUUUUUGGUUAGAUUUCAUGCUAUAGGAAGGGUUGUAUAUGGAUAGAAAUUGAAUGUUACAAAUCUGCCAAAGUUAGUGGCGUUUUUUCAUAAGAGCUGCUAAAGAAUGCUAUUUUUGGCGGUGUUUGUAAUAAAAGAGCCGCUAAAGGUCAUGUUCUUUAGCGAUGUUUGUGGGUAAAGCGCCGCUAAAGAUCAUGUUCUGUAGCGGUGUUUGUGGAUAAAGCGCCGCUAAAGAACAUGACCUUUAGCAGCGUAUUUUCACAUAAACGCCGCAAAAUUUAGCGGCUUUGUCUAUAGCGACUUUUUUUGCAGCGCUUUAAGUUUUAGCGGCGCUUUUAGGCCUAAAAAAGGGCCGCUAAAAGCCUGUUUUGCUGUAGUGAGCAUAUUUACAUUUUCGUCCCAAUUUCAACUAACACCCCAUCUAUUUCCCACUUCCCUUUUUCGGGCAAUUUCAACUAACACCUUCAUAUCAAACAUAACUAUUUUUCAAUUUUUCUUCUUUAUUUCAUUAAUAAAAUUAUCAAUCUAUUUGUUUUUAAAUAUAUAAUUUCAUUAAUAUUUUUUAAAUUAUAAUAUAAGAGUUGUUGUUUAUUUAUAGUUUUAUUACAUUAUUUACUCUCUCUUUUCUAUCAAGUUUUUUAAAUUAUAAUAUAAGAUUUAUUUUAUCAAUUUGUGGCUUAUCCAGUAUUCAUCUAUUUUAAUAAUAACUUGAGUUCCAGUCAUUAUCAUACCAGAAAGAGUUCCAUUUAUUCUUUAUCGUAAAUUUUAUAAAAAAAUAUACAUUUUAUUAUAAUACUAUAUGUGUUACGAAUAAUAUUUUAUUGUGGAUGCCCAUAAUUUUCAAAGUUGUAACCUCUAAUGUAGUAACCUUAAUGAAAUUAUGAGGCUUUUAUAUUGUAAUCAAGCCUCUAUUUAUUCUUUGUAACUUAAACAGAAGCAUAUUUUCUAUUAUAUUGAUAUUUUUUAUAGAUAUAUAUAUAUAUAUAAGGAAUCAAAUAAAAAGUUAUUUACCUUUCUAUUAUAUUGAUAUUUUCUAUUUGAUUUGUUCUUUUCUUUCACUAUUCCAUAAUAUAUUAUCAGUACGAUUUUAACCAAGAGUAACAUGUUAUUAGAUUGUGUCAAAAUUUUGUUGAGAAUCAUUAGAUUGUUUCCUUUUUCUUCUAUUUAGCCCCAAAUUGCACCCCUACACAAAAUUCAACAAAAACAUGGAAAAAUUAGUGGUGCACUCUCAUAAAUUAACCAAUUUAAUUACAUAAAAUAUGUAACUUUAGCAUUUUAUCAAUCAUGUUCUUUAGCGGCAUUUGUGGGUAAAGCGCCGCUAAAGGUCAUAUUCUUUAGCAGCGUUUGUGAUAAAAGUGCCACUAAAUAUCAUGUUCUUUAGCGGCGUUUGUGGAUAAAGCGCCGCUAAAGAACAUGACGUUUAGCAGCAUUUUUUUACAUAAACGUUGUAAAAUUUAGCGGCGUUGUCUAUAGCGACGUUUUUUGCGGUGCUUUCAAAUAGUUUUAGCGGCGCUUGUAGGCCUAAAAAAAUGCCGCUAAAAGUCUGUUUUGCUGUAUGAGCAUAUUUACAUUUUCGUCCCAAUUUCAACUAACACCCCAUCUAUUUCCCACUUCCCUUUUUCGGCCAAUUUCAACUAACACCUUCAUUUCAAACGUAAUUGUUUUUCGAUUUUUCCUCUUUAUUUCAUUAAUAAAAUUAUCAAUCUAUUUGUAUUUUAAAUAUAUAAUUUUAUUAAUAUUUUUUAAUUAUAAUAUAAGAGUUUUUGUUUAUUUAUAGUUUUAUUAUAUUAUUUACUCUCUUUUUUCUAUCAAGCUUUUUAAAUUAUAAUAUAAGAUUUAUUUUAUCAAAUGGUGGCUUAUCGAGUAUUCAUCUAUUUUAAUAAUAACUUGAGUUCCAAUCAUUAUCAUACCAGAAAGAGUUCCAUUUAUUCUUUAUCGUAAAUUUUAUAAAAAAAUAUAUAUUUUAUUAUAAUACUAUAUGUGUUAGGAAUAAUAUUUUAUUGUGGAUGCCCAUAAUUUUCAAAGUUGUAACCUCUAAUGUAGUAACCUCAAUGAAAUUAUGAGGCUUUUAUAUUGUAAUCAAGCCUCUAUUUAUUCUUUGUAACUUAAACAGAAGCAUAUUUUCUAUUAUAUUGAUAUUUUUUUAUAGAGAUAUAUACAUAAGGAAUCAAAUAAAAAGUUAUUUACCUUUCUAUUAUAUUGAUAUUUUCUAUUUGAUUUGUUCUUUUCUUUCACUAUUCCAUAAUAUAUUAUCAGUACGAUUUUAAUCAAGAGUAACAUUUUAUUAGAUUGUGUCAAAAUUUUGUUGGACUUCAAGUAUUGGAAUUUAAUUGUUUAAGUUAAGAAUCAUUAGAAUCAAUGGCUAUUUGAGAUAUGCUUGAGGAUGAUCUCAUUCUCUUCAUCACAAAGGUGGAGGUUAGAAAAUCUUUAUGUUUAAACAUUUAUAGCUUUAAAGUUAUUUUAACCUCUUAUUGUGACCUUAUAAUAUUUUGUAAUUUUUUGUAUUAUGGUAUAUAAAAAAAAUCUAACCAUAGUGAUUGAUUAGUAAUAUGAAUUUGUUAUUUGUUAUGUUUAAUAUAUAUUUUAUUUAUACUUAUUCAUUUUAUUUUUAUAUGAGUAAAUGAAGUGUUUGAAGAUUCGAAAUUUUUAUCAUCCAAGUUGAAAAUAAGUGCAAAAGUGUACAUUAUUUAAAAUAAAUUACGCAUUCAUUAAUGUUAUAUGAUAAAAUCAUUACAUGUUCUAAAGAACUAAUAUUGCAUCAAACUGUAAAAAGCUCUUGAAGAGUUAAUAUUUUACCUCCUUGUGAUACAAAAUCAUAUACAAUAUGAUAUUAUUUUUCAAAUCGAGUAGAUAUAUGUUGAGGGAAAUCUUUAUGUGGUUUACAUUAAAACCAUGGAUAGAAAUGACAUGAGAUACUCGUGUAUUUUUAUUAUAAAUAUUCCUUGAAGGAAGACACUUCACUUGUAUGAUUGACAUAUGAGAUAGUGGCAAGAAGUUCAUAGUGUUGGUAUGGUCGUCUAGAUCAUCUCAAAUCAAUAAUGAUGCAAAAUAAUUUGAAGAGAAUUUAUAUGAUUUUAUUGAAGAAUGAGAAGAUAUUUUCAUUUUGAUAAUUGUCAUCAAUACUAGUUCUUUGGAAAAAAAAUAUUGAACUAACAUAAAGUUAGAGGUUGGUUGCAUUUUUUGAUGAUAUCCAAAUAAUAUAUGAGCUCAUGUAUCACAUGUAUGCAACCCAAAGUUUACAGUAUUAUUUCUUGAAAUAAUUUGAUUCUACACAAUCUCUAUAGUAUGCAAUUUGUGCUAACAACGUUGGUGCAUUAUAUCCUAAGCUUGAUUUUCGUAGUUUUAGCUGAGAUAAUAUUAAGUUGUCUAUGCCUAUAUAUGUUAUACUUAAUGGUUAGCAAAAUUGUGCCUCCAUUUAAUUGCUUAACCAUUAAUAUAAGAAUAACUUUAAAAUAAGCAUGUAAUUUUAUUUGCAUAGAGUCAACAUGUAAGAAACAUUUGCCCCAUGAGAAUUGGCUUUCAUUUAUAAGCCAAUAGGUUUCAUAUGACUAUUUGGAUGUAAAAUAUCUAUUUUAUAUUCCACCAUAAUGCACUAAGAUGGUCCAUCAAGUAUGAAGUUGAGAAAAUUUAGAAUUUUUAUUUGAUGGUAAAAGUUGAAAAGAGAUAUAUACUUAUAAUUUUGAAAAAAAUAGUCAUGUUGCAAAUUUUUCUCAAUAUUAGGGGGAGACAAGUUGGACAAAUAAGGAUAAUUAUGUCAUCACUUUUUGUGAUCCCUCACUAAUAUUAUGUGCACAAAGUUUGAAGGAAAAAAGUAUUUGCUAGACAUGUUUAGUGAUGACACUUAGAGAUUGUAUAUACUAGAUGAUACAUAUACCAGCUAAAAUGUUCCAAAUAAUUAUGAGUCCUAGAAGGACAUAGUGAUAAAAAUAAUUUUUGGGCACGCUAGAAGGAUAAAAAACUAGUUCAUUCUAUAAAUCAAAAAAUUCUUGAAAGAAAAGAGUAAGAAAUGAAGCUGGCCACACAUUAAAGGAAACGAGUACUCAUGAAGAGACCUAAGGCAUAACUUUUAAUAAAACCCCAAAAGAGGUUCAAUACAUGGAAUUAUGAAUAUAAUAAGAUAUCUCGAUUAGUUAUAUCAUAACUAAAGAUGAUGGGGUUGAUAAAAGGAAAUUGUUGUUAACAACGAUAAUCUAAGUAGAACAUUUCAAUAUUAUGGUAAAAUGAGUAUUUUGAAUGAAAAUAUACUUGAAAGUAUUUAGAUGGGAACAACUCAUCAAAAUAAAUAGACGUUUCUAUUAUAACUUAUGAAAUGUGUCUCGGACAUGAAGUCCAAACAUUCGACAGGUGUAAAGCCAAGUGGAGUAUAUGUUAGCAUAAUAGUGAAAAAAUACAAAUCAUAAUAUAUAAAAUUGACUUGUAAGACAAACUUUCCCAAGACACUUGAUUUUGAUUAUGAAAAAUGAUUAAUUUGUGAUCUUAUCAAUUGAACAUACUUUGUAUAAUCAACAAAUUAUUAAUUAACCUCAUUUAACCAAUUUCCUUCAACACAUUUCAAAUCAAAUUAAUGUGUUGAGCACGCCCUUAACCCUUUUUCUUGAUUCAUUGCAUAGUCUAUUUCCAAGUACCAUAAUCAUCAACAUUUCAAUAUAUAAAGUCAUAACAUAAUGAAUCAUAGUUAGAAUUUUUUUUACCCUAUUAACCAAGUAUGGAACAAAAAUAAAAACCUAAUUUGUCAAGCUCAUUCAAUCAGCUUAUAUAUUAUAAGAAGAGCCUAAGUAUAAAUCCUAUACAUGAUUUCAAAUUCAACUAUUUAUAUUUGAGAUUCAAUUUAAAAUUCAUACUGAAAUUAUCAAAUUAACUCGUAAGCUACUCACGCUAAACAUUAAGGUACUCGAAUUCAAGUGGCUAGAUAUCAUAAACACUUUUAGCUUGUAAAACUAUUUCUAAGGGUCAGCCCAGAAUCAUGGUUGAACCCAAAAUCUGGUAACAAAAAUUUAAUUGAGCCAUCAGCCUAAAACAAAUAAGGCUUAAAAGGUUGGCACCCGAACAAUCAAAGAUAAACACCACCAUAUGCCACUCCCUGAAUCCGAUACAUACAAUAACACCCUUCACCACUUUUAUUCUUCUCCUUUUUUUUAACCUCAAUUUGGAUGGUCGCAUUUCUCUUUUUAGUGCUUUAUAGGGUUUGGGCUUUCAGAAUCCUCAGAGAUGCAAUUCAUGGAUCCCUCUAAGAAAUGCAAGCUUGAUGAAAAUGGUAUUAUUUCAACGGCAUCAGAACCUGACCCAAUCACCAAACUAACCCCACAAGAUGGCCGCAAGCUAAUCGAGCAAUUUAUCGUCGAUCAACUCCUUGACGUCCUCCAAGAUGCUGUUUGUUGUCACCUUGAUGUUCUUUCCGCCGUACACUCUAUUGCCGAUCAAGAUCCAUCUCAAAGGAAGCUUUUCAUCCGUGGUUGGGUUGGGAUACUACAACCCAACCCAACCCACAUUAGCAUACUACCAUGCGGUAACUUCUAGUGAUUUCUGUCUGUAACAUUAGACAGGUUAACAGUUAAAUCGUUCAACUGAAAGAUUUCUUUGAAGGAAGAGGUCAAUUGAUUUUUUUUGGAAUCAUUGUGUACUCAGUUGCAUUUAAGACGGGUAUCAUUCAUAAAGUAUAUAUCUACAUCAAGAAUGGUAGCCUCUUAUAUUAUAUUCAUGUAUUUAUUUUGCAUCUUUAAUUAUAAUAGGAUUUUUUUUGUUUAUUUAUAGUUUUAAUUAUAAUAUUUUUUAAAUAUGCCAAAGUAAAUUAUGUACCAAUUUUAAACUUCUCCUAGGUAAUUUAACGUAAGGGCAUUUAUGUUAUUUUACCACUUAUGAUAAAACUAACCUAAUUUUAGAUCUAAGUGUUUACCAACCUUCUUUUAGUCAAAUUAUGCAAGCCUAAAAUUUUUAGCUUAAUUUGAGUUUGUUUACUAUGUCUAAUUCAAGUUUUAUUAUUAAGAACUAAAUUGUAACUUAAACAAAUUAGAAUACCAAUUUAAAGAGACAAAAAUUCAAAGCCCCAAAACCCACACGGGCAUGUGGGUAAGUGACACAGGCGUGUGGAAACUGGAGCUAUCACACACGGGUGAGUGGGACUGAAAAAUAUGAAAUAAAUUAAUCCAUUUAAAUUUCCAACAACCAUGCUAUACUACCAAACCAAAUAAUGUUAGAAGCUUUGAAUAGGGGCGAAUCUUAAAAAAAAAUAGAAGAAUUAGAAUUAAAUUAUAAAAUUUUGAGAAGUUGUCAUGUAUUAAUUUAUUAUUUUUUAAAGGGUCUUAAUAGAUUUUUUUUCCCCAUUUUGGUUUGGCCAAUACCCCUGUCUGCCUCUUUCAAUUUGCUUCAACCCUUAGCCCAAUAUUCGAUUUGUUGUGGAAGUUUGACGCAUAAAAAUUCCUUUUUUAGAGGUUUAAAUUAUAAAUUUUUAUUAACAAAAUAUAAAAGAAAAAAACAUGUGUAGACAAGCCAAGAAACCUUUGGGAUCAUACAGGUGAUUUUGAGAUGUUCAUGGUUAUUUUGGUGGAGAGGGUAAAAAAGAAACAAAUGAUUCAUUAUAUAUGAUAUAAUUAUGAAAUUCAAGCCAUAUAUUGUAUGUUUCAUCCAUACAAAUUUCUUGUAGCAUUAAAUGACUCGUAGGCUUGCUGAAUUUCUUUGAAAGGCCCAAAGGCAAUUUAACAUUCACAAAAUAAUCUCUAAAUAGUGUAAAGACAAAUCAAAUCCACAGUAGCAUUAGAGUUGAUUAAGCUAAGCAUUGGCAAAUAUUACUUUGAUUUUGCAUGCAAUAUUGGCAAAACCCCCUCUUACAUUAGAAAAACAACAUAAUCCAUGAAACAUUGAUAGCCCAAUACAAAUUUCAUCGAGAAAAAAGUCUCUUUGUUUUGUAGAACAUGAUAGUAAAGAUGUGGAGUUUCGUUCUUCUUAUUGGCCUCCUUUAGUUUUCCUUGAUCAACAACCACUAGCCAAAAACACAAUUAGAUUAGAUUAUGAAUGAUACUUUCAACUAUGACAAUAUUAAAUACAAACCACUCUAAAUAACUCUAAAUAAAUGGAAAGCAGCAAAUUACCAGACGAGGCAAGCUAGCUCAAUUAAGACCAUUGUGUUAUACUUGUCUCUGAAUUGAAAAAUUUAGAAGGAAAUAAAGAGAAAGACUUAGAAAAUACUUGAAAACAGAAAAAAAAAUUAUGUCAUUUAAAAUAAAAAAUUUCUAUUCAAGCCAUUUAAAAUUUGUAAGAUUUUUAAAAUUUUAAAAUGAUAAAGGUAAAAUUGUACUUUGGCACCCCAAAAAUGAUAAAACUUUGAUUUAAUUAUUUAAAAAUUAUAAAAAUAUAGGCUAUUAAAAUGGUGAAAUUAUAUUUUUACUAUAGUAAAAAUUACAAUUUAAUUUCACCCCUAAAAGGAUUUUCUGGCUUCGCACCUAAUAAAAUCUUUGGCAAAAGACUAAAAUAAAAUUAUACCAUGAAUGGAAAAAGAAACUAAUAAAAUCCAAUCUAACAAAGAAAAUAACUUGAUGUCCAAAAGCUACCAUAAACCGUAAUUCAUGGGAAGGCUUGUUGCUUAUUUUAUUGGUUUCCAUUUUGAAAGAAGUUUGAAUUUUGAAGAGAGCCUACUACGUGAAAGCAAAAGAAAAAAAAAUAGUUUAUAUGAUUAAAAUUCCAGAAUAGAUUAAAAAUGUUGAAUUAAAGAUAAAAUUAAGUGUGAAUUAAUAACCACAAGUGUACUCUUUACUCACCAUCUCUGUUAAAAAUGUUGGAUGUUGUUUAGCAACCUUUGUUUGAUUUUCUUCAGCUCAACCACAACAUCUUUCAUAUCUUUUCUUUCUUCUGGUAACUCAGCUGAACAAUUCAAAGCCAACUCCAUGAUAGAUGAAAUACAAUUUGCUUUAACAACAAUGUACUCAUCCUCUCUUCUUAAUAAAUCAACAUCUGCAAUUUCUAUCGCUCCUUUAGGCAAUGAUCUUUCCAUCCAAUGCCUUAUACUCUCUUCUUCAACAAAAACCUUAUCAGUUGGCUUUUUCUUUGUGAAAGUUUCUAUAAGGACGAUCCCAUAACUAUAGACGUCAGAUUUUAUAGAAACAAUUCCUGCUGAUCCAAAUUCUGCAUUUCAAGUAUAAUUAGAACAUCAUUCAUCCUCAAUUAUUUCUAAAACGCUUAUUCAAAUAUCUAUCCACAUACACGUGAAACAAAAAUAUAAAAUACAAAUUAGGAAAAUAAUCAUACAAAAAUAAAAAAAAGAAUUCACCUGGUGCCAUAUACCCAAUAGUUGCAAGAGUCAUGGUUUGCUUCAUUACUUCACCUUCUCCCAACAAUUUGGCAACGCCAAAAUCUCCAACAUGUGCAACCAUGUCUUCAUCUAGUAAAAUAUUGCUUGGUUUUAUGUCACAAUGAAUUAUAGGUGUUGGAUGUCCAUUGUGGAGGUGUUCUAUAGCUACCGCAACAUCUAUCAUUAUGUCGACCCUUUGUAUGAUACCAAGGAAACAAUUUUCAGAAUGUAACCAUUUCUCAAGGUUUCCAUUAGACAUGUAAUCAAGCACCAAGGCUUUGAAGUCAACACUUGAGCAGUAAGUAAUGACCUUCACAAUAUUACGAUGAACUAUAUUAAGCAUAGCAUCACAUUCAAUGUCAAAACUCCUAAAUGCUCCCUCUGUUUGCAAAUUGAAAACUUUUAUUGCAACUUCCAUUCCAUCUGAAAGCCUCCCUUUAUAUACAUAUCCAAAACUCCCUGAACCAAGCGUAUUGCUUUCCUCAAAUCCAUUAGUUGCUCGUGAAAGUUCAGCAUGUGAAAUUCUUCUCAGUGUCUUCAAAGACAACAAAUCAUCUUUAACUGGUAGAGCUGUACUCCUUUGGCAUCUUCUAUACAUAAUAGUUAAGACUAUUAGUACUAGGACAAUACCAAUUGUUGGUAAACCAUACCUAAAAGCAUGCAAUAUAAUCAUUUGGGAGUUUUUGUGGAUGUCAUUUUUGCAAGGUGGGACUAGCAAUCUAGGUGGACCACAAAGUGCACAAUUAUUCAUGAAUGAUGUGCUAGAAAAGUUUGAAAAACAUCCUUUGCUGGGAAUUUCCCCUUCAAGUCUAUUGAAAGACACAUUAAAAUACUUUAGAUAUAAAAGCUUUUCCAAAGAUUUGGGAAUGACUCCAGAGAGAUUGUUAUUGCAUAAAUCCAAGAAUUCCAAACUAAUCAACCCUUCAAAUGAUUCAGGGAUAUGACCAUAUAGUAUGUUAUUUGAUAAAUCUAAUGAAACCAAAGUUAUAAGACCCCCAAAUGUGGAUAAGAUAUCGCUCGUGAGAAGAUUCCUUGAUAAAUUUAGUCUCAGUAGACUCCUAAAAUUUCCAACAUCAAUAGCAUGUGAAUUGUGAAGACGGUUUGAUGAUAAAUCUAUUUCUAAGAUAUCUUUAAGACUCCACAAAGUUGAGGGUAUUGUAGAACUCAAUUUGUUGGAACCUAACCAAAGAUAUCUCAAAGCAGAAAUAUUACCUAAACAAGAGGGUAUGGAUCCAUGCAGCUUAUUCAACCCUAAAUACAUCUCGUAUAGUCUCUCCAAACCACAAAGGCUUUCUGGGAUAGGCCCUCCUAAUUUAUUAGAGGAAAGACCUAGAAUUUGGAGAUUUCUCAUUCCUCCUAUUGAUGCUGGAAUCAAUCCACUUAAUUUAUUAUACCCAAGAUCUAAAAGCAAUAGGUUGGUUAAGUUACCUAUUUCCAUAGGAAUAAUGCCUUGAAGCUCACACUCUGUGGCAUGAAAGUAUUGAAGGGAUUUUGAAAGGUUCCCGAAAUAAGUAGGAAGAACGCCACUCAAUGGAUUUCCUGAAACAUCUAUUAUGCUCAAAUUCCUACAAUUCGUCAAAGAAGAAAGAAAGCUCCACUCAUGAUCAGUAGCAGAUCCUGUGAUCAAAUUAUUGUCAUAGAUUUGGAGCCAUACAAGUUGUCUUAAGCUGCCAAGCGUUUUAGGGAUUGGGCCAGAGAAUGAGUUAUCUCCCAAGUCUAGUUCCUUAAGCAUGGAAGCAUUGGAGAUAGAGUUGGGAAUGUUUCCGCUAAGUUUAUUUCCCCACAGUAAAAGAAUCUGAAGCUUUGGAGCAUUGGUAAUGGGUGGUAAAUUACCUGUAAAAUAGCAUCUUUUAGAAAACAUUCACAAAAUAUAUAAUACAUUAAAAUAAAAACUUUAAAUCAAUUAAGAAUAAAAUUUUGGCAUGGAAAAAUGUGAUGAAAUCAAUUAGAAAGUUGAGACAUAAUAAGAAGUUUUGAGUAGUAAUUAGUCCUUGUGAUUUGUAUAGACAAAACAUAUAAUACACUGAUAAUUUUUUUAAAAUAUUGUAAAACCUGAAAUAAAAUAAAAAAUAAAAGUUUGGCACGAGAAUGUGGCAUCUAAUCAUUCUUAAAAAUAAGACUAACAUUAAAUAAUAAUUAGUUAUGAUUUGAGAAACAAAAAUGUUAAAGAUGUAAACUGGUAUGAUUUUUAUCUAUUGGGUUAAUUAUUUAUUUUUAUUAAAUUAUAUAUAGUGUAAAAUUUAAAGAUUAUUAUUUGCUCAAAAUUUUUGUAUUUUAGGAUUUUAGGAUCGCAUUUAAUUCAAUUGUAUUUAAGACCUCAUGAAUUUAUUCUAUAAUUUGAGUCUUUUCAACCUUUUGGGAAAUAAUAAAACAUCGACAUUAAACUUGUUGUUGAUGCAUUCAAUUUGAUUUUUUGAGGGGUCAUUGGAGUUAUAUGUGAAUUUAGCAUUGAUUGACUUUUUUAGAAUUAAUCUUUUAUACCAAUUUAAUAACAUCGACAUGUUUUUGGGUAGGGUCGAGCAAAACCCAAUUAAAACCGAUGAAAUUGGUUUAGUUAACUCGGUCAAGUCCAUUAGAUGGAUAAAAUCAAUUUUAAAAUCAGUUAUUAUGGAUUAAGGUAAUUAAUUAUCGAGUAAUGAAAUACAUAAUCAAAUCAAUUGAUUUUGUUAGAAACUAAAAGAAAGUGGGAUAAGCUGAAAACUGAUUGCCCUUUUUUAGAAUUAAGGAAUCAGCCUUUUACAUGUUAGAUAAUAUGAACACCCCAUAUAUAAUAAGAAAAAUUAUGUACGAUUAUUUAUUAUCAUAAAUGGUUAGUUUAAAUUUAAAGUAAUCUAAUAUGUGUGUUGAACUUCAACUAUUACAUAAAGUAUAAGCUAAAUAUGUAUAAAUAUUCUAGAAACCAUUUCUAACUGAUGAUAGGCUAAUUUGAAAUUAAGAUUAAUAUAUAAAAACUAGAUAGUAGGGUUAUAGUCCUCAAACUACACCUAAUUUAAUAAAAUCUAUAGUUUUUAUAGCCUUAAACAUUUAUAGAUUUUGUUAAUUUGGUCCUUACUCUUUAAAAUUACAUAAAAAUUGCAAAAAUAUUUUAGAAAUACAAUUUUUUCGUAUUUUUAAUAACAUUUAUAGUUUUUUUUUUGGUUUGGUAACUUAUCAACUCGACUCUUAAUUGUAACCAACUUUUCUGAUUUUUUCGUACCCUUAACCUAAGUCCCGUUACAACUUUCUAAAGACCUCUUGAUUGGUGUAUCAUCUCGAUUUGUUCUUAUAGUGGUGGGGAUUUGGUUUUCAAGCAAGCCUAUGCUAAUCACAUUUUUCGUUCAACUAUUGAGCACACAGUACUUGAACCUUAAACACUUUGAGUGCUUUGAGUGAAUCUUAGUUAGGGUAUUGAUUAUUGUUGAGUUUGAAUUUUAGGUAAUUAUUGAGAUGGAGGAGAUGCCUAUUUUUUUGUGCUUUACAAAUUUCUGCUUAGAUUGCUUUUAUUCUUUAGUUUCAUGCUAGUUUCAAUUUCCAGUGCAUGAUUAUCUAUAGAUUAUUCAUAAGGCAUUGUCGGUGAAAACAAUAAAUUGAGGGAGAUUAACUUGAAAUAAAUUGAGGGAUAUUAACUUGAAUAAAGGUUGAGAAUUUUGCUUAAGGACAAACAAAUGCUUAAGUGUGGGGAUAUUUGAUAAGUGCUAAAAUUGAUAUGUUUUAACAUCAUUCUUAAUGUGUUUUUGGUUGAUUAUUCGAUGUUAAUGAUGCUCCUAAUCCUUACAAUUCGUGUUUUUAUGCUUAAUAGAACAUUUGGGAGGAAAAUGAGCUAAAAAUGAACGAAAACCUGAAAAUGGGGGCAAACUAUAGGACAUGGGCUGACCUAUUCCUCAUGACCGUAUGACUCACACGAUCAUGUGGUAGGUUGUGUCGAUUUCGUAGAUUUGCACUCUGAACUGUAAAAAAAGAAAAUUUUAGAUUUUUUGAGCAUUUUAAUACGUAUAUAUGAAAAAAAUAAGAAGAUAGGAGAGAACCUUCCUAGAAUAUUUAAGAAAACAACUCCAAAGACACUAUUGAAGUCGACUCUGAAGCAAAUUUUCCUCAAGAUUGAAGAUUCCCAGUUGGUUUCUUAAGAGAUUAUCAUGAGUUUCUUUAUUUCUUCUGGUUAUACUGCCCUUUGGAUGUUUUUAUUUUUAAGCAUGAACUAAUUUUCUAAAUACCGAAUUAGAGAGAUGAACCCUAUGAUAGAUUGUGACACCCCAAACCCAACCGGAUAGACCCGCCCGAAUUCAAAGCAUUUCAUUAGCCACCUAAGUGACUCUCCAGCUAACGACCACCCAAGACACACCUCGACCUUAUAACACCUCAAUCUUAUCUAAUUACUAGUUAUUUAUUAAUGUAGAAGUAAAUUAAUAUGAGCCAAUUUUAAACUUUUUCUAGGUAAUUUAACCUAAAGGCAAUUUUGUCAUUUUACCACCUAAUGUAAAACUAACCCGAUUUUAGAUCUAAGUGUUUACUAACCUUCUUUUAGUCAAAUUAUACAAGCCUAAAAUUUUCAGCUUAAUUUGAGUCCGUUUACUAUGUCUAAUUCAAGUUUUAUUAAUAAGGACUCAAUUGUAACUUAAACAAAUUAAAAUACCAAUUUAAAGAGACAAAAAUUCAAAACUCCAAAACCCACACGGGCAUGUGGGUAAGUGACAAGGGCUUGUGGGAUUGAAAAAUAUGAAAUAAAUUAAUCCACUCAAUUUUCCAACAACCAUGCUAUACUACCAAACCAAAAAAACACUUGAAGUUUUGAAUAGGGGCGAAUCUAAAAAAAAUUAGAAGAAUUAGAAUUAAAUUAUAAAAUUUUGAGAAGUUAAAAUAUAAUUUUAUCAUGUAUUAAUUUAUUGUUUUUUAAAGGGUCCUAAUAUAAUUUUUUUCCCAUUUUGGUUGGGCCAAUACCCCUGCCUGCCUCUUUAAAUUUGCUCCAACACUAAACCCAAUAUUCGAUUUGGAUUAACAACAACAUAUAGGUUAGUAUUUGUGGGAGUUUGACGAAUAAAAAUUCCUUUUUUAGAUGUUUAAAUUAUAAAUUUUUGAAAGAUUAAAAUAAAUUUGUAUUUUUUUAUUAACAAAAUAUAAAAGAAAAAAAAAUAUGUUUAGACAAGCCAAGAGAACUUUGGGAUCAUACAGGUGAUUUUGAGAUGUUAAUGGUUAUUUUGGUGGACAGCGUAAAAAAGAAACAAAUGAUUCAUUAUAUAUAAUAUAAUUAUGAAUUUCAAGCCAUAUAUUGUAUGUUUCAUCCAUAAAAAUUUCAUGGGAGGUCCAAAGGUAAUUAAAUGACUUGUAGGCUUGCUGAAUUUCUUUGAAAGGCCCAAAGGCAAUUUAACAUUCACAAAAUAAUCUCUAAAUACUGUAAAGACAAAUCAAAUCCACAGUAGCAUUAGAGUUGAUUAAGCUAAGCAUUGGCAAAUAUUACUUUGAUUUUGCAUGCAAAAUUGGCAAAACCCCCUCUUACAUUAGAAAAACAACAUAAUCCAUGAAACAUUGAUGGCUCAAUACAAAUUUCAUCGAGAAAAAAGUCUCUUUGUUUUGGAGAACAUGAUAGUAAAGAUGUGGAGUUUCGUUCUUCUAAUUGGCCUCCUUUAGUUUUCCUUGAUCAACAACAAUUAGCCAAAAACACAGUUAGAUUAGAUUAUGAAUGAUACUUUCAACUAUGACAAUAUUAAAUACAAAACACUCUAAAUAAAUGGAAAGUAGCAAAUUAAGACCAUUGUGUUAUACUUGUCUCUGAAUUGAAAGAUUUAGAAGAAAAUAAAGAGAAAGAGUUAGAAAAUACUUGAAAACAGAUAAAACUUAUAUGUCAUUUAAAAUAAAAAAAAUUUCUAUUUAAGCCAUUUAAAAUUUUUAAGAUUUUUUAAAUUUUAAAAUGAUAAAGGUAAAACUAUAUUUUGGUACCCAAAAAUGAUAAAACUUUGAUUUAAUUCUUUAGAAAUUAUAAAAAUAUAGGCUAUUAAAAUGGUGAAAUUAUAUUUUUACUAUAUUAAAAAUUACAAUUUAAUUUCACUUGCUAAAAGGAUUUACUGGCUUCGCCCCUAAUAAAAUCUUUGGCAAAAGAUUAAAAUAAAAUUAUACCGUGAAUGGAAAAAGAAACUUAAGAAAACCCAAUCUCACAAAGAAAAUAACUUGUCCAAAAGCUACCAUAAACCGUAAUUCAUGCGAAGGCUUGUUGCUCAUUUUAUUGGUUUCCAUUUUGAUUUUGCAAAAGAAGUUUGAAUUUUGAAGAGAGCAAAAGAAAAAAAUAGUUUAUUAAUUUUUUACGAAUACCGACAUAUUAUAUACAUGAUUAAAAUUCCAGAAUAGAUUAAAAAUGUUGAAUUAAAGAUAAAAUUAAGUAUGAAUUAAGAACCACAAGUGUACUCAUUACUCACCAUCUCUGUUAAAAAUGUUGUUUAGCAACCUGUGUUUGAUUUUCUUCAGCUCAACCACAACAUCUUUCAUAUCUUUUCUUUCUUCUGGUAACUCAGCUGAACAAUUCAAAGCCAAUUCCAUGAUAGAUGAAAUACAAUUUGCUUUAACAACAAUGUACUCAUCCUCUCUUCUUAGUAAAUCAACAUCUGCAAUUUCUAUUGCUCCUUUAGGCAAUGAACUUUCCAUCCAAUGCCUUACAGUCUCUUCUUCAACAAAAACAUUAUCAGUUGGCUUUUUCUUUGUGAAAGUUUCUAUAAGGACGAUCCCAUAACUAUAGACGUCAGAUUUUAUAGAAACAAUUCCUGCUGAUCCAAAUUCUGCAUUUCAAGUAUCAUUAGAACAUCAUUCACCCUCAAUUAUUUCUAAAAUGCUUAUUCAAAUAUAUAUCCGCAUACACAAGAAACAAAAAUAUAAAAUGCAAAUUAGGAAAAUAAUCGUACAAAAACAAAAAAGAAUUCACCUGGUGCCAUAUACCCGAUAGUUGCAAGAGUCAUGGUUUGCUUCAUUACUUCACCUUCUCCCAACAAUUUGGCAACGCCAAAAUCUCCAACAUGUGCAACCAUGUCUUCAUCUAGUAAAAUAUUGCUUGGUUUUAUGUCACAAUGAAUUAUAGGUGUUGGAUGUCCAUUGUGGAGGUGUUCUAUAGCUACCGCAACAUCUAUCAUUAUGUCGACCCUUUGUAUGAUAUCAAGGAAACAAUUUUCAGAAUGUAACCAUUUCUCAAGGUUUCCAUUAGACAUGUAAUCAAGCACCAAGGCUUUGAAGUCAACACUUGAGCAGCAAGUAAUGACCUUCACAAUAUUACGAUGAACUAUAUUAAGCAUAACAUCACAUUCAAUGUCAAAACUCCUAAAUGCUCCCUCUGUUUGCAAAUUGAAAACUUUUAUUGCAACUUCCAUUCCAUCUGAAAGCCUCCCUUUAUAUACAUAUCCAAAACUCCCUGAACCAAGCAUAUUGCUUUCCUCAAAUCCAUUAGUUGCUCGUGAAAGUUCAGCAUGUGAAAUUCUUCUCGGUGUCUUCAAAGACAACAAAUCAUCUUUAACUGGUAGAGCUGUACUCCUUUGGCAUCUUCUAUACAUAAUAGUUAAGACUAUUAGUACUAGGACAAUACCAAUUGUUGGUAAACCAUACCUAAAAGCAUGUAAUAUAAUCAUUUGGGAGUUUUUGUGGAUGUCAUUUUUGCAAGGUGGGACUAGCAAUCUAGGUGGACCACAAAAUGCACAAUUAUUCAUGAAUGAUGUGCUAGAAAAGUUUGAAAAACAUCUUUUGCUGGGAAUUUCCCCUUCAAGUCUAUUGAAAGACACAUUAAAAUACUUUAGAUAUAAAAGCUUUUCCAAAGAUUUGGGAAUGACUCCAGAGAGAUUGUUAUUGCAUAAAUCCAAGAAUUCCAAACUAAUCAACCCAUCAAAUGAUUCAGGGAUAUGACCAUGUAGUAUAUUAUUUGAUAAAUCUAAUGAAACCAAAGUUUGAAGACCCCCAAAUGUGGAUAAGAUAUCGCCCAUGAGAAGAUUCCUUGAUAAAUUUAGUCUCAGUAGACUCCUAAAGUUUCCAACAUCAAUAGCAUGUGAAUUGUGAAGAUGGUUUGAUGAUAAAUCUAUUUCUAAGAUAUCUUUAAGAUUCCACAAAGUUGAGGGUAUUGUAGAACUCAAUUUGUUGGAAUCUAACCAAAGAUAUCUCAAAGCAGAAAUAUUACCCAAACAAGAGGGUAUGGGUCCAUGCAGCUUAUUCAACCCUAAAUACAUCUUGUAUAGUCUCUCCAAACCACAGAGGCUUUCUGGGAUAGGCCCUUCUAAUUUAUUAGAGGAAAGAUCUAGACCUUGCAGAUUCCGCAGUCCUCCUAUUGAUGCUGGAAUGAAUCCACUUAAUUUAUUAUGGUCAAGUUCUAAAACCAAUAAGUUGGUUAAGUUACCUAUUUCCAUAGGAAUAAUGCCUUGAAGCUCACAAUUAUAGGCAUGAAAGGAUUGAAGGGAUUUUGAAAGGUUCCCAAUAUAAGUAGGAAGAACGCCACUCAAUGGAUUUCCUGAAACACCUAUUUUUCUCAAAUUCCUACAAUUCGUCAAAGAAGAAAGAAAGCUCCACUCAUGAUCAGUAGCAGAUCCUGUGAUCAAAUUAUUGUCAGUGAUUUUGAGCACUUCAAGGUGUUUUAAGCUGCCAAGCAUUUUAGGGAUUGGGCCAGAGAAUGAGUUAUCUUCCAAGUCUAGUUUCUUAAGCAUGGAAGCAUUGGAGAUAGAGUAAGGAAUGUUUCCGCUAAGUUUAUUUCCCCACAGUAAAAGAAUCUGAAGCUUUGGAGCAUUGGUAAUGGGUGGUAAAUUACCUGUAAAAUAGCAUCUUUUAGAAAACAUAUUCAUUGAAUACCAAAUUCACAAAAUAUAUAAUACAUUAAAAUUAAAACUUUAAAACUUUAAAUCAAUUAAGAAUAAAAUUUUGGCAUGGAAAAUUGUGAUGAAAUCAAUUAGAAAGUUGAGACAUAAUAAGAAGUUUUGAGUAGUAAUUACUCAUGAUUUCCAUAGACAAAACAUAUAAUACACUGAUAAUUUUUUUAAAAAUAUUGUAAAACCUGAAAUAAAAUAAAAAAUAAAAGUUUGGCAUGAGAAUGUGGCAUCUAAUCAUUCUUAAAAAUAAGACUAACAUUGAAUAAUAAUUAGUUAUGAUUUGAGAAACAAAAAUGUUAAAGAUGUAAACUGGUAUGAUUUUUAUCUAUUGGGUUAAUUAUUUAUUUUUAUUAAAUUAUAUAUAGUGUAAAAUUUAAAGAUUAUUAUUUGCUCAAAAUUUUUGUAUUUUUCGUAUAUUUGAAAUUUAAUCUUUAUAUUUUUUAUUUUCUGUGAUUUAGUCUCUCUACUUUUUGAAUUGAAAAUUUUAAGUUUAUUUAUUAACACUGUUAAAAAGUUUUUGUGUUAGUAUGGCAUUUUGAAAAAUAAAAUAAACUUGAUAUCUAUGUUUUUAAUUAUUCCAAAUACUGUUUUACUAUUCCAAGAUAAAUUAUUUGUGUCUAGACCAAUAUCUUAAGAACUAUUGUUGCAUGUUUAAUUAUUCUAAAGAAUUGUUGAUUGAGUCUUAGUUGAAGUGCACUAUUCUCCUAUUUAUGAAUUGGGGAGUUGAUAAAGUACUAAAUUUUGAUAUAUUUUAAAAAAUUAAAAAUUUAUUAAAAUAUUUUUAUAAAAAUUAAUUGUACCAAAAUAUACAAUUUUAAUAUCAAAUUUUUAAUUUUUUUAAAAAUAUUAGCGAAUAUAUACUUUAUUUCAAGUUACACAAUUUUUACUAGUUUUUAACUUUUUUUUUAAAUUUUUAUCGUCUUUUAUAAUUUCAUAUAUUUUUUUAUAAUUUUUUACAAUAUUUACAAUUUCUAACAAUUUUUAAUAAUUUUAUUAUUUAUUAUAAAUUUAAAAAUUAACAAAUUUUUAUUUUUUUAAAACAAUUAUAUAUUUAUAAUGUAGUUAUUUUUUUAUAAUUUUUUUUGAAAUUUAAAGAUUUUUUUGGUUUUUUCUAGAUGAUGAUGCCAUCAUGAUGUCAUCAUAUGCCACAUGGCAAUUUAUAAUUAGUUGACUAUCUCAAUCUAUUUUUUUAACGUCCAAUGGACUAAAACAAGAACACCUGAUAAUGUUAGAGACUACACUAGGAAUGUUUGAUAAUAUUAGGUACUAAAGUGGGCAAAAAAAAUUAAGGACUAUAUUAAAAAUAUAUCUAUAAUAUAUAUAAAUGCAUGGAUUUUGAGAAACUUUUGAAAUGACAAAUAUAUAGUCUUUGUUUUUUUUUACUAUAUUAUUGAAUUUUUUAUUUUAAAUAUUUUUUUAUUACUUUUAAGAUUUAUCAUAUGUAUGGAUAAAAAUUUUGGUUUUACUAAAAUAUUUGGUUAAAUAAAUUCACUUUAUAAAAAAAUUUAGCAUCCUUAUAAAUAACAAUUUUGAUUCCAUUAAAAAAAUUAUUUAAAAAUAUAUAAUAAAAAUUUAAAAUUUAUAUUGAAUCACUUUAUACUUAAAUUAUUAUUAGAAACUUUAUCAUACACAUAUGUGUAUGAGAACCACGUUUUCAGAACUUAAAUUUGUGUUCUAAAAUAACUUAUGAUAAAUAAUUAAAUGUAUAAUUUGAAAUUAUAUUGAAAUAAAAAUAGAUUAAAUUGUAAGUAAAACAUAUAUAAUUUAAACAUAUGAAUACAUCAAAUUAAAAAUACUAAAUGAAUACAUUUAUUUAUGAUGAUGUUGUUGUCAAUUCAUAAGUUGGUGUCGAGUUAAUUUGUGACAUCAUAAUUUUAAGUGAUAAAUUUAAGGUUUUAUGUAUUGAUGUCGAUUCAAAUAUCACCAUAAUUUUUUUAAAUAAAAAACUAAAGCACCCUCAAAUAAUAUAACUUAUAUUAAAUAUGAAAGGGUAUUUUUGUAAUUUCUCUAACGAGUUGGUGCCCGGUUGACUCAUGACACCAACUCAAUCAAAAGCUUCAAUAAUAAUAUAGAUAUUCACGUUUAAAAAAAGUACUUUAGUUCGAAAUAAUUAUGUAACAAGUAAUUUUAUAAUUGAUGAAUAAUUUUAUAAAAAUAUAUUUAUAUGAUCUAAUAUAUUAUAUUUAUAUUAAUUAUAUAUCAUCUACAAACUUUGAAGAUCAAUUUAUUAAGUAUCAGGAAAAGAAAAAAUGAAAUUGAAUUAACACUAAAUCAAUUUUUAGAUUUUGUACAGAUGAUUUAAUGAUGAUAAAAACAUUAUUAGCACUAUUUUUGAAUUAACAAAAAAUUAGUGAUAUAUUUUAAUUAUAUUUUUUAUUUUUUAUUUUUAAUAAUAUUUUUUUAAUUAUAUGAAGUAAAAUUAUAUUGUAUACUAAAUAUGGUACAUAUACUUUAAUUAAAACUUGAAAAAGUAUUAUAUAAAUUAAUAUAUUUUAAUUAUAUUCAACCAUUUGAAUAACAAAAUUAAAAAAAAACUAAUUAGAAUUAUUUACUUUUUAAAGUUUAAUGGAAAAUAAAAAAUAAAAAAUAAAUCAAUUCAUAUAAAUCUUAUUGUUUAUUAUCAGAUUAAAAUGAUAAAAGUAUAUGACAUACAUAGAAGAAACAAAUUCAACACCAUGUUUUUGGAGUUUGGAAAAAAUUAAAGUGAAAAACCUACCUUCUAAACUGUUGUUAAAUAGAUCUAUUUCUUCGAGCGUAGUUGAAUUAAAAAUACUUGAUGGAAUCUGACCUGCACACAUAGUCGAAAAUUGAAGUGAAAUCAAACUCUUUUGUGAAAAAAAUAUUACCAGAUAAUUCAUUCCAACCCAGGUAAAGCCCUUCAAGCUUGGGAAGAUGUUGACACAUAUCAUUAGGCAAACUACCUGAUAGGCUAUUGUUGGAGAGAUUAAUGGUCUUCAAAGAAGAAAUGUUGAAGAUCGAAGUUGGAAUCUGACCUAUA